AAAAAUAAAAAAACUACUGUAAAUAAUAUCAGAUCAAAACCAUUGUACAUAUAUAUAAUUUUACAUAUUAGUUCUUAUUCCAUCAACUAAGUCCAUUUUAAAUCUCAUUGACUCAAAUUAUUCAUUGCUUAUAAAAAAAUAAAUAAAGAACAAAAACCCUAGUUUUCCCUUGUGUUACCCUUGAUAUUCCUUCACAUGUCUCGUUAUUAUUAGUGGAGCUAAGUCCCUUGAGACUGAGUGAGAAGUAGUAACCUUGUAGGAAUAGUUAGUUGCAAUAAAGUUGGAGGUUGUGAAUAUUCUAUUUUGGAUUUGAUUGUUUUUACUUGCGCAAGUUCCACGAUCGAUGAAUAUGAUAUGUACGGUGGAAUGAUGCAUCAUCAUGCAUGUGUAUAUAAUAGUAUGCAGAAUGAUUAUACCACAUCACACAGCAUAAUUGCAGAGAUUAUUUAAAGUAAGUGAAGCUGUUAAUGAAUUAAUAAAUUAUUAUACAUGAUUAGUAUAGUAUAAGUGAUGUGAUGAAAUUGAGUGAUAUCAAUAUUAUAUAUGUUGCUGACCUGUACGCGUUUUGGUGUCCAUUUGUAUAAUAUCAUGUGACCAAAUGAUGCCAUAAUAAAACCAAAAACAGAAACAAUUUUAGGGUCCAAUUAUUCAGAAAAUUGUAUUGCUCAAUUCAGAAAAGUUUCUCGUGACAUUUCAAAUUAUUUAUUAAUAUAAAAAUUGAAUUUGAAUUGUUUGUCUGUAUAUAUGAAAAUGAAAACACAUUUUACAGACCCCUUUCAAUUUUAUUAUAUAUCCGAAGGAUAAAAUGAAAUAUCGUCCAUUAUGCCUGCCAGUAUUUAUCCAUUUUUAUUAAUCACAUGUGUAUGUUCUUUCGUAUGAUUUUAUCUGUUACCUAUUUACUUUCUUUUCUUGUCGCAAAAUACAUAUUGUGUUUCCAAUAUCUUAUGUUAAUAUAUUUAGGGUUUUUGUCAUUUGCGAGAGAGCAAAACUCACGUGAGUUUGCACUUAGGAAAGUACAUUCACAUGCUAAUGUGUGCAAUGGAAACAAAACUUAUUAAAACUAUAAAGUUGGGUGACAAGGGCUUCUUGUUCUUGUGGACAGGUAGAAAGAGAAACAUGUUGCAUUUGCCAGUACAACACAAGAAUGAGAAUCUAUAUAUAAAUAUAAACAACCAAGCCAAGAAUAUAUGAAUGUAUGCUGUAAAAACACGAGUUCUUGGGAAAAAUACAAAGGUUAUCCUUUAUUUUGGACUACCUAAGAUCUAAUUCGUGAAGGAUCCACAGUCCAACAAUACAACACCAUGAAUCAUCCCUCAUGAUCCAUUAAUUAAUGACCCUAUAAUGAUAAUUAGACGAUGAUAUGUGAAUUAACACCAUGCUCUCUAGGUCUCAUAAAAUUCUCACUAACUUAAGCGUUGGAGCCCCCAAAUUAGGGUUGGCUUAAGGGCAAGGCCUAAAACGAAAAUGAUAAAAUAUUUUUCAUUAGUUUUACAUGCAAAAAUGUCUUAUAGUCGAAUAAGAAAAACCCCAUAUAUUCAAAAUUGUUUUAGAGUUCGGUUACUUUUAAAAGUUAUUGGGUCGGCCUUGCCCUGAAUGACCUCUUAAAAUCCAACAUUAUUUAUGCGUCAUUUAUAUAAAAGUUUUUAACCCUUGGUAAAGGUACAUUCUUAAGUUUGGUUAGAUAUCCGACUCUCGUAAACUCUCACUAAUUUGAACGUUGAAGUUCUUACAUGUAAAUUCUCUGGAGAAUAACGAUGUCCGCAUUCAACCAACCUUCUUCGAUCGUCAUAUUCAGGUUAAAUCUUGAUCAUUUGGAAUACUCAAAUUAUAUACUAUUCUUUUAGAUUUGAACCAUGGAUUUUUUCUUCGAUAUAUAAAUGCAAGAUACACACUUUCUUAAGAAUUAUCUCUCACUCUUUACUCUCAUACCGAAUUGAUCGUCAAAGUGCUGCAUGUCAACGAAUGUUGUACCACAAAGGUCAUCAUUACUCCAUAUCAAGGCCUAUUUAUUUAAGAAUUAAAGAUUAACCGAUUGUGAUGAUUUGCUGAAAAAUAGAAACCAGUUUAACAUAGACUUCCGUUAAUUUAAAUAAAUUAAAGCAACACAUACUACUUGCACCCAAAAAACAAUAACACAUGCCAUUAUAUUAAGUUACAUGAUAAGUUAUCGUGAGCUUAGCUCGGUUGAUAGGGAUAAUGUAUAUAUGCAAGAUUCGGAGAUCAAACCCCGACCACCACAAAAGUUAUGGGAUAAUUCAACCGAGAUUAAUAGUAAAAUUAUUAUAAUUAGACAUAUUUAUUAUCUAUUUAUCUUACUUUAACUUCAUCACCAAUGUCUCUUACACACACCUUUCCCUUCCUAAAAGUUUUAGUUAUUCCAUAAAAACAGAGGUAUCCAUGUGAGCUAAAAGGCAGAGUAAAUCAGGAUCAAAACAACUUAUAGUAGAUUGGAUCAAAAUGACACAAGUCACUUGACCUGUAUAUUAAAGUGUGUUUGAGCCGCAUUGAGCUUGAUACACAUAUCAUCAACAACAAUAACAAUCAAACUUUAAUCCAUUAAGUAAAAUCGGCUACAUAAAUUAAAUAAUAUAUGUUUUAUAAUAAAAAUAUGUUUUUCUCUAACUCAUUAUUAUUCUUAAUAGUUUUUCUAGAUCUUUUCCACCUCAUAAAAAUAAAUUUGAAGCAUAUGUAUUAUAAAUUUCCAACUUACCAUUAUAGUAAUUAAAAAAUAAACAGUUUUACUGUUUUUAGAAAAAGCUAACAAAUUGCAUUCAAAUAUAGAAGAUGUUCUUGUACGACACUAUACAAUCCGUUUUUAAUACCAUAAUAACUACUACACUAUCUAAUUAUUAUUAUUAUAAGAAAAAAAUUUCAUUUUAGAUUUAUUCAACUAAUGAUGUACAUGGACUUUAUUAUAAACUACAUAUAUCAUUUAAUGAAUAAAUAUAAAAUGUUGACUUUUACUUUUAAUAGUGAACGUAGGCUCUUUCGAAAUUGUCGCCUUUGCAGCCAAAUUGCUUCCCAAAGAAUAGACAAACACAUUAAUUUACCACCCAAGAAAAAUCAUUUUCGUAGAUAAAGGUAACUGUUUUUGGCACAAACAAUGAUAGGUAGACACUCUUAAUGUGUACUUCUCUUUGUACCACUUUGAAAAAUUUUAGUUAACCAAAUAUAUGGUAGGUGUGACCACAUUUUUUAGUUGCGUGACCAUAUUUUUCAGCUUCUAAAUAGUGGUCACGCAACUGAAAGAAUGUGGUCACACAUACCAUAUAUUUGAUCAGCUGAAAUUUUUGAGAGUGGUGUAAAAGAUGUAUACAUUAAAGAUGUCUAGCAAUCUUUAUUCUUUUGGUACCACAAUGAUUUUUUAGCUGAUGUAGGCCAAAAUUGCAGUGACUCUUUUCAUGGAUAAGGAUUCUUAGGAGUAUGUUUUGAGUGGGGGAGAGAGAGAAGGUGCAUAAGUUGAAUUUUCGAAUGUACCAUACAAAUUGUAGAAUCUGACCAUUUUAUGUAAAAUUUACAAUUUAUUUUUUAAAAUAUUUAAAUUAUUGAACAGUAAAAUGGAAUAAUUUUUUUUUUUUAGAAAGAAAAAAUGGAAUAUAUAUUAACAACUGCAACCGCAUCUUCAACACAAGAUGUACAUAACUGAAUAGUACUAAAAAAAGUAUGUUCAAUUAUCACUUAUCGGACCACAAUCAAUCCACAAAUAAAUUAUUGGUCAAAACCUAUUACAUUCACAAGUCCAAUAUUGGAUUUAAUUUUAGAAACGUUGCUAAAUAGAAAAAUCUGAGAAUAUAAAGCGAUUAGGAUAAGUUUAUUGGUGAAAGAUUUUAAUAAUAAAGAUGAGAUCGGCCAUCGUGAGCUUAACUCAAUUGCUAGGAAUAAUGCAUAAUAUAUGUAAGAUAUGAGGUUCAAACUCUGACCACCACAAAAAAAAACAUGAGAUCGUAGGUUCAAACUUCUUUUUUUUAUUUUGAAGGGAUAGUAGGUUCAAACCUUAUCGUUUUGUUGUUAAAAAAAGUGAAAAUAUAGUUUUUCAAAUUACAAACUACCAUUGGAAUAGAAAUUUUGUUCUUCUCCCAACACGUUUUGCUUAUUCUUAAUCAAACUUUCAAAAAUGACACUGCGUGAGCUAACUCAUGCAAGUGUUAAUUCUGCGUGACUUAACUUACGCAGCGUGAGUUAACUCAAGCGGAGUGUUUUGUCAUGUUUAACAUCUGCAUAAGUUAAAUCACGCAGGGUAUUUUCAUGUGUGAGUAAACUCAAGUGGGUGUUAUACCUAGUGUAAGUUAACUCAAGCAGCUUGAGUUAACUCACGCAGGGGUAUUUUCGAAAGUUUAGUUGGUAGCGAGUAAUUUUUGUUUGGAGAAUAGCAUAAUUAUUGGAAUAGUGUGUUGGACUUUCAACCCAAACAAAAUGAUCAUAGGUCCAAUAAGCCAUUCUUAUUCCCACCAUACAAACUCUUUGCUUUUUCUUCUUCCUGGAAAUAACAAUGCAAGUUUGAAAAACGUUACACAACUAAAAGGUGGACCCCUUUGGACACUUUUUUUUAAUACCUUAAUCUUUCAAACUAUCUUGAUUCUUAAAAAUUACGGUUAGGUUGAUACUAUGAAUUACUAAGUUAUGUUGGAAAUAAGUUUCGUUGGUUAGUCCUCUAAUAACUUUCCUUAGUCGAUUUUAUACUCUUCAUAUUUCAAUUAUAUAUUUACCUAUAACUUUCAAUUGCAGAAAACCUCUAUUUUUCUAUAAUAGAUAUGGGUCUGAUGCAAUCUUAUAAAUGCAAUAUGACAAGUGAUAUUAAAUUUUCACCAUGAACAAUUCAACAAGAUCAAACACAUAAAAUAAGUACAAUAUAAUAUAUUUACCUAUCAUUUUCAAUUGCAGAAAAUCUCUAUUUUUCUGUAAUAGAUAGGGGUCUGAUGCAAUCUCAUAAACGCAUUGUGAAAGUUAAAUUUUCACCAUAAACAAUUCAUCAAGAUCAAACACAUAAAAUAAGUAUCAUGUAAUAUAGUAAAAUAAUGGAAACCAAAGUUUAAAAUUGUCAAACAUUAUUAUAGCAUCUUCGUUAUCUGAAACACUACAAAGCUGUAUGAAAACAUUAUAGAACCAGAAACUGCAAUCACUCCCCCAAUGACAUCUCAUAAGAUAAUUAUUCUUAUAACAAAAAUGAACUGAUCCCUACGGGACUAAAAUCAACAUUGAAAACAAAAAAGCACAAAUCAAUUGCUACUGAAAAACAAAAUCAAAUCCUACACUGCGGUAAGAUGUAUCCUAAGAUGUUGUAACUCCCACCCAGCAGUCAGCUUAUACAUGCCUUCCAAGUUGCCAUUCUCAAUGUUUCUCCUACUUCUGCAAAAACCACAUCCAAUCCAACACUUAAUUUCUCUUCAAAUUUCAAAUUAAACCAAUCAUAACAACUAAUUCAAAACAAAAAAAAAAAAUAUACAUGCACGUACAUACCUUGCCAUUCUCAGGAGCAUCAGAAACCUUAUAGGAAUCAGCAUUAACCCCAGGCAACCACGCACCAGGGAAAAGGGUCUGCACAAAUAAUAAAAUCAGCAUUAUAAGCAGAAUAUAAAAUUAGGAUUAGUACCAAUUAAUUAAUCAUUCAAUUGAAUCAACUUACAUUCAUUUGCUUCUGAACAUUUUUAGGUCUCCUUUUGGGCCUUCUAGGAGGCUUUUGACCUGUCAUUUUGAUGAAAUCUUCCUCAAUCUCCUUCUUUGUCAACGACAAAGAAAACUUCAUCGCCUUCUUCUCAGUAGAACCACCACCUUUUAACGGUGAUGAUAUGUUGGGUUUUUUCUCAUCAAUCUUCAACCCCUUUCCGGUCUCUCCAGCAACACCUCUCCUUGUCCUAAAAUUCCAUGUUUUCUCUCUUGCGGCAGCCAUUGACGACCCUUCACCACCACUACCAACACCAUUCUCUUUCUCCUUCUUUAGAAUGGCAUCUUUCAUCCUUCUACCUUCGGCCUUCAGAUCAAGUGUCAACCUCUCCCGCAUAGCAUUGACCCCUUCAUCAUCACCGUAAUCAAUCCUUAGCAUGCUCAUCCUCUCCAUUGCACUCUCUGGUGAUGACACCAUCUCCCUCUGUGAUGAUCCGUCGCCAUUGUCAGGGACCUUUUGACACCUGAGUUGACGCUGAGAACCCCACUUCAAAGAAGAAGGUAAACGGAAGUUGUGAAGAGGAACCUUCACUCUUGCACCUUCACCUUCACUGGCACCAGAACCAUUACCCAUAACAACUUCAUUCUCCUUUUCUUUAGCAGAAAAUACCAUUUUCUAGGUGAAAUUCAGACGAAUGAGAAAAAAAUCUGUCGCUUGAAAACUAGUCGAGAAAAUGUUAUGUAUUUUUUGGUUUCGUAUACAUUUAUUAUAGACGAUGGUGGUUCUAACGUUCGACUUAGGUUUAUGCUCUAUUUGCUAAGAUGCGCUUUGGGUGGUUUUUAUUUUUUAUUUUUUAUUUCCAAAUCCUCGUUUUUUCCUUUUUAAUUUACUUUCCCUUUUUUUUAGCGGGUGAUUUAUCAUUUUUUUUAAUGAUGCAAUCACAACCUUUGGUUUUAAAACUUGUAUUGCUAUGUAAACAAUGGAAAAAAUGUGAAAAUUAAACUAAUAAUUUUAAUUUUUUAUGGAAUUAUAUAAUAAUUUUUAAUUUCAUUUUACAUACUUAUCUCUUUGCAAUUAAUAGUCAAAAGUAGUUUUGACUAAACAAUAAUUAAUAUUAUUUUGAAUUUUAUAAAUAAAAAAUAACAAAAAACUUAUAUCAUUUUUUCAAAAAUAUAUUGAGUAAUAUUAAAUAAAUUAAAUAUGUUUAAUUCAUUGAGGGGAUAGUAGCUCACCAGUUUCUAUACAUAUUAAUUUUUGUGCACGUACAUGCAUUCAAUUAGAAUAGCACUAAACCCACCUGAGUUAGUCAGGUGGUGUUGCUUUGAGAUAUUGGAGUAUGUUUUUCUUAAGCUCUCAUGUUUGAUACUCCUUGAUAUUAAUUUCGGUGGACUAGUUCAUACGGAGUUUUGCAAGUUUUAACUAUAAGUGGACACAUCCGCAAACGAUAAAAUUAAAAUUCUUAGAUUAGUCAAUGUUUGGGUCGGAUAUGGGAUUUAAAAAAAUUAAUAAUUAAAUAGCACUAUAUAUUAAUAUUGAAUAUUUUUUUAUGUGAAAAGCUAUUUAGAUAGACAAAAUAAACCGUUAGAUAGAAAAAUAUGAUUUUUUUUGCCAGUUGUAUGUACAUGCAUAUGGCGUUUUUAUGAUAUAUUAGAUAAACUUUUAGAAUUAUUUAGAUCUAAUCUUCUAGAUAUGUAUAUAUAUAUCUCAAUACAAUUUAAGGGUUUUAGAUAGACAAAAUUAACAACGAAAUAGAAAACUAUGGUAGUCUGUUUUGCCAGCUGUAUGUGCACGCAUAUGCUAUUUUUAUGAUAUCUUACCUCAAAUUUUAAAUUUAUUUACAUCUAAUCUUCUAAGUAUAUAGACAAAAUUAACACUGAGAAAGAAACAUAUGGUUGUCUAUUUUGUAAGUUGUAUGUACACACAUAUGACAUUUUAUAAGAUCAAUACAUUGCAUAAUUAAAAUUAUAAAAUUCAAAGAUGGCAUCCUAAAAGUGAAAAGUUGUUUCUUUCACAGCACCAAUAGACUUGACCUGUUUCUAUAAGUCUAAAGUUGUUUCUUUGUUCGUUAAGUUUUUUAACAUUGAAUGUAGACACUUAUUUGACCUAUAGUUCAAAUUGUAUUUCACUAUGUUUUAUAGAUUAAUUAUUUUUACCACAUCCUAUAACACUUGGUAUCAAAACGUGCAGUAGUAAUACUUUUUGAGUUGUAAAAAUGUGAAAUUAUUAUUUUUCAUGUAAAAAUAUUUAUCAUUAUAUAGAUAAGAGAUAUGAGAGAUUUACAAUUUUGGUCCCCUUACUAUGAUAAAUCCGCAAUUUCGCUCUCCUCAUUUUUAAUUUAGCAAUUUUUGUACUCUAAUUUGAAUUAUACAAUUUUGUUCCUUAUGUCAAAUUUUCAUCAAAUUUUUAACAGAAACAAUGAUGUUAUAGUCAGACACUAAUGUGACAUUUAUUACGUGGAACUUAUGUAACAAAAGAGUGAUGAUGCUUAAUAUAUUGUCAGUCAUCCUAAUGUUGUAUUUUUUGCGUAGAACUUAUACUAUUACUGAAUCCUAAAACUGAAAAAGACUAUUUUCCAACACACCAAGCAUUUCGAGCUUUCCAAUUUCACCGCAAACUAGUUAAUUAAAUACUAGAAUUUAUACUAUUACUGAAUAUUUUGGUCCAAGAAUCAAUCUUCUACUAUGAAUAGAAAUUAACAUCUUUUGGUUUGCCAAAUUUGAGAAAAAUGUACACAAUCCCUUAAACAAUGAAUCAUACUUUUCUCAGAAUAUAAACAUCUAGAACAAAUAUUGAAAAUGAGUUAUGUUUUUAAGGAGGGCCAUAGAAAGAUUAUGGAUGAAGUGAAGACAUAUGCACGAAAGUUUUUAUGUUUUUCGAUGCCUUAAUCUUUCAAAUCCACAACAAUUGCUUAUAUACAUGCAUGUCUAAAUUACUCGUAAAAUGCGACUUGUAGCCCGAUUUAGCUGAUCAGGAUCCAUCAUAUUCCCCAUCCAAAGAAAAAAAAUUGAAAUGUAUUGAUGAAGAUUGAAGUGGGAUCUAGAAUUUUUUCCAGCCACGACCGUAGAGAUGAAAGUGUGGAGACCAUGAAAAUGUCAUUCAUUAUUAAUAUGUUUGUCUUUAAUUCUCCUUGAAGUGUCAUGUAUAACAACAAAAUUAACAUCGUGACGUAAAUGGUGUGUUUGAUUUACUAAAAAAAUAAAGGACAAGAUAACUUCAGUUGUACGGUGUUUGAUUUGUAAAACUGUUUCUAGGAUAGUAAAAAUUAGAGGUAAGGGACAAGACAAAAACUGAAAUUAUUGUCCCUCACUGACCACAACGAUAGUCGGAUUAAACAAGUGUACCAAAUCGUUUACCAAGUAAUAAAGUGUUUGUAGAGUAUCGUAUCCAUAAGGAUUGUCGUUUCGUCCAAACAACAUGCGUUACUUAUUUUUGAACAAUUAAAAUAAAUAAAAGAGUUGAGGGUUAGAGAUUGCAAUUUUUAUCUGUUUUCAACAAAGCAAGUUACCUGUUUUGGUUGUAGAAAAGUAAGAAGCGGUUAUGAUUCUUUGAAUCUCUCCUAUUUAUUUGUUGGAAUUAAAUAACAUUCAUCACAUUUAGUUAUCUUAAGUAGACUAUACAUGUGAUGAGAACAUUGAGAUUUAUCUAACCUAGUCGGUUUGUUGAGUUGCACCUGCUAAUCGCACUAUGAUCCUUAUGUGCAUGGUCUUACUCCCUCUAUUGAUUUAGGUCUAUCUCUCUUUUGUUUAGUUGCACUUGCUGAUCGCACUGUGAUCCUUACGUGCAGGGUCUUACUCUCUAAAAAAUAAUUGAAACAUAGACUUAAAUUGACGUUUCUAGAUUUUCAAAGACAAUGAAGGCCAAUGUUCCUGAAAGUUUUCCAUCUAUGAAUCUUAGGUAUCUUAUGGCACAUUCGCCCACUCAGGUAUCCUAAUAGCUUUUCAUUUUAAGGUCAAAAUAGAUAUAUUUUUUUUUAUAAAAUGAUUUUUCUAAAAAUCCUAAACAAACACUUAAAAAUGAAAAAAGUGAUUUUUUUUAAAAAAAAAAUCCAAAACAAACGGCGCCUAAAUAACAUUACAAAUUACAAAUUUUUUUGUCAAGUAGUUUAAUUUCACAUCUUAAAGUAAAUAAAUGAAAAAUGAUCGAACCCUAAUGUUUAUAUAUUGUAAUACAUUGUCUCCACCAACUAAACUACGCGCUCAGAGACACAAGUUUUUGAAUUUAAAAAGGACAAAGAAGUUCCCACUCUUCCAUUUGGACCAAAUUUGGAGCCGGAGUCUCGACAUGUGGUUUUGGCUGAAUGACGUGAUUCUCAUAAUAGCGAUAAACCGCGACACCAGAAAACACUGCCAAUUAACACGCCUGAGCAUGAAUUCUGUAAACCAAUAAGGACAAUUAGUAUCCUAAUCAACUUUCAUAUAUGAACAAAAAAAUCAUAUAUAAAUGAAAUAUGAUAAUAAUGACAAUAGCUAUAAAUUGGAAACAACCUCAGAGGAGAAAUAAUGUAGUCAAACAUUUAUGUACCUAGCAUGGAUAAGCCUAAGACUUGGCUUCAUACCUUGUAGGGGUGUUCAAAACCGAACCAACCCAAUAGAAAAACCGUAAACUAAACCAAUCCAAAUCGAAACCGCAAAAAAUCGCACUUGGUUCGAAUGAAUUCGGAUGACUUUUGCACUAAACCGCAUGGUUCGGGUUGGUUUGCGGUUUGCAUCUCAGCAACCGAACCAAAUCAAACCAAACCGCAAGAAUAAUGACUAUUACUUAAACGUGUACUAGCCCAAUUACAUAGCUCAAGAAAAAUCUCUUUUGAUUCGAUUCCCAAUAGAAAAACCGCAAACCAAACCAAUCCAAACCGAAACCGCAAAAAACCGCACUUGGUUCGAAUGAAUUCGGAUGACUUUUGCACUAAACCGCAUGGUUCGGGUUGGUUUGCGGUUUGCAUCUCAGCAACCGAACCAAAUCAAACCAAACCGCAAGAAUAAUGACUAUUACUUAAACGUGUACUAGCCCAAUUACAUAGCUCAAGAAAAAUCACUGUUGCACCAUCAGGUUCAAUUCUAAUUCCUUUCCAUCUCUUUCGAUUCAUUUCCAAUGAUGAAUUUGUUUCCUUUACUUUCCAAUAAUUAGUUUCAUGCUUAUAUUUCUUCUUAAUUUUACCAAUUUUGAUAUAAGUUUUACCUGAUAUUUUAUCAUAUAAACAGCAAAAUAAAAUGUCCUAUGUUUAUUUUGUAACAAGUUGGCAAUAUUAGAGUUAAUGUAAUAUUUUUUUAUCUUGCGAUAAACCGCACAAACCCAACCAAUCCAAGCCGCAUUGGUUUGGUUUGGUUUUGUUUGGAUGACUUUUUAAAAAUCAACCGAACCAAACCAAACCGCAUGCAUUUUUAUCUCGCGGUUUGGAUGACUUUUAUGCUCCAAACCGCACCGUGAACACCCCUAAUACCUUGUACGUGAAUACUCCCUCCAUCCCUUAAUGUAGGCAUCUAUUGUCUUUUUUACAUUUCUUAAGAAAAGUUAUCAGUGUAAUUAAUGUGUCUAUUUUGUGUGUUAAUAUUACAAAAUUGUCAUUUGUUUGUAUGUGUAUUAAAUUUGACUUUUCAUAUUUCAAAACAAAAAAGUAGUAUUAAUUAAGGGUAUGUUUAGGAAAAAAAAUAAUAAAUACAUCUAGUAAUUUGAAAAUGAAUUUACAUUUAGGGACAAAAAUAAAAUCAAAUGGAUGCUUAGAUAUAUGGACGGAGGGAGUAUGUUAGAAGCGUUGCUCCAAUUCCCGAUGCCCACAAUCCUCCUGUAAUCAAAUUCAACACCAAUUAUAAUUAGGGUUAAAUAUGUUUUUGGUCCCUAUAAAUAUAUCAAUUUUUCUUUUUAAUCCAUUUAAAAUUUUUCUUCAACUUUUAGUCCUUAUAAAAUUUUCAAUUAUUACUUUUGGUCCCUCCUUUAAAGUAUAAUCUUAUGUAGAAUUCAUAUUAUUGAAUAAAAUUUUGCAGAAAAAUGUAUAAUAUUAUAAGGAUCUCUCCCAAAAAAAUUAAUAAUUUUUUACCAAAAUAUAAAUUAAAUAUGAAUUUAUAUAUUUUUUGAGGUCAAAAAUUCAUAUUUAAUUCAUGUUUUGUUAAAAAAUUCUAUUUUUUUGUGGAGUGAUUUUUACAAUAUUCUAUACAUUUUUGCAUAAUUUCAUUAAAAAAUACAAAAAUUUACUCAAAAAUAGAGACCAAAAGUAGUGAUUGAAAAUUUUAUAGGGACUAAAAGUUGAAGAAAAAUUUUAGAGGGACUAAAAUAAAAAGUUGAUAUAUUUAUAGGGACCAAAAACAUAUUUGACCUUUAUAAUUAUUUGGUGUAAACAGUUUAGUACAUUUAAAUUUUACCACUUUAGAAAUUUGGUCUUGCCAUUUAUUUUUAUUUUUUUUUAGAAUUUUGAUCCCAUGUCUAUUUUUCAUGUGAAUUAUUUAUUUAUGUAGUGACGAUACUUAUUAGAUAUUUUUUCAAAAAAAUAUAUACUUAUUAAACAUAUUUUUGCUGAUUUAGAUAUUCAAUGUGCUCUAAAAUAUGUUGCCACAUCAUAAAUAAAUACGUUACAUCAUAAAAAUGAAACAUAAAAUUAAGAUGAUGGAGGAUUACAAUUUAAAAAAAAGCAACAUAAAGAGACUAAAACUUCAAUUUUUUGAAAAUAGAGAAACCAAAUGUAUAUUUAAAUUUUAAACCAAUAAUUUUUAUAUUAAUUUCUUAAUUAAUUAUUAUCUUUUAAAAUAGUUAAAAUAAAUAAUAGUAUUUAAACAAAAAAUAUACAUCUCUUCUGGUUCAACAGAAAACUAGAUUGCCGCUACUUUUUGAACCAAAAAAAAGCAACAAACCAAACAGAACCAAAAGCUUCUCCAGCAAUCUUGCAUCUUCCACACACUCUUAUAAUUCUUCCAUUUCUUUAUCACAAUCACUCUCUAUUCAAUUUCAACUUCAAUCCAAAACAAAUCCCUAAUUUUACUAAACCCUAAUUAUUCCAAACCCUAACAAUGGAAUCUGAACGAAAACGAAAACGAAACCCACUUUCCGAUCGCACCAACACUUUCUCAUCCGUUCCCCCAAAAUCAACCAAACCUAAAACCAAUUUCACCUCUACUACCGCGAAUCUCAAUGUUGCUUCAAACCGUAUCUCCGUUGCACCGGAGUUUCUUUCAACGCCUUUGCCCAAUACCCGGUCUCGUCGUGGUAAGUUGAAUUUUUAAAUAUUCGAUUGGUCAAAACUGAGAAGUUUUUUUUUCAAUUUUAAUUUGAAUGAUUUGUUUUUUGGUAUUUAUUUUGGAAAUUAGGGUUAAUUUUAGUUUCUGUUUAUCUAAAAUGCACACAUGUUUUUAGAGCAGUAGAUUAUGAUUUGCGGGUUAAAAAAUGUUAUAGAAAAGGGUUGUGUUUGGAUUGACAUGUCAUAAUCAUAAGCUGAUUUUUAACUUAAUUUGGAUAAGCUUUCAUUCAAGAACCAUUUGUUUUUGUUAAAUUUAUGCUUUUUGUUCUUUUACUUCAGGGACUGUUGAUGGUGAAGCUUCUAAGCCUAUUUCUGUAGUAUACAGUAUAAGGAAUCCUUCAAAUAAAAGGAAAGAAAAAGAGAAAGAGAAAGAAUCAGUCAUUCGAAGGAAGGAAGUGGAAACUCCUUCAAGUAGAACACCCGUGGAUAGAUGGAAAGUCUUUUUAAAGGGGAAGGGAGUCGACAUUGCUUCAAGUAGCACGUCCAAGGAUAUAUCGAACGAACCUACAAUACCCUGCAAAAAACAACCUACAACCAAAUUCACCACCACUACUGCCGAGAAUCUUGAUGUUGCCUCAAGCCGUAGCUCUGUUGCACCGGAUUUUCUUUCGACGCAUUUUCCCAAUCCCCAACCUCGUCCCGGUAUGUUAAAAUUUUAAACAUUUGAUUGGUGAAAACUGAAAAGUGUUUUUUCAAUUUUAAUUUCAUUUCCAAUCUGAAUGAUUUUUUUAAUUUUUUUUGGUGUUUAUUUUGCAAAUUAUGGUUAAUUUUAGUUUCUGUUUAUCUAAAAUGCACACAUGUUUUUAGAGCAGUAGAUUAUGAUAUGCGUGUGAAAAAAUGUUAUAAAUAAGGGCUAUGUUUGGAUUGGCAUGUCAUAAGCUGAUUUUUAACCUAAUUUGGAUAAGCUUUUUUCAGGAUAGUUUAUGAAAACAGAUUAUAAUUUACGUGAAAACCCAGUUUGACUAUAUUUUCUUUGAGUACAGAAAUAGCACUAAUGAAACUUAUGGUUUUGCAAGUUAAUUUUGUAUCUUGAUGCUAAGUUGAGCAUAACGCUUUAUUAUAGUGAUCAGGUAUACUUUGCCUUUUAUAAUUAAGUCAUAUUUUGCACUAUUGACAUAUUUACAAUAUUAUAUUAGCUCACGUACAUCAUGUAUAUGAUAAAUUUUAUAUAAUUUUAAUUUUAGAUAAAAUCAUACAAGUUUACGAGUUGAGUUUACCUAAGUAAAAUGAGUUGAGGUAAACUCUCGAGUUGUAAAGCUUUGCUAAGAAGUGUUUUUAUCAAUUUUAAUUUCAUUUCCAAUUUGAAUUGAAUUUGAAAAUUUUUUUUUUUUGGUAUUUAUUUUGAAAAUUAUGGUUAAGUUUAGUUUCUGUUUAUCUAAAAUGCAGACAUGUGUUAAGAGCAGUAUAUUAUGACUUGUGGGUUAAAAAAAGUUAUAGAAAAGGGUUGUGUUUGGAUUGCCAUGUCAUAUGCUGAUUUUUAACCUAAUUUGGAUAAGCUUUCAUUCAAGAAGCAUCUGUUUAUAAAUAAAAUCUUGUUAAAUUUAUGCUUUUUGUUCUUUUACUUCAGGGACUGUUGAUCUUGAAGCUUCUAGGAAGGAGAAAGAGAAUGAAUCGGUCAUUCAAAGGAAGGAAGUGGACACUCUUUCAAGUAGAAUACCCGUGGAUAGAUGGUACACCUAUUCAAAGGAGAUGGGGGUGGACAUUGUUUCAAGUAGAACGUCUAAUCAAAGGGAGGAUAAAGAGAAGCGAGUGGACACUGCUUCAAGUAGCAUUCCCAUGGAUAUGCGGAACGAACCUACAAUACCCUGCAAAAAACAACCUACAACCAAAUUCACCACUACUACCGAGAAUCUCAAUGUUGCCUCAGACUCUAGCUCUGAUGAACCGGAUUUUCUUUCAACGCCUUUUCCCAAUACCCGGCCUUGUCAUGGUAUGCUUAAAUUUUUAAAUAUUCAAUUGGUGAAAACUGAAAAGUGUUUUUUCAAAUUUAAUUUCAUUUCCAAUCUGAAUGAUUUUUUUUUUUUUUUGGUGUUUAUUUUACAAAUUAGGGUUAAUUUUAGUUUCCGUUUCUCUAAAAUGCACACAUGUGUUGAGCAGUAGAUUAUGAUAUGUGGGUGAAAAAAUAUUAUAGAUAAGGGUUGUGUUUGGAUUGGCAUGUCAUAAGCUGAUUUUAACCUAAUUUGGAUAAGCUUUUUUCAGGAUAGUUUAUGAAAACAGAUUAUAAUUUAUAUGAAAACCCCAGUUUGACUAUGUUUUCUUUGAGUAUAGAAAUAGCGCUUAUACAUAAGCACUUAAUUUUGGCGUUCAUCUAAAUGGGCCUGAUUUGAAGUAGUUGUUCUUGAUGUUGUGGAGAUUCAUGGUUUAAUACAAUGUUGCCUCAAUUGCAAUCUGGUUGUGGUUGCAGAUAGAUAGAAAGCCUAGAAGUUGCGUUUGAACAGUUUUUUGAACACUGGCUAUAGUUGCUUGAUAUGAUUAGUGGUAUUAAUUUCUUAUUUUUCAUACUGUGUUCAUUUGUUCAAUUUAUGAUUUUUGUGGGUUAAAAAUGCUUUAGAGAUGGGUUGUGUUUGGAUUUACUUAUGGAAAACGGAUUCAGGCUUAUCUGUUUGCUUAAGCAAUUGACACAGUGAUCUGUAGAAACUUAUGGACACAAUAUAUAUGAUAAGUACUUAUGGGUCGGAUAAACACUUAAUUGAUCUGUUCAUAUAAGCAUGCCCUUGGUAUGAAAUUGUUGCUAUAGAUGUCGUGUUUUCACAAACUUUUUUAAUAGCCUGGCUAUAGUUACUUGAUAUGAUUAGUGGUAUUAAUUUAAUCAAUAGGAUUUUUCAGGAAUAGGGUUUCCCUUCCCAGUUUCCGCUUUAAAUAUUGUUGUCCUAGUCCCCCCAAGCUUUUGAUUUUAAUUAUUUAAUAAGUUUGCAGUGCUGCAGAUGAUUCUUAGGUGAGGGGGUACCAACGUUGUUGGGAUGUUCCAACUCUAAUGAUACCUUUGCACCACAUUUGUUUUUUAUAAAUAAAAUCUUGUUAAAUUUAUGCUUUUUGUUCUUUUACUUCAGGGACUGUUGAUCUUGAAGCUUCUGCACCUAUUUCUAUAGUAUUCGGUCGAAGGAAUUCUUCAAAUAAAAGGAAGGAGAAAGAAAAUGCAUCGGACUCUCCUGCAGGUAGUGUGCCUAUUAAAAAGAAUGGGAAGAAUAAAGGAAAGGAUAAAGGAAGGGAUAAAGUGGACAUUCCUUCAAGCAUCACGCCCAUGGAUAGAUGGAACAAACCUGCAAAUAGCAAUACCAUUAAAAGGAAGGAUAAAAGCAAGUCAACUUCGAGGGUCUGUAAUACUAGGUAAUCAUCCCUCUCUGAUAUGAUAAAAUGCGCAGCAUAAUGAUUAUUCUUCGUAGUGCACUAGUAAUUAAUCGUUUAGAUGUAUCACUCAACUCCACAUAUGUAAAACUGUUUCUGGUCUUGAUGUUGAAUAUUAACCAUGGGCUAUUGUUUAUUCUUCAAAAUACAGAGAGAAAAGUGCAAAUCCACCCAAGGCCAAGGCAUCCUCAGUCCCUUGUAGAAAGGUACAUAACUCUAUUGUUACGGUGCUACAUGUAUUGUUGGCAUGCCAAAUUCUCCGUCUUUACUCUCGAGUGUUGUAUAAUCUCUAAAUAAUUGUUACCUGGAAGUUGAAUGUGUCACUUCCUGAUACUUUUUAGCUUCAUAUGCACCUUUUCCGCUAUUUGCAUACUUAUUGUUUCCUAAUUAUAAGUUGAUUCAUGUCACACUGGAUAUUUUGCAAUUAUUUGAUGCAUCUUCGCUGAAUUUUCAGAAGCAGCGUGCCAAACCAUCUUUAGUGAAUGUGUACAAGGAUCCCGCAGUGCAAGAUUAUAUCAAGAAACAAAAUGCUUACUUUAAAAUGAUUGACGAAUUUGAACUGUCCGAGGAGGAGGUUGACUCUAUUAGUGACAGCUAGAAAAGUGGUAAACUGAUUGAUGAAUUUGGACUGUCAAUGUAGGAGAUUAUAUCUUUUGAUAGUCGGGAAAGUGGUAAAGAUGUAAGUAUAAGUAGCAGCUUAGAGCUUCUUUUUAGUGGGAGGUUGUAUAGUUUUUUCACAAUGAAUUACUACUACAUCAGUGUUACAUUUCUGACCAAAUAAGUAAAGUUAAGUUCUUAAUAGUAUUGGUAGGAGGCCAAUUGGAAAUUGAAGUGAAAAUUGUUUAACACUUACACGCAUGAGCCGAUAUGAAAUUCUCUCUUGUUUCGUUUCUAUAUUACUAUAUCCAACAUCAUUGUGCAAUAUCAUACCAAAUCCUUUAAUCUUAGGGCAUUAGUUUUCUCAUCCUAUGAGUUUCUCGUGCGCCAUAUUCGGAUUCUAAAAUCCGAAAUGUUUCAACAUAUUUUGGAGGUUUUUAUGGGGUAUUUGUAUAGGACGUGCGAGAAACUCAUGAGGUGAAAAAGAAACGGUCUUAAUCUUAUCACUUAACUAGCUCCAAAGAGUAAGUUUCACCUUUUCCACAGAACAAAACAUUGUUCCAUCCCCCAUCCAUUAAACCUGCAAAUUGAUUAAAUACUUGUAUGCCAUUAUUUGACCGUACAAUAUCUAUUCCCAUCAUUUUGGAAAGCGUAGGACAAUCAAAAAACAAGUGAACACUUACUUGUCUCCACUGCUCCACAUUCUCCAACACAAAGGCUCGCUUUGCUUGUGAUAACCCCACUCUUUACACUUGUCCUUUGUUAGUAGGCAAUUUCUACGGAUUUGAGUGUACUGGUACACCUAUAUAUUAAAUGAAUAGUUUAAUGAGUUAUUAUUUUUUUUUUUAGAAAAAAUAUAUUUUCUAUCAGUUACAAUUACAAUAGAUUUAUUUUAUUUCUCAAAAGUGUCGGUAAAUCAAAAUUCAACUUUCUUUUUUAAUUUUUAUUACUCAUAAUAGUGAAUAUUGAUUUUUUUUUUUUUUUUAUAAAAUGUUAAAAAAAAUUAGUAUAAUUCUUAUAAAGAAUGAAGUGAUAUUUUUUCUUAUGAAAUAAUAUUUUUUAAAAUAUAAAAGUCGACAGAUAUCUUUGUUACAUAAAAAUUGAUCGUUAAUUUAUUGAUUUAUAAAAUAGGUGUAUCGGUACACCUUAAUCUAAGGAUGUACAAUAGAAACUCCCUUCUUAGUAAUCUAUUUUGAAACAAUCUCCAUGUCAUUACAAUUCUUCUCUUAAAAACCCAAGUUUCACAUUCCUCUACUAAUUCUUGUUCCCAUUGGAACAGAGCUCUUUUCCAAUCCCAAUUCCAGUUAUUGGGAAAAUCUUGGAAAUCUUUACUAGCACCAUGAAUUGGAGUUUUGCGGUCAAGGGGUUCAAGUUAGUCGUUGUUUCAAUUUCUGGGGCACUUGCUCCGUAGGAAACAUCAAUGUUAAUAAUUCAUAUCCUUGUAGUGUAAAAUUUUGCACGUAUAAUGUAAAAUUAUAUUUCACUUUUGGGUUGUGUCAUAUUAUGUUAUUUCAUAAAAUAUUUUUGAGUAAAUGAUCAAAUUGAUUCCUAUUUAUGUAAGUCACUCUCAAAUUAGUCUAUAACUUUAUUAAUAUUUCAAAAUAAUCAUUAUCUAUGUCAAAAAUUUCUCAAUUAAGUCCCUCGUCAUACAACGAAAACAUAGAGAUAAAAAUCUAAUUGAGAAACCUUUGAUAAUAUUUCAAAGUAGUAUUCGUCUUUGUCAAAAGUUUCUCGAUUAAGUGUCUCGUCAUGUGACAAACAACUAAUUGAAAAACUUUUGACAAAGACAGUGACUAUUUUGAAAUACUAAUAGAGUUAGAGACUAAUUUGAGAGUGAUUUACAAAGACAAAUACCAAAUUGAUAAUUUAGUCAAAUAUUUUCAUAAAUAAUCACAUAACGAUAUAUAAUCACAUGAGUCUCAUACUAUGAAAUACAAAGUUUUAUAUGUACCGAGCUCAACGAGACUAGUGAUGGACAAAUCUAAACUUAGAAUUUAUUAGUAUACAUUGUCGGUAGUAGUAUACAAUUAUUUUAUGAAUGCAUCUAAUAAUAUGUAGUCACGUCAAUUAAUUAAUAUGGAAAAAGAGUUUUGAUAUUUAUCAAUUAAAAUUCUAGAAAUAUUGAAGUCAUGAAUCUCACGAUCUUCACAAUUAAAGAAGAUAAUGAUUAUCCAGAAAUCCUAGCUCAACUGGCAAAAUGUCGAAAUUGUUAGGUCAGAUAUCAUGAUCGGGGUUCGAACCCCGGUACCUCCACUUGUGUGCGUGAAUUUAUAAUAGCUUUGCCAUUUCGUCUAUCUACCAAAAAAAAAAAAAAAAGAAGACAAUGAUUGAAUAUGAGCUUAUUCGUAUUUGAGUGAAUUGUAUCAACAUAGUUCCUUUUUGAGAUUAAUUUUUUUUUUGGUUACAAAGCUAACGGGAAAACAAAUAACAAAAACAAAUAGAAAAAGAAAAAGCUGUUAAGAAGCUAACUACUCCCGAAGGUAAAAGGUGUCAACGACAUCACUUCUAAAAAGGUCAAAGAGACUAUAUCAGAGGGUGAGUUAUGAAGAACAACACCAUCAUCAAAUGAGGCUCCAAGCUGUGCCAUGAAAUUAGCGCACCAGUUCCCCUCUAUGAAACUGUGAGAAACCUUAAUAUUACUUUGAAGAAGCAAUUGUUUUAUGUUUUGAAGAAGAACCGCAUAAACAUGGUAUCUCAACGGGGCCAUUAAGAAGAUAUAUGCAAACAAGAGAAUCAUAAUAACAAGCUAACUCCGUAUAACCCAAAUCCUCAGUCAUGACCAAACCAUGCUAUAUGAAAGAAAGUUCAGCUAGCAUAAUAUCGUUUGAGUUUGGAAGAAAAUCAGAAAACCUGCAAGAAACAACCUGAAUUAUUUCGCAAAACCCCUCCAAACCCUGUUAUAAGAGGAGUACCAUGACAAAUACAAUCAACAUUCAGAAUAACACAAGAGAGAUUAUUGUUGUUCCAUUUGACAUAUCGAUUGACAGUAGUAACAUGAGCAGUGGGAGAAAAGUUGUUUGUUAUUACCUCAAUCGAAUGCUUUAUGCUACAAAUAAGUCGACGAAGAGACCAAGUUUCGCCUCUCGAACACAUAAGGUUUUGAUGGUCAUACACGUCAUUGGGAGAGAAGAACUCAUAAUUAGUGAAGCCUAAUUGAUGCCAUAUCCUAAGGCAAAAGCUGCAGUCUCGGAUACAGUGAAGAAAAAUUUCGUUUUGAAGACUGCAACGAGAACAAGUAGUAGAAGGAGCUUUGGCUCAAGUUUAAUUUUGCUCAAGUUUUAUUUGUUUAAGAAGUGACCCAAUAACACAUGUUAAAAAAUUAAUGGAAAUGUUAACUAGUGUUCCCGAACACCAGUUAACAUCCUUGAAAGUGGUGUAUUCAACAUCUUUGAAAGCAUGCAAAAGGAUUACAUCUUUGAAAGUUUGAAACUGUUUUUAAAGUUUAAAAAUUGUUUUUUAACACAACUUUUUUUAGUUGUUUUUAUAAUUUCUUAGCAAGUGUUUAGAAGAUAUGUUAGCAAGACAUAGAUAUAAUAACCCAUUUAAGUUGACCUGAGGACGUUGAUUUAAAACUUUGGAGUAUCCAUCUCUUCAAACUCUUAGGUAAUGACAAUCAUAUCACAUUAUAUUUAUUUGGCUCAGAAAGUAGAAUAAAAGUUCCCAAGAUUGAGACUUGAGAGUGUUAAUUUUCUUUAGACAAGUUUUUAGUCUUACGGUGAACAAAGUUGUAAUUGAUUGUGAGAGAGACCAUUACACUCUCAAUAAUAGUAAAUGGUAUUAGUUAAUAGUUAGGCUUAACUACUUAAGUGCACAAAAUAGCGUGAUUGUUUUCUUAAUUAAACAACAUAAGGUGGGGCUAUGGAAGAUUCGUUACAUACUUGUAGUUGCUAAACUUCAAACAUUCCAAAAAUGUGUAAUUUUUUUCUAGCAUGCAAGCAUGGCUUUCACUUUCUAAUUGUCAAAAAGCAAGCAAAAGAAUUGAACUAGUCUUUUGCCAGCUAGCUGCUGUUUAACAUUCAGUAUCAAUUUAUAUUAAAUUAAGAUAAAAGUUUCAAACAUAAAUAUUGUUUUAAAUGUACUUUUCAUCAUUAUAUAUAUUUUUUUAUGAACAUUGUAUAUUUAUUUUUAUAAAGUAAAAAUAGUUCAAAAUCGAGUUUGCAUAUAUACACUAGUCGAUACAUAUAUGAGUAGUUGAGCAAUGCAAGGAGGUCUCAUCUCCACCACGAAAGACACAUCUAAUAUAUAUAGCAUAAAAGAAAAUUAAAUUAGAGAUUUUAAUUUUUGAUUAUUUUCAUAAUUUCAACGCAUUUUAACAAAAUGAUUUGACUCGAAUAGUUUGUGAGCUUUAAGCAGAAAUUAUUUAAAAGAACCUAAAUUUAAAUUUUGACUAGCUAUUGAUUAAAUUUUAAUUAACUUUUUAAUCAAUUUCUGGACAAUCAAAGUCUCUUUCUUCAUUGAAUUGGAAUGUUAAGAUCUAAACAAAACUUUCUACACCUUUUAGUUAUAUCCUCCAAAAUAUAAUAUUAUUUUUGAAAAUGCUAACUUGUGCCUUUAAGAUACAAGUUAAUGAAUUAAAAGUAAAAAUAUUUUGUUGUAAUUAAUGCAUUUGUAUUUAAUUUUUUUACUUUUGAUUAAUUGCAUAUACAAAGUUUAAGAAAAUGUUUCUAUUUUUGGAUAGAUUAACAUGUGUCCUUAAGACACAAGUUAAUGAGUCAAAAGUAGGGAUAUUUUGUUGUGAUUAAUGCAUUUGAUUUUUUUUUUUUUUUACUUUUUAUUAAUUGAAUACACAAAAUUUAAAAGAAUGUUUUUUUUUUGGUAGCUUAACAUGCAGGGCCGUCCCUGAGAAUUCGGAGGCUCGGCUCUGGGAAUGAAAAGAGGUCAGUGAUAAAAUCAAAACGUUUUUUUUUUAAAAGAGCGAUGUUCUAUUUAUAUUUUUUAAAAUAUAAAUACAAGGUGCCGUAUAUAUGCGGUACACCCAGAGGUGAAAAUGACUACCGUAUACAUGAGAAACCUCCACCUAACACCAAAAUUAAUCAUGAGGAACCCCCACUCUUGAGGCCCAUCCUUGAGGGAGGCCCAACUCGUUUGAGCUGUUUGCACCCCCUCAGGGACGCCCUGUUAACAUGUGUCCAUAAGACACAUGAUCACCAUAUUAUUUUUACUCAUUUAAUAUCCUUCUUGAUAUUUUAAUCAAUCUAGGUAAUUUUUACAUUUAAACCAAACAGUUUUUGGAUUCUUUUGGUUAAAAUAAAUUAAGCAGUCAAAACACUCAAACGUUUGCUUGCAUGUCAAUUAGAUUCGAUGGACGAGUUGAAUUAAUCAUCUCAUGAAAAUUUCAAACACCCAAUCUUAAAGUGGAUAAUAUCAUGGAACCUUAGAAGAAAAAAAGUUUACUAACUACUUGCUACCAUACUUUUGACAAAUCUCCGCAUGCUGGUACCACUACUCUUUAUUGCAAAUCAACGUAGCAGGUACACUUUUUAUUUAAAAAUUGAUUAUAAAAUCAAAUCGAGUAAAUAUGAUAUGACAUAAAUGAUAUAUACUAAUUCAUCUCUUAACCAUGGAAUUGGAUUCCCGGCAGUAACUGCGUGAUGCAGUUACAACUGCCAGCCGUCCGAUCAAAAUAAAUGUUCAAGAUAUUGUUUAUCGUGUGAAUCUGAGUUUGAAAUCUGAACCGUACGAUCACAAAUCAACGGCCACGAUCUAUUACAACGUGAAACAGCAGGAAAAUUCUACAGCAGAGAAACCUGAUCCCUUAACCAUUAAGUCUAAAGUUUAAUUCUUAAUUGAGUCGCCACUUGUAGAAAAAAUAUAUGUUUAAAGAUGUUUACUCUUUAAAAGGUUAUGUUAACUAGUGUCAUAACGAUAUUCGUUAAGAAUUCAAAAAGAUGAAGUUUCAUCUUAAAAAUAACAUGUUGUAGAGUUUUUUUUUUAAAUUUUUUUAAGAACAUGUUGUUGAGUUUAAAAACAUCGACGACAUAACUUCUAAUAGCUUAUUUUACCUAAAAAAAAGGGUCAUGCUAACUUAUACCCUUAGGACAUAGAUUAAGAAUUCAAAAAAUGGUAAAUAUUUAUUAUAAAACAUUAAUUUUCAAUCUCUAAAAGAAUAAAUUAACACAGUUUCCUUGACAAAAUUUUCAUUUUAAAUUCUUUAACAUAUGCUCGCAUAAGUUAGCAUUUCCCAAAAGAAAAUCAAACCGACUAAACCAUAUGACUGAUUAUAACAUAUAGCCAAGUCAACGAUGUUAGGUUAGCAAAAUUAAAGGGAGAGACAAAGCACCUUGAUAUAUUAAUCUUGCAUUGACAAAAUUGGCAACUAAGUGAAUUGGUCGCAAGAGCCCUAAUAUAAAUAUGAGACACUUCUUCAGUUUCCAAACACAAACACAAACACAAAUACAAAACCUUCUUAAUUGUACUUUUGUACUUUAGCAAUUAUCUAGUUUAUUACAUGGCUUCGUUUUGUUUUAGCAUGACAAGUAAUUUAAUGAUAUGUUUUUCCCUUUUGGUUCUUGUAUCAAUUGGGAGUGCCAAUGCUAAUCUUUCGAAAGAUUAUUACUAUAGUUCUUGUCCAAAACUAUUUGAAACUGUUAAGUGUGAAGUUCAAUCUGCCAUAUCAAAAGAGACUCGCAUGGGUGCUUCUCUUCUGCGUUUGUUCUUCCACGAUUGCUUUGUUAAUGUACUCAUUUUUUUCUUCUCUCUCACUUACAUUCAAUUACAUUUUAUAUAACACACACACACACAUAUAUAUAUAUAUAGAUAGAUAAACAAAAGUCGAUGUAUGUCAUUUAAAUUUUAAACGAGAUGCAUGAACUUUUAUUGACUCAAAUGUAUCUUAUAAAUAUGACAAAAUAAAGCAACAUAAAUAUAGAAUGAUUUCCCACUAACGGUUUGGUUUACCUACUUUGAAUUUUUUUAAAAAUGCUUUUGUUUCUGUCAAUAUAAUUUAUUAACAAUAUUGACUUAUGGUUUCUUAGUCUGGUAUAGUGAUGACAUGCUAGUUUAAUUAAUUGGGAUGAAUAAUCUAACCUCUUUGAUGCUACUUGCUUUUGCUUAAAAAAUUAAUGUGAUCAUAGGAUUGGAUAUUGUGUACAACUCGUUUUCUUUAAUACAAAUUUAAUUAUAAAAAAAUAUGAAUAUUUUUAAUAUAAAAUGUACCAAAUAUGACUAUUAUUAUGAGAUUGAGAGAGUAUUAUAUAUUUUCUAAGGACUAUACAAUUCAUUGGCAAAUUUGAAUUGAAUAAAUAAACCAUUGCAGGGAUGUGAUGGUUCAAUUCUUCUCGAUGACACAUCAAGCUUCACCGGAGAGAAAACUGCCAAUCCCAACAAAAAUUCGGCCCGUGGAUUCGAAGUGAUCGACAAAAUCAAAUCAGCAGUGGAGAAAGUAUGUCCAGGUGCAGUUUCAUGCGCUGACAUCCUUACCAUCACUGCUAGAGACUCUGUUGAGAUCGUAAGUAUCCACCAAAAUUGCAUCAUAAUAUUCAUAUUAACCAAAAACAUAAAAUUUGAUCAAAUUUUAAUAUUUUCCUAUACAUUUUAGAGAAUAAAGUUAUUAAAAUCUCAAUAUAAUACCUAAUUGAACAAUCAAUGUAAAACUAUUUUACACCGUGAGUGAAUACAAAUAUAAAUAUAUUGUAUAAAUUAUGCUAAUUGAUUAUGCUUAAAUUUCCCAGCUUGGAGGCCCAACAUGGGAUGUGAAACUUGGAAGAAGAGAUGCAAGAACAGCUAGUAAAUCAGCUGCAAACAAUGACAUCCCAGCACCCACUUCAAGCCUCAACCAACUCAUCUCAAGGUUUAAUGCUCUUGGUCUUUCCACCAAGGAUUUGGUCGCAUUGUCUGGUAUGCAACAUUGAUUAUAAUCUUUUUUUGAGAAAUGUGAACUUGUGUCCAAAGAUAUAAGUUUAGUAACUAAACAUAGAAGUUUUUUUUUUUUUUUUUCCUCAUAAAAAUGGUGUAUUAAAUAUUUUAAAGGUUUAAAUUUUUAUCUUUUCAUUGGUUGUUUGAGUAAAUCUUGAUUUUUAAAUGAUGCUUGGACUAGGGGGUCACACAAUUGGACAAGCAAGGUGCACUACAUUUAGAGCCCACAUUUACAACGACUCCAACAUAGAUACUUCCUUUGCUCGCACAAGGCAAUCAGGGUGCCCCAAGACAUCGGGUUCCGGGGACAAUAAUUUGGCACCCCUUGAUCUUGCAACACCAACAUCCUUUGACAACCAUUACUUCAAGAACCUAGUUGACAGUAAGGGACUACUCCACUCCGACCAACAACUCUUUAAUGGUGGAUCCACCGAUUCCAUAGUGCACGAAUAUAGCUUGUAUCCAAGCUCUUUUUCCUCUGAUUUCGUCACCGCCAUGAUCAAGAUGGGAGACAUUAGUCCCCUCACCGGUUCAAAUGGAGAGAUAAGAAAGCAAUGCAGGAGCGUGAAUUAACCUAUUUAAUUUUUUGUUGGACCAAAUGCAUGUAUCUUUUUAUUUAUAUUUAAGUCUGGACGGAGUAUAUUGUAUUUUAAUUAAGUUUUCUUGUACUUUAUUUUGUUGGUCUCAUGUUUCAAGUAUUGUGUUUUGUCUCAUUAUUAUUUUGAUUCCAAGUGUGAAUGUUGAAGGAUAAAAUUUCUUAUAUUUUAAGGUUUGUUUUAAAGGAAGUAUUGAACUUCAUAUAAUGUUGAUUUAAUGUAAAGUUCAUUGUGACUUUCUGCUUUUAUUUCUUUUCAUAUUUCAUCAAAUUCACCGUGAACUCCAUAAUUAAAUUAGAAGUUACCAAGGAACUGGUUUGGUUUUAAUUAGGGAGCUGCCAAAUACACCGGCUAACAUCUAGCAUGUGAAGUGUGUGCAUUUUUUUUUUAAAAGGAAAGUGUGUGCAUUAUUAGAAAUGUUAUGAUUUGCAAUGGAUUUAAUGACAAAUAAAGUUGAAGACUUGCAACUGAGAUUUUAAUUUCUCCGUACUGUUGCAACCAAAUUUUAUUUUAGACAAAUAUCGUUUCAUUCAUUCUUUAAGAGUCAUCAUAUAUCAUUUACUACAACAAAAUGAAACUGUUUUCAUAAAGCCAAGAAGCAACAUUGGAAAAGUGCUUUUGAAAUUUUCUUUCUUGCCUUGAUAAAAAUCGCAACAUAAAUGCUCUUCUCUUUACAAAAAUUGCUCGCUUCCAACGAAACUUCCGAAAAUACCUUCGCAUGAGUUAACUUACGCAAGUUUAUAUCCCAGCGUGAUUUAAGUCACGCCGCAUGAUUUAAGUUACAUUCCGAACACCAGCAUGACCCACGAUGGUUUUAAAGACUGCAUGUAUUGUAUUUUUUCAAUUAUGUUCAACCUGCUCUCAAGUCUCACCUAUUGGCUCUCUCUCUCUUCCUUCUGUCUAUCUUUCAACCGUCAUCAUCUUUCGGGCUCUCACCACCACUUGUUAUAGUAUCAAUAUCUUAAUUUGUUUUUCCAUCAAUUUUUUUCUUCUUCUUUUGAGUAGUUCGAAUUUCAUCCACAAAACCACACCAAGUUCAUAGUAGAAAAUGGAAGUGUAAGUUUUAAGAGAUAGAAGUGGUAAAAUGGUACAGAUGAAUUUAAUUUCAUUUUGGGUAGUUAUGAAUUUCAUCAACAAAGAAUAAAAGGAGAAAAAUAUGAUAUGAAACAAUUUUCUUUCAAUUAUUAAUUUUUAUCUGCUGAAUUUCUAAUCGAAUGAAUUAUAUUGAUUUCUUCUUCUUCUUUUUAAAUUAUUUUGAAGCUUCAUUUUCUUCCAAUUUUGAAACCUAUGGGUAUUUUAGAUUCUUCUUUUUGGGUUCAUGUUUGCUGGUAGCAAGUUGGUGAAAGUGAUGAUGUUUCAACAAGGAUAAAAAAAUUGAAGAAGAAGAGAGGAACAUAAUCAUGGGCGGUUUUAUCAGUGGCAGAUCAUCAAGGAGAUCCAUAGGAGCCAUUGCAGGUGUGCAGCCUCCAAGUUACCUAUAAUUAUCGUAUUAUCCAUAAUUUAUCGAAUGUUACGUCCGUGUUGCUGUGGAUCCCUAACCCCCCGGGUUCAAUCCAUGCUACUCUCUUUCUUUAUUUUCUAUUGAUAGAUUCAACAAAUUAAACCACCGCACCAGUCCACAAUUUUACUAGUAUCUUAAAACUGUUUAAUAUAUUCUGAAAAUAUUUUGUUAGAUUCAACAAAUUAAACCAUGACACUAGUCCACAAUUUUACUAGUAUCUUAAAACUGUUGAAUAUAUAUUAUGAAAAUAUUUUAUCCAGACUCUACAAAAUUCCUGGCUCAGCCACUGAAUAGAAUCUCAAUGUCUCAAAAGAUGAAACCUUUACAUAUUGUGAGGAAUAAAAAAAUCAUGACAAAUCUUCGGUUUAACUUGCAGAAUAAAUGAAAAAUUAACAUUAAAAAUAAAAUAGAUUUAUUGAAAAAAUUCAUAGAGAAAUUGAUUUUGAAGUGAACUGAAUCUGGUGGUGAUUUAGGGUAUAUGGACACAGUCCUUAACAAAGAUGAUGAACAAAGAGGUGUAUAUGGAGAGGGAAUAUAAUGGUUCAGAGUGUAUACGACAUGAACUGAAUCUAUGUUACUACUCACGCUAUUGUUCAAAAUGUGACUUAAGUCACGCAUGUGUUAAACCCGACGUGACUUAAGUCACGUUGGGGUAUAUUAUACAUGCGUGAGUUAACUCAUGCAGAGGUACUUUCGGAAGUUUGGUUGGGAGAGAGCAAUUGUUGUUGGGAGAAGAGCAUUUUUCCAUAUCACACCACUCACUAUCCAAUUUUUUAAAUGGGCCAGUUUUGAGGCGUGCUGCUAUUUACACCCCUGUAGUUUGAGAAAUGAUAUAUGAACAUCAUUUUUGUACAACCAACAACCUUUUUGCUAUUUUAUAAUAUUUUUUUAGUGAUUUCGAUUUGCGUGCUCUUCACAAUAUUAAAAGGUGUUGCAUUAGUUGUUCAAUUUUGAUUGUACAUAUAACAUUGCUCUUGUAGUUUAUCACAUUCAGUCUUCAUUUGAGUGGGAUUAUGGGCAUAGAUUUGAAUGUUGAAGACAAACAAAUAACAAAGUUUGUUUUAUAAAAAAAAAACAUUGUCUAAAUUUUUUUUUGUUGUUUAAAAAUAACGAACUUUAAUUUUUCAAAUAGAUAACAUUAAUUAGUUUGAUUCAAAAAGAUAAGAGUACUUGAAAAAUGGUAUAAUUAAAUAGGAAUGUUAAAUCCGUAGUCAAACGACAAUCAAAUAGGAAUGCUAAAUUCAAACCACACUUAAAAAAGAACGGAGGGGGUAUUUGUUAUAUUUGUUUGAAAGAUAUUAUAUUUGUUAUAUUGUUGAUACUAUUGAAAAAUAUAAGUAUAAUUUAUUACAAUAAAAAAGUACAAAAUAUCUUUUUUUUUUUUUGAAAGAGAAAGUACACAAUAUCUAUUAUCCAUCCCUAUAAUUUUAAUCAAAAUCAAUAUGAUUUUAAUUAAAAUUUUAAAAAAAUAUUGUUUCUCCUCUCAAAAAUAAUAAUAAUACUGAUUCUAAUAUAUACAUAUUAUCACAAUAAGAAAAGUGGACAGACGACGGCACUACGUGUCCGUCUCAACACUAGUAAUAUUAAUAUAUAAACGGAAUAAUAUAUUUUAUUGGAUUGUAUUCUUUAUUAAUCCAAUUAUAUCUUUUAAAUUUUUUCCUAUGAAUACUAUUUUGUUGGUGUUAUUGAAAAAGAUCAUAAAUUUAUUAUUUUUGUUAUAUUGUUUGUAAAAGAUAAAUAUAUUUUUUUAAAGGAAAAGAUAAACAUAGUGUUUUUAUAGGAAAAACAACCUAGUUUGUUACUUCCUUGAAUAAAAAAAACCUAGUUUGUUACUAUUUUUUAGGAGAUAACUAUUAUUAUUAUUUUGUUACUUCCUUCUAUAUAAAUAUAUAUCUAUAUACUUUUAUGUAGCUACAAUUCGUUACAAUUAUUUUCGAUCACUUGAUUCCUUCUUCAAUUGUUGCCUACUCUUUUUUGUUUUCUCAAGCGAUUUGACUAUGGCUCCUACACCUGUGUUCAUCAAGGUACACGACCUACGCCCCGAGAUGGAAGACGUCAACUUGACUCUAAAAGUGCUCAAUGUUAAGGAUGUGUCUCGUAAGGGUAGCAUGCCAGUGACUGAGUCUCUCGUCGGGGUAGAAUAUGAUGAAACUGGCAUCAUCAUAUUCAGAGCGAUCGGCGGUGAUAAAAUCAAUCGAGUGAAAGAGGGAUCAACCAUUGUAGUGCGCAAGGCAAGGAUACUUAUGUAUAAAGGUUCGAUGAGACUCAGUGUUCGCAGAGCGGAAGACAUAGUAGAAGCCCCGGAGCCUGCUUCCUUCAUAGUCAAAGAAGAUUGUAACUGGUCGCUCAUUGAAUUCGAGCGAGUUCAAGUUCGUUGUUAGUUGUUUUUGCUAAUACCACUCUCUUUUUUCUUAACUAGGUUUUAAGAUGAUAGAAUGAUGUUAUAGUGGUUUUCUUAUAAGCUAUUAUUAGUAUCAUAAUUCUUUUUCUGCUUUUGAACUCAUUUAUUUAUUUAUUUGAAGUGGAUACAAAGAACAAGGGCUAUCUUUAAUGGAGAUUCUCCACAUUGAUUUUGAAUUUGAUACAUAAAGUGUGUUUCUGGAGACAAAAGUUUAAAAUUUGUUGAUGGACACGAGUUCAAGUCUUUCCCUUCCUGUAGAUGCAUUUUUUUUCCUUCUAAAAUCAUAACACCUCUAUCCAAGACUUAAUUUUUUUUUUUUAUACUAAAACUCCUUGCGGCUUGCUCGACGUAAGAUUUUAUAACUCGAAAGUUUACCUCAACUUGUUUUACGUAUAUAAACUCGAAUCGUAAACUCGACUUGUAAAUUCAUACAAGUUUGUCUAAAAUUAAAAUUAUAUAAAAUUUAUUAUAUACAUGACAUACUUAAACUAACAUUCCUUCAAAAAAAAAUACUUAAACUAACAUAAUAUUACAAAUACGUCAAUAAUGUAAAAUAUGACAUAAUUGUAAAGACAAAGUAUACAUAACAACCAUAAUAAAGAGUUAUGUUCAACCUGUGCAUCAAAAUAAAAAUUUAACUUGCAAAAUCAUAAGAUUCAUAAGACUCUAAACCAUCCAAAAAAAGCAAGUUUCACAUAUAAAGUUGUUAAUAAAACUAUCCAAAAAAUAAACUAGUUAAUUUCUUCAAAAGUUCAACCCUUCUAAAUUUUUAUAACAUUAUUAUCAUCGAUGUCUUAAUCUCUAACUUAAACAAAUUCUUCUCCAUAUGUGUUAGCCUACAAUUUCUACAGGCUCAUUUAAUAUGGUCAACAUUUGGUUGACUUUCAUCUUUGCAGGAAUCGAAGGCCGCCUCAUUCCAAAUUGAGGGUUUCGACGAGACACAAGCCUAACAUGAAGAAUUCAAAGUUCAACAAGACAAGGCCAAAGGCACGAUGCCGUCGAAGUCAAGCAAAGGCAAUUGAAGCGGGGAGAUUCAAAUCCAAACCAAAGACGGUCACUACUAAAAAAACAAAAAUUAGUGAGGGAAAUUUUGUGAGGGAAAAUGUGAAAUCCCUCUCUAAUUCCGUCACUAAAUUUUGCGACCAUGGAUUUUGUGAGGAAUUUCAUUUUUUCCGUCACUAAUUUCCCUCGCUAAUUUUGCUUUUUCUAGUAGUGGGUUUCCUCAAGUGGGAACGUGGAGACAAGCGGUUGUCCAAGAUGGAGAAAGUGCUGAUCAUGGGAUUAGGCUUUCACCGGUUAUUUUCUUCGUGUAUAAAUAAGAGUUUCCCAGUAGAAAAAUAGGUCGCAAAUCAUUUAUAGAAAUUCUACAACACUCAAACUACCGGUGCAUAGGAAAACGAGUUAUAUAUAAUGUAUGUAAAUUGAUUUAUUGGACCACUUUACUCUUGUGCAAUGCAUUUUACCUUUCCUUUAAGUUUAUGCGUUUAAACUUUUACCUUUAUGCAUGUCUUUUCAAACCCGUCGAGAGACAGUACCCUUUUUUAAAACUCUAAAACUCGUCUUGCUCUUUAAGUAACCUGAGUGCAUUUCGUGGCCUUUUUCAAGUUGUUUUCCUCAAAACCUUUGCACAACAUGUCCUGUGAUUUCUAGUUCGGUCCCGCUUGUAAUAAUCAGAACUAGCCCGUAGUAUGCCGAAAACACCGAUAAACAAGAUGAUAAAAGGUUUUCGAUAUUAGAACCACAUAUACGAUUUGAACUCACUUCAACAUUAAUAUCAGUACCUUAUGCUCGAAAAAAGAAUUAGGUUUUGAAAGAAAAUGGGCCCAAAGAAAAUAGGGAAAAUAUAUAUAUAUAUAUAUAUAUAUAUAUAUAUAUAUAUAUAUAUAUAUAUAUAUAUAUAUAUAUAUAUAUAUAUAUAUAUAUAUUUUUUUAACGUAAACUCGGUUGAGUUUAUAUCGAGUUUACACGAGUUUAACACGUGUUAAACUCGUCAAACAUUCUGAUUUUUACCAAAAAAUGAGUUUACCUCUGAGUUAACGAGUUAACACUCGAUUUGUGGAACACCGCUCCACAGUCCAAUCUUUACGUUUUAGAUUCUAUUUUUUUUUUCUUUCGAAUUUGUUGUAUUUCAGAUUUUAAAAUUUGAGGUUAUUUAACGAACUAAACUAGUUUUUUUUUUUUUUAUUGAAAAAGUGAUUUUUACGCGUAGUUGUAUGCAAACAAAUUAGGGGUUUGUUUGUUACGGAUUAAAAUAAAAAUGAUUUUGACAUAAAAUAAUUUAGAGAUUAUUUUUUAGAGAUUUUAUGAAAAAUCAGAAUCAAUUUUGCGUCUGUUUACCGUAAUAAAAAUCAUUUUUUAAAAAAUAAUAAAUUAUAGUUUGUUUUAUAUAACUUUUUUAAGAAGAAAAUAAUAUAUAUAUAUUUUUUUAAAAUAAUCACUUUUAAGAGUAUUGCAUCUGCUUGUUGCUUGUUACGACUUAAAAAAAAUUAGAAUCUAUAACAAAUCUAAAAACAACUUCAAAUUGAAAGCAGAUUCUCAAAAAAAUAUUUUUUUUUAGAGGAGAGAAGGAAAAUAUGAUUCAAAAGAUUGAAAAGUAACAAACAUUUGUUAAAUUAUUGAAUGGAAAAAUCAUUUUUUUCUUUCUAAUAAGUAACAAACAAACCCUUUAUAGAAAAGCACACGAUUCUUAAAAAUCAGUUGCAUCAAAAAAAAAGAAAAGCACACGAUAUUUGAGUGUAAAACCAACCGUCCCCAGCAUCCCUCUUCCUCGAAUUUGAAUACAACUGAAAACCGUUCUGCUUCUUUAGCUGCCUCUAACCUCUUUCAGCAAUGGAGCCAUGCGAGGAUAGAAUAAGCAAUUUACCAGAUGAUAUCCUGUGCCACAUUCUAUCUUUCAACCCUACCAAAAACGCUGUUACCACUUCCAUUCUUUCCAAGAGGUGGACUCAUCUAUGGCGCUGUGUUCCUAUCCUCGAUUUCACGGAUAUCAAAUUGAGAGACUGUGAAUCCAUUCUCCUAUUCAAUCAGUUCGUCGACUAUUUUAUGCUCUCGCGAGAAGCCACUGGUAAUCAUUCCAUCGACAGUUUUAUCGUGGACGUUGAAUAUGCUGCUAGUCGUAAUCACGUCACAUCUCUUAGCAUUCCCAAUCUCGCAAAAUGGGUUAACCUUGUUGUUCAACGCAAAGUUAAGAAUCUUCAUCUCCUUCUCAAUUUGCUCAAUGAUCCAAUUCCCCCCGGUUUUCUACUCCCCAAAUUGCCCAAUACUAUCUUUAGUUGUAAAACAUUAGUAACCCUAAGGCUUAGUUGGUUCCAUGUAAAGGGUUUUUCGUUUUCUUCAGUUGGAUUUGGAUUUCCAUUGCUAAAAACCCUUCAUUUGGACCGCGUUAUGUUUGUUGAUGAACGAGAGAUUUUGUUGCUUCUUGAUGGAUGUCCCGUUCUUCAGGAUUUCAAGUCAAGCGAUGUAUAUACGAGCAAUGUGGUAACCGAAGAAAGUAUCAAUCAAGUGUUUCAUAACUUAAGCUUAAGCAAGUUGAUUAGAGCAGAUAUUAUUGACGUUAAUUGUGAUAUUCCAAUGAAAGCACUUUUUAAUUCGGAGUUUCUAAGAAUACAACUAUGGGAGGUUCGUUUGAUUGUUAAUAUGAUAUAUGAUUCAUUUGUAUUUUGUUUUAAUGAAUUUCCUACUGAUUUUUUAUUUUGUCUUUCUUCAUAAUUUAGGCAUAUACUCCGUAUGAUUUGCCUACCUUCAAUAAUUUGACUCACUUGGUGAUCAACUAUUAUUUGGAUAUGUUUAUAGAAGUGCUUCACCACUGCCCUAAACUUCAAAUUCUUGAACUUUACCAGGUUUGUUAAGAUUAAGAAUUGUAUUUAGUUUAUUCUUUAUUAUAACUUUUAUGUUUAAUUUUGUUUUGUGAAUAAUUAUUAACAGAAAACACAAGUUGAUUGGGAUGAGGAGAACACUGAAGGAGGAAAAGAACAAGAAAAUUGGGUGGAUCCAAAAUCCACUCCACAAUUUCUUUCAUUAUAUCUUAGAACUUGCACUAUUCGGGACUUCGCUUUUGUAGACCUACAACACGACCUUAUGUUAGCAAGAUAUAUUCUAAAUAAUGCAAGAGUUUUACAAACUAUGACAAUAUGGAGUGACAAAGAACAACCUCAAAUAGAAAAGGAACUAUCCUUAAUUCCAAUGGCAUCAAAAACUUGUCAACUUUCAGUUUAUUGAUAACAUAUAAGAUAUAUGUAAGUAGUAGUUUUCUUUCAUGUCCGUUGUUUCGUAAGUUUCUACCAUAAAAUUGUUGAAUUUGAUGGUUUGAGCUAUGAAUAUCAUAGACAAUGUAAUUACUACUUAUGCAAAACUUUGAUGGUCAAUUUCAACACAGAGUUAAUCAAAUAAGAAUAUGUAAAAUACUCUUCAAUUUUGUUUGAGUCAUUGUUGUAUAUUCUUUCUUUUUUGUGUGCAUGUGUGUAGUUUAAUUAAGAGGAAAAUGAAGUUAUGUAUGGUUGUGCUUUACUUAUAAUGCUAUCUGCUCCAACAGGUUUUGUAUUUCAUUUUGAAUGAUGCUUCUGGAUAUAUAGUAGUUAGGUUCAUGAUUGGUUUGUCUUUAGCAACUUUUGUUUCUUGCCAAUAUCGGACGAGUAAGACGUUUAAUAGGGAAGACUGUGGGACUUGUUAAUGGGUCUGUUUAUGGAUGGGGUAUUAUGGAUGUUGGGGAUAAUAUUGAACUUGUUAAUGAGAUUGCAAAUGCUGAUUUUAGUGCUUUUUUUGUCAUAAGAUUCUUCCUCAUCUUUUAGUUAAGCUGUAAUUUUCUACUUCCCAAUUAACUGCUUUUAGUAAGGAGAAAUUUUGGCGAAAUGGUAAAGUUGUUGUCUCGUGAUUGAAAAGUCAUAGGUUUAAGUCUUGGAAACAACCUCAAAUGAAAAUCAGGGUAAUGCUGCGUAUAAUAAUACAUUAAAUGAUGGGACCUCUUCCCAAAUUUUGCGUAUGCGAGAGCUAGUGCACCAAACUGUUUUUUUAAUUUAUUUAUUCUGGUUUUAGUAUGAUCUUUUUUGUAGCAAACUUAAGUGAAAUAGAUGUACUGGCUAGUUUAGGAAAAGGAGAAGUAGUUCUACUAUGGAGGUGAAAGUGGGAGGUCAUAUCAUACCUCAAGUUACACCGUUUAAAUAUUUUGGGUUCAUAGUACAAAAUGACAUAGAAAUAGUAGCAUAUGUAAAUCAUCAUAUUUAAGUUGGGUGGUUGAAAUGGAGAAGAGACUCAUGUGUUUUAUGUGAUAAGAAAAUGCUGUUUAAGUUGAAAGGAAAAUUCUACCGGACAACAGUCAAACUGGCAAUGUUGUAUGAUACAAAGUGGUAGGCGGUUAAGAACCAACGUGAGAAUCAAGUAAGCGUAUCAGAGAUGAGGAUGUUGCGUUGGAUGAGCGGUAAGACUAAAUAGGAUAAGAUUAGGAAUGACAACAUGUAGAAAAUAUGAUUAGGUGGUUUUAGCAUGUAGAGAGAAAACCAGUAAAUGAUGUAGUAUGAAGAGUAGAUCAGAUAGAGGAGAGUAAAGAAGAAGAUGUAGAGGAAGACCUAGAAAAACUAUUAUAAAAGAUAUAGAGGUUAAUGAGUUGGAUCCAAAUAUGGUUCAUGAUCAAACUUUAUGACGUAAUUUCAUUUGAUUCACUAGCUGAGUCAAUUUAAUGGGAUAAUGCUUUGUUGUUGUUGUAGAUGUGCUUGCUAUUUUCUAAAACAUAUUCAGAUGUUUGUGGCUUUGUCAAGUAGACUUUUUGUAGAUUUUGGAUACAAGGUGAAAUUCAAAAGAAAUUGAAAAUCAAGGAAAAGAAGCACGGUGUAUUCUCACCAUUUGGAUAAUAAUGUUGGAAUCUGGAUCAUGAACACCCAGGUUGAAUCAUAGCUAUUGUCAAUGGCAAUCUCUGUGAUGUUUCUAAGUUGUAGUUUUUAUUUGAAUGUGUGAGGUGGGUUUUGUGAAUGUUUUUAGUUUGAAUCAUAGCCAUUAUAGUAGACUUUUCUUAAUUAUCGAUCUUUUUUUUUUUGGAUACAAAAGAGGGUAAAGCCCAUUCUUAAUUACCAAUCUUUACAUUAACGUUACAUUUCUGUUUUAGAUAUUAAACAUGAGUGAUGCUAAAUGGUGCGAAAAUAUUUCGCACAAACCACGCGAAGCAUCUGUUUUUAUUAUUCACCUAAGUAUGUCUGCACAAUUAAAAGCAAGUUACUUACAAAUCCACACUUUAUUAUUUUUAUUAUUCUCCCAAUAAAUUAUUAUUAAUAUUAUUAUAAAUAAACAAACGAUCAAUGGGUACUCCGUGUCUGUUUAUUUGCUCGUUUUAUUGUGUCGGCGCAUGUAAAUUUUGUACCUUUAUAUUGUAAUAAUCUAUAUUUAUCUUUUUCAAUGAUACAAUAUAAUAAUUAUUUGUAAAAAAAAAGACUUAAUUACAAUUUUGGUCCUUCUAUUUUUAUCUUUUUGAGGAAUUGGUCCCUCUAUUUUAUAAAAUUCGACAGUUUUGAAAAAUAAAAUUGUAUCUUAUACCUUAAAGAUUAUAGACUAUUAUUAAUUAUCACAACUUUCUCGCUACAAUUUAAUUGAAAAAUAAAAUUAAUUAGAUAUAUCAGUUUUAUGUCAUUUUAUAUUUAUAAGAUAGUUUAAUCAGUACUUUAUCAAACACUAGAAAUUUAAUCAACUGGUUUAUCCGCUAUUAAUUAUACACAAGCUUAUCAACUAUCCGCUAUAAAGUCAUCCGUUAUAAGUUAUGUUAUCAAAUAUUCGUUAUUUUUUGCGAAACAAAUUUUUAAAUUAUUAUUAUUAUUAUUUAAAAUAAAAUUACUAUAUAUGAUUGUUUUUUAUGGUGCGUACUUACUCAGUAUUAGGGGAAUAACAAAAAUGUAUGCUUCGUCCUUUCAAAAUAAAAAAAAAUAAAAAAAUACAUGCUUCGUGCAAUAUUUGCGAAAAUGUUUUGCACCAUCAAGUAUUUUUCAUUAAACAUAUAUUAAUGUGUAACCCAACAAAAAAACAUAUAUUAAUGUUGCACUUGGUUAUAACUUACAAAUUUGUUUAUGUUAUUUUAUCAUAGCUAAAGUGUUCACAAUUUUUUUGGGAUUAACCAGAAAUGUUACUUAAGUAUGAAGCAACGCAUGAUGCUUUUCUCAAUUAGAUUUCUAUAUGAUUAAUGUUCUAAUUUAUUCUUUUCGACUCAUGACCGAAUUGAUGAUUAAAGAUGUUCUAAUUUGAUGCUUUUAGAUUCAUCUGUUUUUGGUUUUACUGAUUUUUUUUUUUUUUUUAAGAAGAUAAAAUGGAAUUAUAUAACCAAACAACUCUACUUCUCUCAUAUAAGAAGUGCUACGAAGAAGAAAGAGAAAAACUACCAACAUGAAAGAUUUUUUUUUUUUUGACAAAACUAACAUCUGAAAGAUAGCAACCGUUUAAAUAUACUUGCCACAAAGUUGUUAUCAUCUUUUUAGCCGUUUGUUCUUGGCAACACAGAAAUGACAUCUCCUUUAUAUACAAUUGAACACAUAAGAAAAUCGUACAACCAGACACAUGAACAUUGGUGUAUUAAUUGUGAGAGAAAUUUUUAAAAUAUAUUUGAAAAGUUGCAAUGGUUAAAAAGAGACCUUUUAGAGAAAAGGUGUAAUGCUUGACAAUUGAAUCAAUGUAACCAUUCAUGAACAAACUCUUUUAAAGGGUUAUUUCUCUUCACCAAAUGACAUAAGUUUCUCUAUAAAUAGAGACACUUUGGAGACAGAAAAUCACAUUGGUGUGAGUCUAAAUUCUGCCGAAAAUUAUACUAAAUUAUUCGUUCUCUUCUUUAGUGUACGAGAGAAUUUGUCAGAACUUUAUUUUGUAAGCUACCAUUGCAGAUACACUUGAUGUGAACGUGCAAGUCACGUCAAGGAUUCUAUUGCAUCCGGUUGGCAUAACUGGUGGGGACGAAUCGAACUUAAAGGUUAGUGUGGCCCACACACGCCAUGAAAUUUAUGUGCACAAUUCAUUAUGUUCAUCUUCAUCAUCUUCUUGAUGAAGUUAUUACAGCAGACCCCAACAUAGGUUCUGACAUUAAUAUUAUUUUCUUUCGUUUGUGGCUUCCUGGUUCUUUAUUUUUCAUAUUUCAUAAAAACUUGUGAAGGUCAUAUAAAUCAUAGAUAUAUAUUUAUCAUUUAUCAACUUUUUUAUUAAUUGAGUAAAAAAAACAUUUUAUUAAUUCUUUGAUGCAAGAAAAAAUUGAAAAUCAAGGGAAAAGGGAUAUCUCCCCCUAAUAUUGAAAAUCAAGGUUUAGGGGUUCGAACCCGGACACCAAAAAAAAAAAAAAUGAUAUAUGAUAAAAGGUUAAAUAUUUGUUCAAAGAGAUGAGUAUAACUGUACAAACCGCUAGUCAGUUAAGUUAGUUAUAAGACUUCACUUAUAAUAUAUAUAUAUAUAUAUAUAUAUAUAUAUAUAUAUAUAUAUAUAUAUAUAUAUAUAUAUAUUUUAAAGUGUUGUUAGUUUCAUGCAUCAACUUUCCCACCCCCUGCACAGGAAAAGAAACUUCAUUUGGAGCUCUCUUCAAGUCACAAAUGGAAGAUUCAUCACACAAACUUUCUGACCCUAAUCAGAGAGAAAUUGCUAAGGUUCCCUUUCUAUACUUUUCAGUUUUCUUAUUGAACGUGAAAUUUCUUCAAAUGUAGUAUCUUGUUUCUUUCUCUUUCUCUUUUUCUUUGCAUGUAAUGUAAUGGUGAAAUUUAUUCUCUUUCUCUCUUCUUGUUUUUUUUUUUUUUACUUAGGAAAUAAAGCUUGAUCCAAGAUUGACAUCAUUUAUUAAGAAAGAUAAUUCAUUUCUCACACGUUGGAGUUGGGACCCCAAUGCUUCCAAGAAUGAGCUUGGUUCUACUUCUACCAAAGGAGAGAAUCUUUCUUUUCCUCCUGAAUCAUAUUUUAGUCAUGAGGUACUUGUUUUUCCUUGUUUAAUGUCCAGCUUUGUGGUUUCCUUCAAAACCCUUGGACUGUGGUUGCUAUGUAAUCCUUCUUGCCCUUUCUGGUCAUGAUUGUGUUUUGUACAAUGCAUGCAUGUGAUCAAUUGUUAAAGGAUGUUUUGGUAUAGAAUUAUAUAGUUUUUUUUUUUUUUUUUUUAAAACCAAAUUAAUGUAAACAAGAAUUUAAGUUCUUUGAUUGUUGUUUUCAGAUUAUUGAUCGGAAGUGUCAGAACAACAAUGCUCAAGAUAUAAAGUGCAGCCCAUCUGCAAAGAAACGUCGAAACCGUAAAACUAAGUAUGAUUAGCUUGAAACUUCUUUCUUGUACUAUAUAAUUAGGGUUAUUUAAAGCUUGUGUUUUUAUUAUGAGUUUUUGUUGCAUGUUUUUAGAAUUAUGUCUCUCAAUGCUUUUUUGUUAAUUUUAUAACUUUGAAUGAGGGAGAUAAAAGUUAGAGAUUAUAUGUAUUAGACACAGCACAACUCUCACAAGGGCAUGUGCUAUAAGGUUUAAUGUAUACAAGUGAAAUUAAUUAGCACCACCUUCAAUAGGAAAAGAGCAAACUUGGUACUCACUGGAUUGAAAAGAAAAGAAAAUCUGCAAAAUCUAUCUAGCUAUACAACAUUUAUGAGUCUUUUUUGCAUAUUUUGUAAUGUAUCUGCAAAAUCUUUGUAACUAAAAGAUUUCAUGAAUUAUAGUGAUCUAAUUAAUGGUAUUCAGUACAAUAGCUUGACAGUACCUCCAUGAUAUGAGAGUCUUUUGACAGUUGAUAGUUUCGUGCAAUUUUAUACAAUAGUUUCAUAGUGUGUGUCAUCGUGAUUUUUUCAAACUCAUUGUGAUUCCAAAGCCAUUUUCUAUGGACUGCAUAAUUAAAUUAGAAGUUAGCAGCAAAGAACAUGUAUAUAGUUCUAAAUUGGAGCUGCCAAGGUUACAUCUGACAUGUGAAGUGUAUGGAUUAGAAUGGACUUAAUUAAGUAUGAUUAACUUGAAAUUUUUUCCUUUUACUUUAUAAUUAAGUAAUAGUUUUGGAAUUAUGUAUCUCACAAUGCAUUUUGUAUCUCAGGAGGUAUUUGACUGUGGCGUCGUUGGUACCUUUGUUCACCAAGGUGCAGGAUCUACGCCCAGAGAUGGAAAACAUCAACAUAACUCUCAAAGUAGUCAAUGUGAAAAAAGUAUCUAGUAAGGGUCAUAUGCCGGUGACAGAGUCUCUUGUAGGCGACGAAACUGGCAUCAUCAUAUUGCGAGCAGUCGGUGCUGAUAAGAUCAACAGAGUCAAAGAAGGAUCAACAAUUGUACUGCACAAGGCAAAGAUAAUCAUGUACAGAGGUUCGAUGAGACUUGGUGUUUGCAGAGCUGAAGACAUCGAGGAAGCCCCGCCUGCUGCCUUCACAAUCAAAGAAGACUGUAACUUGUCUCUCAUCGAAUAUGAACGAAUUCAAGUUCAAUGUUAGUUAUCGUUGCUAACUCUUUUUCCCUUAACUAGGUUUUAUCCCAUUGGAUUUUCCUAUUAAGGUUUUUAACGAGCAGUAGCUUUAAACUUUGUUUUGAUCUAGUCGCAAAAUUUUUAUAUAAAGUUAUUAUCAAUCUUACUUUCUUUGUUUCUUUGUGAUAGCAUUAACAUUCAAGUGGUUUCUUUCUUCCUAUAUACAAUAUACUGCCAUCCAUUCAUUGGUCGCAAAGUGACAAUAAAAUAGAUUUUAAUUAAGGCUAUAGUGUGAUUACACAAUAUUAUAUUUUUGCAUUCUUUAUCAAAUCUUGAGCAUCUCAAGUUGAACUUAUAAAAAAAAGCUUACGCAAAUAGUAAUGCUUUUUAUGUUAGUUCAUAAGAUCUUACUAACGAAAAUUGUAUAUUCAUAAGUUAUUUUUUUUAUAAAUUACCUUAACAAACUUAUAAAUAAUACAUGAGUCAUGCUAACUGGUGUCCUAAAGGCACAUCUCUCUCUAACCAAACUAGAUCUCGUGCUCCCUCUUCUGCAAUGGACAUUCUGCAACAAAAAAAACCCCAAAUUAUUGAUUCCCCACGAUUCCCAUCAUGUAUUCUCUCUCUAACCUUCAAUCUGAAUCACUUAUUAUUUGUGGAAAUCUCUAUCUCAUGAGAAAGCUUGAAUGUGUAGUUUUGUUUAUUUCUGGGUUUUAAUUAUAGUUAGGAGUAUAGAGAUUGAUGAAGAUGGAGUUAUGUUUUUUAUUAUUUAUUAUUAUUUCUGGGUUUUUAUUUUUGGAGUUUUCAAUUUUUAAGUUUAGAUUUUUUAUUGUUAAGAUGAUGAAUAUGGAAGAGAUAAAAACACUUUCUCUUCAUCUGGAAUACCCUCUCCUUCUUCUAGCGUUACAGAAACUUUCUUCAAUUCUGGAUUUGUUUCUUUAGAAAAAAACUACAUAUUUUUUUUUUCCAAUUUAAUGAAGGUUUAGUUUGAGAAAUUAGGGUGUAUGGGUAUUUUAAGCGGUGGUUGUUGUGCUGUAUUUACGACUCUUUGGAUUGUUUUAUGGUAUGAAAGAUUUGUUUGGUUUUGAAGUGUGAGAAUGUACUUGAAUAAGUUGCAUAAAUGAACUUGUAAUAUGAGUAGUUGUUAGUUGUGUUGAAUCUGGGUAACUUUUAUGAGUUAUUGUUUGGCUUUGUUCUUUGUAUAAAUCCUCUAUCUUUGGAAAGGUUGUUGUUGCUGCUAAUUGGAAUGAAGAAAUUGUUGUUGUUGUUGUUGAUGAAGAUAGAAAAAGAAGGUUGUUCAAUUUAUUGUGUGCGCUUUUCAAAUCUAACCCUUGAUCACCAAUCAUAAAUGAUAUGUGGCAAAAGUUAACCGUUUUUGUAGAAAAACUAACGGAGAUAACAAACUUGAUUGACGGAAGUAGAGAUAAAGGACCAAAUUGAAACAUUUUAUAAUUAAAUGACCAUUUUAAAAAAAAGAAUUAAGUUAAAGUACCAUACAUCAAUUAAGCCAAAAAAAAAGUAUCAAUUUAGAGAACAUAAAUAUGAUAAAAGUAUCAUAAAAUUUAAACUAAAACACACACAUAGAGGGAGGGAGAGAGAUAUAUAUUAUUGUUUUGAGGAAAUAUAUAGAUAGAUAGAACUCUAAAAUACAAUAGGAAAACAGGAUAUAGAUAAACAUACACAUUUAUGUAUUUCUUCUCUCUAAUAUAUUAUAUUGUUUUGUUGAAAUUUAACGUUUUUUUGAAUUAAAUUAACCGAAAGGACUAAACCGAUACUUUAAAUAAAAUUAACGGAUCUUAACGAAUUUUUUAUUACUUAUGUGAUCAAACCGGUACUUGAAAUCAAGUUAUGGGUAUCAAUUGAACAUUUAAGCCUAUAAAUAUAAGCAAUACGUAGAUAUUUUAUGAAGAAAAUACAUGUAUUAUAAUCGCAUGAUACUAACAAUAUGUAAUUGAUUCAACUUGCAUGAUUUCAAAAGUAAAAUGAUUAUUUGAUUAUUAUAAAUUAGUGGUAACCUAUGAAAUGUAUAACCAUUAAUAUUGUAUUAGUUGAAUGAAUUUAAUUAUAUUAAAUGAAAAAAGUUUUUUUUCUUUUUUAAAAAAAGUAUUAUUAUACAAAUUGUUAGAUCAUUAACCUAACACAAUAAUUCCUUAAAAAAAAAAAAAAAACCUAACACAAUAAUGAAAAUACAUUUUUUACGGAGCAACAAUGAAUCUUCGUAAAACAUAAAGACACAACAACACUUAAAGAACAUGAUGUACAUAAAAUAUUUGUGACAAUAGGAGUUGCAAGAAACUAACAUAUAAAUCAAAUGAAAGCUAAAGUUCUUGCCAUAUGAAUUAAACCGUCAAAUAGGCUUCAUCUCAUGUCUAAAGAUAAAUCAAGAGAUGAAAGUACUUGAUCACAGUUAGACAUCCAACAACUCGACAAUUUAAAUAAUACAACUUUAACAUCCACUUCCAUGCUUAUGAAUCCCAUCGUCCAAUUCCCAUUUACCAACUUUUAGUUCGACAUUGAUACCAUGUUAAAAAAGUUUAGAUCUCAUUCCAAAGACCAAUUAGAGAUGAGAGUACUCAAACACAUUUAUAUAUCAAACAUUCAUAUCUGAACAAUGUGACUCCAAUACAUGUUGUGAAAGUGACUUAAAAUUGGUGAAAUUGAAGUUUGCUGAAGCUGUCAAAAUCGGAGCACGAUUUUGAAAAAUUGGAGUACAAUUUUUGGAGCAAAAUUGACACUUUCCAUUCGUAAAAAAUCAGAGCACGAUCUGGCAAAAUCGGAGCAUGAUUUCGCGCAAAAGAAUAAAAAUAAAACAUAUUUUUAUGGGCCUGAUUUUGUUCCAAUUUGCGAGGGAUGCUUUUACUAUAAAUAUAGACCUUGUAUCAGAGUAAACCUUGAGAUAGAGGGGGCUGAAAACAAGGGUUUAGAAACAAACAACAAACUAGGGUUUUAGAGAGAUUUCUCUAAGCGGGAGAAACUAGGGUUGUUGUUGAUUCACCUUGGGAAACAUUACUAAGAUUGAGUCUCUUGGUAACGGGAAGAGAUUGAGACUUUGGGUAGAAUUAGGUUUGUAGACUUAUUCUUGUAACCCAUUGAUAUCUCUUUUGUAAAGUUACUCAUCAUUAUAGUGAAACGGCGGGCUGCUCUUUCCCCAUACUAGGUCAAUUUGGACCGAACUGGGUAAACAAAUUCUUUUGUUUCUCUCUUUCUUUCUCUCGUUGUUUUCUACUUUUGGCUUGUGAUUAUAAUUGUUCUAUACACUUUGUUUUGGUUGCUUGAUUAUCACUUGCUCUACACAUCAAGUUUAUUAUUGAUGUGAUUUUUCAUCGAAUUCACAACAAUACAACUGAAUAUCCUCUGGCAUAAUAAUACUUGAGUAAUUUAUAUGGAACACUUAAGAUUAGUACAAACUACUCUCAAUUUUCAAAAGAUAUUUUAUUACACUCUAAGUCCAAAAAAAAAUAAUCAGUGGCAUUACAAUCAAGUUUAUAAGGAAUAAAGAAAAAAUAAUUUCACAAACCAAAUCAUGGCAUAAUUAGAUAACUGAUAAAAACAAAGACAAUGUCUCUCCAAAGUCUUUAAUCUCUAUUCUUCAAGUAAGAAGAAUCUAGGUUUACAGGAUAAAGAUCAGUAGUUACUGAAGAAGAUGAAGCAGUCCAUGGCCCUUCCAUUGAAAUACUUUGGUCUUGGUAAUGUUUUCUCAUUGCUUCCAUUUUCUUCUCAUCCAAUACCUCACUUGAUUCUAAAACCAGUUCUUGAAUAGCAAUUUUACCUUCUAACAUGCUUACCACUGAAGACAUUGCUGGCCUAAGUGAUGAAGUCACAUUAGUGCAUAAGAGUGCCACAUUUAUCAUUAGCAUUGCUUCUUCUUUGUUGAAAUUUGAACCCAAUCUUUUAUCUACUAGCUCUAUUUCAUUUCCUUUCUCUUUCAAGAUAUGUGCCUGAUAUAUAGAAUGAUAUAAAAAAUAUUGAUUCCAAAAUUUGAAGUUCAAAACAACGAAUUAAUCGAAUGAGCACAUGUAUGAUUUUUAAAUUUAAUCUUACGAAAAGGGACUAUCUAGGUCAAUAUUCUUGAACACAAUUGGCAUGAAGCCAUGAACACAACACUAGAAUACUUACCCAAUCAAGAAGAUGGAAUGCUUCUUCUUUUUGUCUAAGAAUUGUAUUGUUACUUCCAUGUAAGAUUUCCAAUGCAACAAUUCCAAAACUAUAAACAUCUGCUUUGUCGGUCAAAUAACCAUGCAUGGCAUAUUCUGGAGCCAUAUAUCCACUGCAUAAUUAAAGGAAAUGUCAACUACAUUUACUUUAGAAAACAAGUCCAAUUUUUACAGCAAAAAUAACAACAAUGUUUUGUUUUAGUUUCUGAACUAGUUUUAUGAUUUGAAUGUCUAAGAAAUUAUCAUAUGUAUAAAAUUCAUAAUAAAUUGGCUAAAUUAUUUUGUACUUAGUUUUUUGGUCUUUUUAAUUAAUCAAAUCAUGUCUUACAUAUAGAAGAAUUUCUUGAUAAAAUUUGCAUAAAACAAAUUAAAAUAUAGGAACUUACUAUGUCCCGGCUAUUCGAGUGCUAAUGUGAGUGUUCUCCUCUUCAUCGAGCUUGGCCAAACCAAAAUCAGAUAUCUUCGGAUUGAGAUCUUUAUCAAGUAACACAUUAGUGGCUUUAAUGUCUCUGUGAACAACCUUCAAUCUUGAUUCUUCAUGUAGAUAUGCUAAACCUCUAGCAAUACCAACACAAAUCUUGUAUCUUGUUGGCCAAUCCAAUCUUAUUUGGUGUUCUGCAGGCCCUUUAUUUGUCAAGGAAAAAGAUAUAAAAAAAUGGCACCAUUUAGUCAAUAUGGACAUAUGCUAGAAAAUGUGAAAUAUAAAUCAUAACCAAAGUUGAUCGUAUAGGAAGAAUUACCAAAUAAAGCACGAGCAAGACUGUUAUUUUCCAAAUAUUCAUAUAUCAACAUUAACUGAUCUCCCUCCACACAGCAUCCAUAGAGUUUAACAAGAUGAGGGUGUUGCAAAGCCGAGAUCAUGCCGAUUUCAUUUAAAAAUUCGCGAUUCCCUUGCUUUGAUUUAGAGGAAAGUAGCUUAACUGCUAUCAAUGUUCCAUCUGAUAGACGUCCCUGUAUUUUCGAAGAAUGUUGUAUAUAUGAACACUCGCUAAAUAAUACUUAACAUUAUAAUAAAUAUGUGAUAACUAAUAUAAUUUAGUAUAUUAAACAUAAUACCUUGUAUACUGGACCAAAUCCUCCUUCACCAAUCUUAUUAGAAAUAUCGAAGUUAUUUGUUGCUCCUUUGAUUUGUCUCACGUUAAAUAAACUCAUUUGUAGGUUUAAACCCUUUACCUCUGUGAAUUGAUGCAAAAUAUAGAUCAGAUAUAUAUUAUACUAAAAAUAACUCAACAUUGUAAGCUUGCAUCUAGUUUAUUACCAUUUUCUAAAGAGCUUUUCUUUCCAAAACAGCCUUUCCACCAAAGAAUACCAAAUAAUAGGAUGAUAACAAUUACUACUGCAGCCACAAUUCCAACAACAGCUCCUAUAGAUAUGCUGCUUCCAUUUUCAGAAGGAGCUGGAAAAUCUGCAAGAUUAUUAGGCAAUAGUUUGAUCAGAUCACAACAUGGAGAUGGUUUUAAAUUGCGGUAUGCAACAAUAAUUGCGACCGCAAUAUAAAGGAUUUUGAGGUAUCUGUAACAGAUUCGCAACUGAAAUUUCAAUCACAUCGGCCACAUUUUUUCACAAUUUAAAGCAAUACAACAAAGGUUCGCAGCAUAACGGCAACUAUAAUUUAAAACUAUGUAGCUUGAGAUUGUGUUACCUGAUUGAACAGAUAUAGCUGAAAUAAGAGGGCCAUAUACUGAUCUAAAUGGUAUACCAGUUGUCCCUUUUCCAGCCCAAUAUAAGCGAAUCUCCAAAGUACUAUCGGUCACAACAGCAGUGAAUGGUUUUGUGACUUCCUUAUCAACUCCUCCUGCUUCUUUUGCUAUAUCAAAGUCCUUUUUUACUAGCUUUCCCUGUGACAUUUCAACCAAAAUGUUAAUACUUCACAAUGAUUACAAACUUAAAUAUAUGAGUCAGGAUCCGUUGACCUUUAUUAGAAUAGAUAGAUAAUAAACGACAUUAGUAUGAAUAAGUGUUAGCCAUGUACCUGGAUAUAGAUAUCGAAUACACGCCUUCCUAAGCUGUUAAAUGUUUGAUCAUUAGUAAACAUGAUUUCUGCAAACUGUAGAUUUACUGUGUAGUUUCCAUUUGCCAUGCAAAAUCCGUAAUAAGUCAAAGAUGUGGGAGAAACUCGUGCAUUCGUGUAUAGUUCAGCAUUGGCUAUAGAAAGCUUAGAUCUAUUCGACCAGGUAUAGUAGUCUCCACCGUCGUUAUCCAUGAAGUUGCCAGUGGUGCUAAAUCCCCAAUUUGUUCCACUCUGGUGGAAUCUAGCUGGCGCUGCUGUAUCUGAAUCAUCAUCGUAUGUGCUUCCAUUUACUGUCACCGACUUUCCACCACAAUUUAUACGAAGAGCAUAUGAGGCUGGCAUGAGCAACAUAAAGUGAGAAAUUGUUCAAAUACUAAGCAAAGUACGAAAAUUAGUAGUCAAUAGGAAAUUCACUACAAAGAAACUUACUUUUAGGACAGACAAAGCUUUUCAAACAUGAAACCACUCCUCUGAGAUAAUGACAGAGGACAAAAUAAGUUAGCAUAAUGAAAACUGUCAAACAUUGUAAAAGCAAUGCAAAAUGUAUAACAACAAACUUACGAUUCGUUGCGGGUCAAAGAGCUAGAAAAAUAGUUCCUGUGAUAUAUAAAAAAUGAUUUGAAUCAGAUAGGUUUUUAGUAGUUUCCAAACAAAUACACAUAAAGUCAAGAAUUCUUACACAUUUCCAUCUUGACAUGGCUGACUCCCUUGGCUUAUAGUGAAGUUAUUGUAAGAAAUAUCUCUAUAUAUACAAGUUAGAAAAUUUAAUUUAGAAUCAUAUAAGAUACCAAAUAAAGAGACCUGAGAAAACAUUUAGAAAUUCCAAAGAAACAUAUCAAAGAAAACUCACAGGUUGUCUGCUUUUUGUGUCCAUGCAGGAACAGGUCCAGUGAGAAGGUUUCCAGUUAAAUAUCUACAUUAACAAAUUAUAAACAAUUCAAUAUAUAGAAUUUAAUAUUGAUUAAGGAAUUAAUUAUCAUUUGUGGGAUAUGAGCUAUUCUUACAUGUAAUCCACUUUUCUUAGGGGAUCAUAGUUACUUGGAAUUGGUCCACUCAAUUUGUUGAAACUGAGAUCUCUGAAAAGAAAAAAAACAUAUCAAGAAUGAGUUUAAAAACCACAUUAGAAUGUUAAAACUCUUAGGGAGAGUUUGCCGCCCAUUUAGGUCCCACAAUGCUCGAGGGAUUGGUCUCCGCAGUUUACACCAAAUCAAACAAAAUGUGGAAAAUAUGGAAUUACAAGUUUUUUAGAGUAGUCAUUGUCCCAAGGUAUUCAGGCAGUGUUCCAUUGAUGUUGCAAUUCCUUAGAAUCCUGUGAAAAAUAGCAUAGAUAACAAUGCAUUAUGAGUACAUUUUUUGCUACUAUUUUUUUUUUCUGUUCUAUUUCUAAAAGAAUCAGUGCAAUCAACUCACAAAGUUUUCAAUUUCAAAUCCUUAAGUUGUGGAAAAGGUGAAAAUUCAGAUCCACUUAAAUCACUGAUUCUCCUGCAUAUCACAUCAAAUUCACAACUAAUUAGUAAAAGCAAUUAAAAUCAAAGUUAAUUUUGAAACAUUGUUUACUAUAUUAAAAAAAUAUCAUACAUACAAGUCAGUUAAUUUUUCCAAUUUUGAAAUUCCAGAAGGAAUUGGCCCACUUAAUCCACUCCCUUCAAUGAUUCUGUCAAAGUAAAUUCAAUCAAUAAUUUCAAUAAAAUUAAAUUCAAAGCAAUAGAAAUACUAUUGAAAUAGAUAAAUAAAAUAGAAAAUGAAAGUUUGUACAAUUUAGUGAGACUUGUCCAGCUUUGAAUAAAAUCAGGUAUCUUCCCAGAGAAUUGAUUGUCUUGAAUUCGACUGUAUAUAGUAAAAUGUAUGAAACAAAGAAAAGUUACUAUAUGUUCAAAACCAAUAUUCAAUAGUUUAGUCAUCAUCACUGAACAAUUCAAUAAAAAUAUUAAUCUUACAUAUCCUGCAAUGUGGUGAGUUUGGCCAAUGUAGCAGGUAGUUCUCCAGUGAAAUUGUUGGAAGAAAUUAGCCUAAAUAAAAUUAACAACAACAAAUUGUGAAUCUUAGCCAUUGGGAUGAUAUUGAAACCAUUGAAGAAAAAAAAUUAUAUUGACAUAUACUAUUAGGAAAAUAUAAAUUAAUUAUGAAAAUUAGAGACUGAAAAAAUGAAAUUUCUCUAUGAUUAUCUCGUUAUAAAUUUAGGGUGCGUUUAAUUUGCUACAAGACAACUUCUUUUUGUACCUUGUUUGUUAAAAAUUGGUCCUGGAACUUGACAAAACAGAUAGUUACAAACUCGACAAAAACAAGAACUCUUAUCCCUCACUAAACCAUGAAAGAACUUUUUUUUGUAGAGUACAAACUAUUAAAAAUACCAAAAUACUUUUUAUUUUUGUUUUUCAACAUAAAAUAUUUUCUCUCUAUCUUAUGUCUUGUCAUGCACUACUGCAUUAUUCUGCCAAGUAUGCAAAUCAAACGUACACUUAGUAACAUAACUAGGGACAAAUUUCAUACUUCAUGUCUCUAAAUUUUUCUAGCAAUGUGUUUAUUGGAUGUAAAUGGCAAAUAUAAAAUAAAGUGCUUACACUCUUUGAAUUUGGGUUAGAUUCCCAAACUCAGGAGGAAGAUUUCCAGAGAAUUGAUUGGACUCCAACACCCUACAAAUUUCAUGUUAAAUCUCUAUAUCACAAACACUAUAAAACGACAACAUAAUUUCGUUACAAACAUAAAAAGAAAAAAAUAUUUACUAAGGUAGAUAAAUGAGAAACUCACAAACUUUGUAGAGUGGAUAUGUUUGUUAUAGCUAUUGGUAUUUUACCAGUUAAUCGAUUUCCAAUGAGAGAGCUGUAAUGAUAUAGAAAUAUUUUGUCAUUGCAUGAAGUUACUACUAUAAGAAAAAAAAUUAUAAAAUCUCAUAAAGAAUGUAAAAUAAAAUGAAAUAACAAAAAGAAAGUAUACAUGUUAACGAGAUUCAUGGAGCCCCAUUCAUCAGGAAUUGUACCAUUCAAGUAAUUGCGGGAAAGGUCACUGUAAUAGGGAGAGAGUAAUAUACAUUAGUACAUUCAUAUCAUACAUUUACAAAUUAAUAUACAUAGACAUAUCUAGUAAAAAAUAAUAAUACAUAAAUGUUUAAAUGUUAUUGGAUAAAUGAAACAUACAUUUCUUGAAGAUAAGGCAACCUGACCAAUUCCUUUGGGAGAGUGCCCGGGAGAUUUUGUUGUUUCAAAAGUCUACACAUUCAUUCAACAAUGAGAAUAGUUAAAAAUAAAUAAAUAAUAGUGUUAAGCUAAAUGAAGUAUUUAAUUGCAAUUUAUUAGUGAAACAUUUUGUCAAACUUAUGUCAAGAAAAACAUUCUGUUAAACAAUUGACUGGUGAAACUUUCAUCAUGUAUGUAUCAUAACAAGGCUGUAAAAUUCUUUAAAAAUAAAAGGCUGAAACACAAAUUAUACUUUCUAUUUUUAUUUUAAAGAAGUCCAUGGUUUGAACUUUGAUUAAUGAAAGUACUUACCGUACGAGCUCUUGUAAAUAAUUUAGUUUUUUGUCUUAAGCUUACCUAAGUAUGGUACGAAAUAUUGGACGGUUAAUAGCCAACACGAGAAUCAAUUAGCAGAGAUGAGUAUGUUGCGCUAGAUGAGCAGUAAAACUAGAUAUGAUAUGAUUAUGAAUGACCAUUAGGGAGAGAGUGGAGGUAGCAUCUAUAGUAGAAAAGUUGGUAGGAAAUAUGCUUAGAUGGUUUCGGCACGUAGAAAGAAAACUCGUAUAUGUCGUUGAAAGAAGAGUAGAUCGGAUGGAGGAGAGUCAGGUCAAAAGAGGUAGAGGAAAACUAUAAGAGAAACCAUUAAAAAAGAUUUAGAGGUCAAUUAAUUGAAUCCAAACAUGACUUAUGAUAGAACACUAUGAUGUGAUUUGAUUCAUGUAAUGGACCUCGCUUAAUGAGAUAAAACUUGGUUGUUGUUGUCAUCGUACUUAUCUAAAUUUUUAAAUUCAACAUUUAUUUGCGCCUAGACUGCUAAACACCUUAAAAUUUAGGUCCAAACAAAAUUUAGGACACUUUGUGGAUGUUUGUCAUCGGGAGACUUCGAAUUACUUACGAAAAUUUGUCAAAAAAAAAAUUACUUAUGAAAAUGUAAUUUUGAAGUUUUAAGAACAAGUUGUAUAUUAUAUUAUAAAAAUAUUCUACAUGCAUUUUUCAAUAAUAUAAUACUUUAUUAGGCAAUAUAAUACAACUUCAAAUUUAAAACAAUAGAAUUUGAUAACUAUAUCCAUAUGAAUUCAAAUAAACAAUUAACAACUUCACAAGAGGGAAUUUGAAAAACCCAAGUUCGAAUCGUAGUAGAGUCAACUACAUCAAGAGGCUAAGAACCAAGAAAAUUUAUGUUCCAUUAAUAGAAUGGAUGAUUAGUCUUAUAAGCCAAAAAUCUUAAUUACGUUUCUAAAAAAAAAUGUCCUAAUUUCGUAUGAGUUUCAAAAUAAAAAUCAUUAAAUAUAUGCAGGUGUGGCAGGUAGACUGUUACUAUUUUUUGGGUGAACAGGUAAGUUAUUAACAUAGCGUGUGUUUGUGACCACAAUCAUACUAUUUUUAACGAUGCCAACCCUGUCUAGUAUUAUUGUCAUCCCACUUGUGUGCUAAAUGUUAAACAAGUAAGGUGCAUAAAGUUAAAAUAAAAAGGAUAAAAUAAAAUAAACAGAUAUUCUUCGUUUUCAUAAAACAGUGUUACAGUAUGGAACCAGCCGUUUAAAGUUGACAAAACCAACAUGUGAACAUUUGAUUACGUUCACAAUUCUUUUAAAAUAAAUGUAAUAAUACAUCAUCCAACAUGCAUGUUAUAAAAUACUCCCUCCGAUCGUAACUUUCUCUUAUAAAUAAGAUUGAAGAGAAUAAUUCUUAUUAAUUUCUGAAAAUAAACAUUGACUCUUUGGAUAUAUAUAAAAUAAGGAUUCUCUUACAAUUCAUAUUUUAAUUAUUAUAUUUUCAGAAACUAAUGUAUAUUUGGAGCUUCCUUAUUUAAAAAGUUAAAUUAUCAACAAAAUUUAGAGGUAAAAAAAACCAUAAGUCAAUUUAUUUUUAUGUAAACAGGAUAUCUUCCGCGUGCAAAAAAUUGAAACAAAAUCUUCGUUAAGUUAAAAGAAAUUCGUGUCAUCUUAUAUCUAAACAUUUUUUAAUUUAAUUUAUCUCUAAUUUGUAUGGAUAAUUGAACAUUUUUGUAAAAAAGAGAAGGGUAAGAGAUGUACAUGUUAGUCACAUGACAAACAGUGGCAUUGACAAAGGUACAAUUGCAUGUGACAGCAUUUUCACUCCCUUUCACUUGAACAGAAGAUGUCCAAUUACGUUCUCCACUACAUGGAUCUACACUGAAAUCCCAAUCUUUCUUUCCAAGUGUCUUAGCUAUAUCUUUAAGAACCUCCACUAUAAAACCAGAACAAAAAAUAGUUAUAAGCAUGUAUAUAAUCAUCUACACAAUACAACUAUAUAAUACUAAUAUGUGUUAGUGAGUAACAAAAUUAAGGUAAGCUAUUUACAUAUAUACCUUCAUCUUUGGAAAGAGUGGCUCCAAAAGAUAAGGUGGAAAAGAAAAAGAUUGUAAAGAGCAAAAGGAAGAAGAAACUAUGGAAGCUUAGAUUCAUGUUUGUUGAUAUUGAUGACUAAAACAAAGCUUCAAAUUCGGUGGUAGAAAGCAACAGCUAGAGAUAUAUCAUAUAGAUAGAUAUAUGUAUAUGAAAGAGAGAGAAAUUGUACAUAAGUUAACUUGUAUGGUUAUGAGAAAAGAACUAAUAUCUCAAAGAUAGAGAUUAGUUUUAUAGAAUAGAAUAGAAUAGUACACAUCAAUAUAUCAUCAAAGUCAUUGAUUAAUAUAAAGUCAACUAUUGAGAUGUUUGCCCAAUUGUGCAAUUUAUAAGUUAGAAUACAUAAUAAUUAGUAUUAGGGAUACUAUAAUACUAAGCUAGAGGCCAGUUUUUAAUGUAGCUGGUUGAAGAAAAGACAAACGUUGGUCAACAAUAUUGGAAACAUGGGUUAUAAGACCAUGUUGUAUGUAUGUAGAACAUGUAUACAUUAUUUCACUAAAACUAUUUUUUUAUUUUUUUGAGGGGUUCACUAAAACUAGUUGGUGAUGACAGUUGUGAUUAUAAAUCCACCAACCACACGGUCCUUAUUGAUUGCUACAAACUUUAUAAUGAUCUAAUAUAUAUAUAUGAAUAUAUGAGAAUAAAAUAUAUUAACUUUAUGAUUAUAACCAAACCAAUAGGCAAUGGUAGUAUAGCACCCGGUUCUUGAAUAAAACUGAUAAUCUAAUACUCCGCGGCCUAAUAACAAUACCUAGAAAUUGUGGUAUGGAAAAUGGAAGAAAGAUUUGUUCUAAGAAUUAAAUUAUAUUAUUUUAAAUAUAAAGUUAUGUUACUUUACCCUUUUAGCUUUGAAAGAUGUAUAAACACUUAGUCUUAUGCCUCAUUUGCAAUGAGUCAACAUUUCAACAUAGAAUAAUUUUUCUUUUGUAUCAAAUUAUAUUUUAAAUUAUUGGAAUUUCUACAUAUGAGACUUAGAUUUUAUCGGUUCGUCCUAAAAUCUUAUUUUCCCAUCUCAUGUUCCUACGGUUGAUGUAAUAUAGGAUUAGUCACAGUUGAGAUUUGCUAUAAGAAGCAAGGAUUCCAUCUUCAUUUCAUGAAAGAAAAUGAUAAAUUUUUGUGAUGGGAGGAAGAUGAAUUUAAUGGUGAUAAAAAUACUCUCGUGUCACACCUUUACAUGACAUCACCGUUAAAUAGAUGAAGUAUCUACCAUUUUAAGUGCUUAAAAUAAAUAUUGAAGAUCCGCUGUUGGAUUUUAAUUUUUGCUUUCUUCCUCAAUAAUAUAUCGGAAAGGAGAAAAAACCAUAGUUUUCAAGUUUCUUUUCCUCAAAGUAAAGUAUCUGGCUCUAGUUUAAGCUAUGUGCAAGGCCUAAUGUCCACUUUUUUUACUACAUGAUAAUCAAACUGCUUGUCCUAUGCUUGUUGGCGGUGAGAUUGACUGGGGUGAUGAAUUUAAUUAUUUCUCUAUCGACUAUUGUAAAGGGAUGAAAUUUUGUUGAUAUGGGGUGGUUUUGGUAAAUGAAUAGGUCGAUAUGACGAGUAAAUUGAAGCGUGAAUGUUUGAUUUCAAAGAUCAGUUUUGAAAAUGUGUAUAACUUGUUGAUUUGAUUUUUUUUUAUUUUUUUUAGUAUAUGAUGAGACGGGUGGGUUUUUGAAAUAAAUGGGUGAUUUGGAUGAGGGCUUGUGUAUUUGGGAAAACAUGUCUAUCCUUGUUAAUGGAAAUCAUACGGAGGAAAUUAAUAUUCAAAUAGGCCUAAAGGAAGGUGAUCCUUUAAUUCCAUUCUUGUUUUUCUUGGUGGCGGAGGUUUUUUUUUUUUUUGUGGGGGGGGGGGGGGGGGGGUGUUUAACAGUUUUGAGAUGGGGAGUGAGGGGUUGGUUAUUUCGCAUGUUCAAUAUGUGGAUGAUAGCCUUUCCAUAAGAGAAGCAUCCGUAGAAAAUCUUUAGACACUUAAGGCGUUGUUAAGAGGUUUUGAGUUGGCAUCCGGAUUGAAAGUGUAUUUCUUCAAAUGUUGUUUGAUAGGUGUGAAUGUGGGAAGGGUGUUUAUUGAAAGAGCUUGUGACUUUUCAAAUUGUAGCGUGGAAAAAAGUGUGUGAUUUUUUUGUGAGCCCGCCACACUUUAAAGAUGGUUUAGCAAAAUGGAGAUGGAGGUUGAUACAAAGUGGAAAUCCCAGGAAGUUCUUCCUCACAAGUAUAGUCAUCGGGUGGGUGGAUUGUUUGAAGGGGGGUGUGGAAAAGUGGCCUUGGUUUGCAGGUGGAGUUUAGUAUGGGAAAGAAAACUUCUUUCCCAUGAUGGAAAAGUUAAAGCAGGACCAUAGAUAUAUUAUUUGUUUAUUUCAACGGUUGAGAUUUGUUACCUAUUAACUUUUUGACUGGUCUAUCAAACAAAAAUCGUGACCCCACCUCAUAAUUAAAUAACCUUUUCUCAUUUGUUUAAAGUACUGAGUUUUUUUUGCAAAAAAGUUAUGGGCUUUUUACGCCCCCUCUCUGUUUGAGAAAUAAUGAAAACCAUGUUCACAAUUUGCUUCCUGAAAAAUGCAUUGUUGUCGUAUAACAACUGCACACUUCCAGUUUUCUCUUCAUCAUCAAAGCAACUUGUCCAAUAUCUUAAUUGUAAUUGAAUAGUAGUGUAAACUUAAUGUUUGAGUUGAGUGGAUGGGUUGAGUUUGACAAGAAAAUAAAGGGAGCAGAUAGAUAUGAAAAGCUAAUUCAACGUGUUUUCAUGAGAGAGGAAAACAUUAUAUGAAUGACAAUUUUUUUUCACAACUUGCUUAUUGUCAUCAAUUUUUGUUCAUAGGGGAUGAGCUUUGUCUUCAUUUUUUUUUUUGUGUGCAAGUAGAACUACAAUUUAGAACAUAAAAAGAAACUUUGUUCUUGACUUCAUCUGGAGUUAAUAUGAUCAUCUAAGAAAUGUUGUGGUUGUUGUGAUUUUCCAGAUUUGAACAUCCUAAGAAAGGUUGUGGUUACUAUGAUUUUCCAGAUUUGAAUAUUUUCUUGUCAUGGUUAUCUAAAUUUGAGCUUUAGAAAGAAAAAUUUGUGUGGAAAGAAAUGAGUUUCAACUUACUACUUCUCUGUUCUGAAAAUAAUUACAUGUAUACAUUAGGAUUUGGGGGAGGUAAGCUAGCAAAAUAAAAAAAGGAUUAAAAAACUUAUUUCUUUUUUCUUUUCUUAAACAUGAUGGAACUGCUACCUGUCUUGGGAAUUGGAGCUUUUCCAUGGUGGGACCAAGUUUCCAUUCCCAGGUUAAACUUCACCUGGUUUGCAUCGAGGUGGUGAAAGGAUAUAAUGGUGAUUGAAGAAUCAAUGAGUUAUAGUUUAUUUAAUAACACGGUGGUGAGAAAGGUGGGAAAUUGGAGGAAUAUGAGUUUUUGGAAGGAUCCUUGGAUGGAGAAUGCACCUUAAGUAAUUUUUUCUCUCAUAUUUUUUUCGAUUUCUACACAUAAGGAAGCAAGGGUGGGGGAUUUAUGGGAGGGAAUGAUGGGGUGAGUGUAUGAUCUUUUUCGUGGUGUAGAUCAUUUUUUGAGUGGGAAAUGAAUUUGCAUAAUAAUUUGAAGGAGGUCAUUCAGUUUUGGAGAGGCUCAAAUUUGGAAGAUGGGUGGGGGUAAAGGGUGGAAGAAAGUGGGGUUUUUACGUUGAAGUCAACAUAUAGGGUGAGUCUGAGUGUGGAUAUAUAGUCAUUUAAGCUGAUCAACAAUUUUGUCCCCCUAAGAUUUAGCCUCAUUGCAAAUUUCAUCAUUUUGAUCAAUUUUGACCGAGUCAACGCUUAUGUGGCACUUGAUUAAAGGAUUUGGCACUCCACAUGUGUAUAUUGCUAUUUUUAAAAAAAAAAAUAAAAAGCCAUGUGUAUAAAUAGAAGAAUUAAAAAAAAAAAAAAAAACCAAAGUGAUUGGCACGUGAUGCAUCUCUCUUUCAAUAUUGAUUUUUCUCUUUCAAACUCAAAACACAACCUCAAAACUUCUCUUUCUUCCUCUCCUUCCAAUUCUUUGUCUCUUCUCUUUUCCUCCCUCACUUCUCUACAAAUCUAUCUCUCUUCAAUAAUAUUAAUUCAUUCAUUCCUUGACUUUACCCCAAUAAUAGUUUCUGAAAAUUCUAGAAACAAAAAUAUACUGCAUCUUUUAAGACACACCCAUGAAAACGAAAAAACAUCCAUUUCAUUCAUUCAUCAAUCAAGCAAAAAUAGCAUCAUAGAUUUGCAUAAAACAAAGUGAAAAUCUGAAAUCAAUUUUGAUGAAGAGAAUGGAUAUGAGAUUUGAUUGGUUGCUUUUUUGUGUUUGAAAUUAGAAGAGGAAGUGAGAAUAGAUUUGUGAAUGAAAACAAAACAAUUACAGGAAACGGCUCGUUAGUGAAUUCGAUUUUUUCGGAGCCUUCGUUUCUUUGUCGCCAUUAUUGUCUUCGCGAGCCACUGUUGCUUUUUUCUUCAUGGUGUGUCGGCGAAAACCUUAUCGCCGGUUCCAUGGAGGCUUCGAGUGUUGUAACUUGUAACAGCACUUUGAAUUGAUGAUUUUUUCAUUGCUUAAUGGCAUAUAUGAUUUUGUAGGAAAAAAAAUAUAGAAGGGAACAUUAAAGAGAUGAUGAACAUGUUGCUGGGUUUUUAUUAUGUUUGAUAGAGAAGAAAAGGGAUUGAAGAUCUUGUGGUUGCUGGGUUUUUUUUUUUUUUUUCUGAUUUUGUUUUAAUUUUUUUUUUAUUUAAUUUAAAAAAUGAUUAUAUGCUAUUUCAAUUUUUUUAAAAUUCAAUAAUUAUACACGUGGCGUACCACAUACGUUUUACUUUCCUCCAAAAAACUAUCACACGCUUUGCUUUUAGCGUAAGCUAAAAGACAACGCUAACAACAAAACGCUCAUACUAAUCUUAAAUUAAUCUAAAUGCAGUGUUGGCAUUGUGGCCAAUGCUCCAAGACUCAAUGCUAGAUGGUAGCAUCGAGACUAGAACGACAUUAAAGUUAAACCAUAUAUGACCUACACUAAUAAUAGUGUCAAUUAAAACGGGCGGUACGUAGUCAUAUGUUAACUACUGAAUUUAAUUAUUUGAAAAUUGUUCUUUAAACUUAAAAAAUUGCUCUCACACACCCCGAAUUUAUCUUAAUACCUCCAACUGCAGCAUUUAACUGCAGUUGGAGCCUGAUUCAAACACCCAGAUUCAAACAAUCACAUUUUCAUUAGUUGAUUAAUCUAACACUUGCUGGAUAACAACAAGCAGCCAAAUACUGCAGUGGCUGCUAUUGACUCUUAGUCCAAGUCUUGAUGAAGACCAUGGAGUUUGUUUAUUUCUGUUAUGCAUGCAUGUUCCUCGUAAUUUCAAUAUUAUUGCUCACCAAAUAUCUCUUUUCUCUUUUGUCAAAACUAAUGUUCACCAAAACAUGAAUUCAUCAUUAACAGAUACCAUUAAGAGCUCCAAAUCAUGUAUCACCCCAUUUAUAAUUCUAUACUUUUCUCAUCUAUACAGUUAUAUACUAGAAGCCUAGAAACAAAAGUUUAAAUAGUACUGAAAUUGAAGUUGUUAGCGCAGAAGAGAUCACUUCAUUCACAAGCAAUCAAGAUUGGGAGAGAAUUAGGAGAAAUCAAGAGAGAAGAAAGAGAAAUCAAUGUGAUUGUAAACUAUGUUCUCAUUAGUAAUGAAAAUCUGAGAUUACAAGCUUAUAUACAACUACUUAUAUGGCUUACUUGCAAUACAAGUAAUCAAUCAAACUAACUAACUCCAUCAAAAUAGCUAACCAAAAACUAACUGUUUUUAACUACUCUUUUUUUCCAACUAACUUGAAUUAAAAUACAACAAAAGUAAGAAUUAUACCAUAUUUAUCAGUUCCUUUCAACUUAUCUUUGAUUUAUUUAGACAACUCAAGCACUUCUAGUGUCUGCACAUUGAACAAAACAAUUAUUCAGCUUGCAAGAGAACAAACAUCAAUUCCCACAACAACAAUCUAAUAAGUAUUAAAGAGUCACCUGAGUAACUUUGGAGACUGAAAUUGCAAUUGCGGCCUUUGCAUCGUCAUCCUCCUCGAGACGAUUGAACUUAAAACAAGUCAAAAUUGUCCCUAAGGUCUAUGUUAAAACAUUUGCAGGGAUAACUUUUGGAACAAACAAUUGAAAGAAUUGAAUGAUCAUUGAUCUAAGAAAGAAUUAAAACCUACUACAGUCACUCCUUUAAACAUGCAAUAUUAAUUUCUUCAAAUAUCUAUAAAUGAAAAUAGCAAACCAAAAAUAGAUUGCUGCAUCUAGACACCAAAAUUGUUAGUUCGUUACUAAGUCUGCAUUGGUUCCUUAUUUUAGAGUUCACAAACACAGAUUUUCUAAAUCGACAAUUUUCAAUAUUGACAUCUAAAUUGAUGGUGAUAUAUAUGCUCAUGCUUAACAUGCCUAAGCCAAAAAUGUUUGCGGCCAAAAUAGCUUUCAUCAUUUCUACUAAAGAUCCGUAAGAAUAAAUGAGCAUUGUCAAGAAUUCAUACAAGAAAAAUCCAUAAUAUAUAAGAAUCCAUAAGCAUUAUCAAGAAUCCACACAAGAAAAAUCCAUAAGAAUUACUAAGGGCGUCUAAACCAAAAUUCAUAAAAUUAAAAAAGAACAAAAUCCUGAAGGUUAUCUCUAAAGUAAAGUUCUCACUUUCCUACAACCGUAACUAAAUCUUCAAAAAAUCUUAUUUUCAACCACAAGACAACUUCAGCGUCCAGUUUCAUAUGUAAUCACUCGUUCUUCCUUAGCUUUCUUUCAACGUCAAUUUUAGAACAAGAAGGGUUGCUAUGUUUAACCUAUAAUAAAAAACAGUCAUGUUAUUUCAACAUCAAAAUACAAACACCGUAUAUGACACAAUAUUUGUUUAUCAAGUACGUACCUUCUCUUGCUUUUGCUUUUGUAUUUCAACUGGGGUUGUUAUCAAUAGGCAUGGAAGGUGGUAGAAGGCUUUCAACAUAAGCAUCAUUGAAAUUAGGAUUUGAACACAGGUAACUUCAUAACUUUUGAGAUAAUACCAAAACUCCUUCUUAGAAUCACCCCAAAAUUCUACUUCCAACAGAACUUUACUUCUAUCACUGGAAUAACAUGAAGGCUUCAAAGAUAUCAAUUUAAAAGGUGAAUCGAAAUACCAUUCCCACAAAGUAAACAAUUUACACCAACUAUCUCUAAAUCCAUAUUCUUUCAUCACCCAAACAUCAAAUUUAUUAGUUCCAUAACAACUCACAGUAACCAAGGCCGAACCCUGGGAGGUGCAAGUAGCUCUACAGAACCGGGCCUCCAAAAUUAAGGGCCCAAAUAUUUUUUAUUUUUAUAAUGCAGGUUGGAAUAAGUAUAUAGUAAAGAUUUUCAAACUUGUAGAUAUACUCUAGCGGUUACAAUUUGUGUUGAUCAUUCCAUAGUUCUUGGGUUCAACUCCCACUAGGAUUAAUGUUUUUUUCUUUUCAUUUAUUCAUUAGAACCUUUUUUUUGUUCUUUUCAUUUUUUAUUCAUGUUAUUUUUUUGCCCAAACUUAUAGUAUAAAAUAACAAAGCUCUAACAACAAAAUUAUAAUUAUUUUCGUAAAAAAAUAAAACAAAACAAACGUCAUAAACAUUUUCUUCUCCUUAAAAAAAUUGAGUUUUUUUUUCUUAGGAGCCUCUCUUUGUUUUAAGAAUCGGACCACAAAUUUCAUAGGAACGGCCCUGACAGUAACACUCACAGUCAUACAAAGACACUAUCCCAAAAGGAAACAUAUUUAAUCUUGCUUGUAACUACUUCAGGAUUAGGAAGAGGAACCUCAUUGAAAAUCUCGUGUUAUGUUAAACGCGAGGAUUAAACGCGUACCAAGAUUCCCAGUCACCACCCAAUGAAAAGAAUUCUCAACGCAAACCCCCAUGGUUUCAGGUGACGAAAUAUCGUACACUAUAUCCGGAAGUAUUUUCCAUGAAUUAGUUUUAGAGCUGAAGAGUGUCACAGUGUGGUGCUGUGGAGAGAUUCUGAGAAGUUUGUAAUCGUCAGUGAAUUGAUAGAAAGCGAAGCUGCCAGCGGCAUCACAGUUUAUGUGAGGGAUGGAGUGAUGAUUACGGGUGUUAGGGUUCCAAAAAGAGAUAUCGCGGCCGUUGGAGAUGCUUAGGAGGCCGUUACAUGAACCAAGGAGAGAGAUGUAACCCGUCAAAGGAUGCUUUAUUUGAAUUGCGGUGGUUAGGUUAGGGAAAUCAAGUUGGUAGAGUUUGGUUUUCUGGCGAAGGAUGAGGUUGAAGUUGAAGGAGUUUUAAUUUUGAGGUGAAGAUUAGUGAAGUUGUGCGAAUCGAUUAACGAUUUAAGUGAUUUUGAAGUUGAUCGGAAUCGGAGGAGGGAUUGCACUAGUAAGCGGGAGAGGAUUUCGGUGAACCAAUCCGAUGGAACAUCAGACAUCGUUAAUCGGAAGGUUACAUGGUUUAAGGUUUUUCGUUUACUUGUUGCCGAAGGUAUUGCCGUCAAUGAAUGCAAAGUCGUUGAUGCCGAUUUCUUCAAUUCCUUUCAAGACGAUUUCGACGACGAUGCUGAUAUCAACUAGUUAUAGCUCAUUGUUGUUAUUUCGUGUUUUACUAUGGAUUAGAAAAGAUGAAGCUGAAAUUGAUGUAGUACUGUUUUUUGGAUUAUGAUGAUGAAUUUUUUGUGAUUAAUCGGCUUAAUUUCUUGUUUUGAACUGUGCUAAAAAAAAAAACUAUCCAAGGAAACUAUACUAUAAUUUUUUUUUAAAGAGAACCUAUACUAUAUAAAUACUAUAUAUAUUUUUUCAGGGAAUAAAUAGCUUAUAUAUCUAUUUUUUUUGUUGGUCAGGUAGCCUAGUGGCUAUAAUUCACCUUAUAAGAUGAAUAAAUGGAGUGUCCGGGGUUCGAACCCCGACCUCUGCAUAUGCUCACGGGACCAAUACUUUAUAUAUCUAUACUAUAUAUAAAGAAAAUAACCUCUCUUCCAAAAAUAAAUAAAUAAAGAAAAUAACAUUUUUUAGCUUUUUUGGGCUGAUUUUUCUCUUUCCAAAAAUAUCCUCAAUUUUCAAUACAAAUAACAAAUGUAACAAAUAGAUAAGAAUAAAUUUAAAACAUGUCUGUUUUAUUUUCCUUUAUCAUUUAAAAAAUGUAACAAAUUAGAUGGAGCAUAUUUAUACUUACUUUUUCAUUAUCUCAAUUAUACCCUUAAACAACUUUUUCUAUAAUAAAGAUUGUUGUUGGUGUCAUUAAAAAAAAUUAGAUUAUACUUUUUUUUUGUUAUAAUAUACUUUAUUUUUUUUGCCAAGUUGUUAUAAUAUACUAUUGAUUUUGAUGUUUUUGUUGGAUAAUAUACUAACGUAGUAUAUUAUCCUCUUCAAACAUAUUAUUUUCAGACUUUAGAAUUUUUUUUUUAUAUAAUCAUUGUUUAGAAUCUAAAUUGUAGGUUCGUUUUAGGCCACCAAAAUCUCAGAAACAGCCGGCCAUGAAUGUCUAUCAACUUUUCUUAGUAGUGACAAUUCAUCUUAUUGCAAAAGCUACUUUAGACAAGUACAUUUAUGGGUUCACAACAAUAAAUACAUAUACCCAUUAACAGCUCCAAAUCAUGAAUCACCCCGUUUAUAAUUAUAUUCUUUUCUCAUCUGCACAGACAUAUACUAGAGAUUACUUCAUUCACAAGCAAUCGAGAUUGGGAGAGAAUUAGGGGAAAUAAGAGAGAAGAAAGAGAGAUCAAUGUGAUUGUAAACUAUGUUCUCAUUAUUUAGUAAUGAAAAUCUAAGAUUACAAGCUUAUAUAAACAACUUAUGUGGCUUACUUGCAAUACAAGUAAUCAAUCAAAACCAACCAACUCGAUCAAAAUAGCUAACAAACAACUAACUGUUUUUAACUACUUUUUUUUUUUUGCAACUAACUUGAAUUAAACAAUUGUUCAGCUUGCAAGAGAACAAACAUCAACUCCCAUACAACAACAAUCUAAUAAGUACUAAAGAGUCACCUGAGUGAGUUUGGAGACUGAAAUUGCAAUUGCAGCCUUUGCAUCGUCAUCCUCCUCGAGACAUUUGAGAGCUCUGUCGAACACAAGUUUAUUGUCCUCAUUUUAAACUACCAGGAAGCAAAAGACAAAUAAAACAUCACAAUAGAAGAAGGAAAAGAUAACUUAUGUUGUUUUUCUUAUUUCAGAACUGAACAUUUUAUGCGUCAUAGACAAGAAAAUCAAAGUUCCGAAAUCAUAAAAUAUCUUAGACAUUAUUAACCAACCAACACAUUCACAUUCUUGGCUACAGACAUAGUUAGAUGAACAUCACUCACAUGAAUAAGCAGAUCAUCAAUUUAGAAGUUCAUGAUAAUCAUCUCAUUUUUCUAAAUAUAAAGAAUUUGACGAGAACAAUAAACACAAUAAUCUUAACCAUUACAAGCAUUAAGGGAGUGUUUGGAUCAUCAACUUAUAGCACAGCCGCUUAUGUAUAAGCUUGCUUAAUCUAUUUUUAUAGCAAAAGAUAAAAUAGCGUUAAAUUGAUUUUGUAUACAAUAUAAGUUGCUUUUAUAAGCUAUAUUGAAGAACUUAUGAAAUAAGUUAAAAAAAAAAACUUAUGAAAUUGUCAUAACUCAUAAGCUGUGUUCAAAAGUUUGAACUCAAUUCGUCCUGAAGGAUUUGUCCUUAAUUGCAGCUCAUUAACCACAGAGGCCAAUCACUUAGUUACAAGUUGAAGUGUUUAACAAGGAAUUAAGCUCGGUAAAAUCAUGAAUGGAACUAUUGGCAAACACUUCUACCAUUGAAGCAUAUGAAAAUAAACCAUGAAUCUAACUAUCGAUGAAGUCCACGUGAAAUGAGUAAUGUAACUAAUACUUCAUUAAUGGAGACAAUUAUUAGACAAACCUUUCUAAGAUAAAUUUUGAUUGUUCAGCCAAGCACUGGAGAUGAACGUUAUAACGAAUCCCCAAAUUUUGGGACCUCGAAUUUACAAAAUAACAUCGGUCAAUAAAAUGUUAUCUCCGUCGUUUAGGGGUGUUCGGUGUUAAGGUGUCACACUAAAUGACAUGUUCACCUUGGUGUGGAGCAUUUUGACAACUUAAUUAUAAAUCAUUUAAGUCUUUCAAUUAUAAUGCAUAAAUCGUCAAAAUACUCCAUAUAACCUGUGUUGGAACAAAAUGUGUUUCACAAUGAACCUUAAUGAGUUUUGAUGAUAACAAGGUAUUAAAAAUUGUCAAUUGGUUAUUACUAAUAAUUGUUUAAGUAUACAAGACCAAAAGCUAGUCAAGUAAUUUCAAUAGGUCUUGGAAGAACAAUGAAAAGCAAAGGAAUUCGAAGCAUCUGUAGAAAACUGCGUCUGAAGCUUAAAGUGCUUCUGAAGCUGAAGUGCAUCUGAAGUGAUGACGCCAUCAGAAGCAGAAGCUCAUCAGAAGCAAGGUUUUCAUCAGAAGCGAUAUCAUCACCAGAAGCUACAUUUAAUCCGUAAAUUCAAACUGAAGAUCCAAAGUAGUUGUUUCUCAUUUCAACCUUAUCUAAGAAGAACGAAGAAUUGUAAGGGAGGUAUCAACGGUCAUUUGGAUAACACUGAGUAUUUGUCCUUCGUUAACAGAGUUGACAAAGUACAAGUGUACAACCACUACCUCCACUACUCUGUUUUGUCCACGCCACAAGACAAGACAACAGCUAUGCCUGCAGAAUUUGUGCCUUCAAGAUGGGAAUGAAUUUGAAGCUAAUUCCUCAAAGGACUACACCCAAAUCAGGCAAAGGAUUACUGGUGAAUGAUCAAAGGAUUUCAAACGACUCUUUAGACGUGCUAAUCAUCUCAACGUCUCUUUCACACCUCUAUAUAAAGGAGUGAAGACUUGAAGAUUGUAGAUAGAGAUACACAAGUUAAAAAGCGUCAAAACUCUGUCAAUUUGAUUCUACAAAGCACACUGAAUUUCUGCACUGAUUUGAUACAUCUUGGAAAUUCAAAAGUCUAGAGUUUUUAACGUAUUGUAUUGUGAACACCACUGAUUGUAUAUCAAGUGUUCAAGUCAAACUUAUUUCAUUGUAUUUUUGUUUGAUCAGAAGCCUCUUGCCUGCGUGCUUGAGCAUUAGAAGACUCUUGCUUAGUGCUUGAGCAUUGGAAGACUCUUGCAUGUGUGCUUGAGCAUUUUUGAGAAGUCUCAUACUUAGAGAGUAUUGAGCAUUUGUAAUCUUUGUGAUUAUAGUGAAAUCUCCUUGGAAGUGCAAGGGGGACUGGACUACUUCCGAUUUGUGGAAGGAACCAGGAUAACUGCUUGUGUCUUGCUUUUCUUUUCUCUGCUUUGAUCUUUUCCGCUGCAUAUCUGAUUCUGAUCAUUUCAUCAGAAGCAUUCACAAACUGCUUUUGAAGUUUUAUCAGAAGAAGAAUUUUUAGAGAGAGAAAGAAAACACAAUUCAACCCCCCCCCCCCCCCCCCCCCCUCUUGUGUUUUUCUCACCUUCAACAUGUCUUCAACGAGUUCAUCUUUGCUCCAUUAUGAACUCGUCUUCAACGUGAACAUGUCACGGUUUCAUUUGACACCUUAAUUAGCAACCCUAAGAGAGUGAUUUGGCUGAGGGAAUUUAGAUUGACGUGAUUAAAUUUGAAGGAGAAAUUUGCUAUUUCGUAAAUUUGUGAACUCAAAUAACACUAAAGGAUGGAUGUUGGUUGCUUGAGUAACUUGGGUAUGACCAACAUUGCAGUUUAAGGAUUUGGAUUCCAUAUGAUUAAUCUUGAUCAUCGAUUUGAAAUCGACCCAUUCACAUUACAUCUUUAUGAAGGACCCUUUUAUUAUUAUUAUAAAAAAAGGUUUUGAUACUCUAUAAUCUCGAAAUUAAUUUGUAUAGAUUCUUUAAGAACCAUAAUGAAAAUUAGUUUUUCUUCUUUUUUUUUUUUAAAAAAAAAAUCCGUAAUAAAAAAAUGAUAUUAUGUAGAAACUAUUCAAAACACUUCUCAUUUUAAUUUGAUAUUAUGGGAUUGGGCACAAUAAGAAAUUUGAUUGUGGACUCUUAUAAAUAAGAGAAUGCAAAAGGGAAAACAAGCAUGGAAAUUGUGAAGUCAUAAUUUGGGAUGAAUGCAUGCAUAUUGUUGUGUGGGCUUGUGCCUACACAAAAUAUUUUAAAUUUUUAUUUUUAAGUAGUAUAAUAUAGUUAUAGUUGACAUUUUGACCAAAUAACCUACACUUAUAACACAAUAUUUCUCUCUUCGCCCACACUUAUAUCACACAAGAUACAACAACUUAUUUCCAAAUAUAUAUGGUGCCCCCACUUUUCAAAAUUUCUUGAUUCGUCAUUGCUCAUAAUCAUCUUUUCUAUCUCAAUUCUCUUUCUUUAGAUUCUCUCUAAUUCUUCUUUCUUUAUUGUACUCAUUCAAGCUUAUCCAUUAGCUAUGAAACAUAUUUUACUUCAUCAAUUCAAUAAAUGAAUUUAAGAUUCUACUCCAUUUUAAGGUUUGUUACAUGUUCUUUGUUUUGAAUGAUGAAUACAUACUACUGGAUCAGUUAAAAAUAGGCUGGAAUAUAUGAGGAUGUUGUGACAAAUAGUGUUUUUUAGCACUAUGGUUGCAAGUGUAAAUACAUAUAUAUUUGGUUUAUUUUUAUAUAUGCGUAACUUAAGCUAUUUAUUGUCAUGAAUCAUGAUAAUGAUUUACAAAAAAAAAAUUCCCCAUUUCAGUAAUCAUUUUAAAUUGUUGCCAUCUUGUCGAAGAUAUAAAGAACUUAUGCAUGAUUGUGUUCACUCUUGUACAUGGCAGAUGCAGGCAUCAUUGAUUUUUUUAUUUUUUAUUUUUUAUAUGUAAGCUUUAUUAUUUUCAACUAACUUUGUGAUAGAUAUUGAUUUGAUGAAAAUGUAUAGAUAAUCAAUGUACAUAUUGGCCUUUUUAUAUCAUGUUGGCAAUUGCAACAAGAGUUGAGUGAGAUCCAAGUAUGCAUGCAUGCUUAAGAAUAACUUUUAAUAUUGGAUUAAUCCUCUCUAGACUCUCCCACAUCCACUGAUUAUAAAUUCUAGAACUCGUAAAUAUAUAAAUCUAAAUGAUCGAGACAUAUAGUGAAAAGUCUUGCUCAACUUUAUUAUCAAAAGACAAAGAAUGAUGGUUAGGUUAUGUUGACACAAUAAACCUAUCUUUCUAAGCAAUCAUGAAAAGAGUGAUUCCUUUUUUUUUUUUUUUUUUCCUUCUUUAGUAAAUCACAUGAUAAAGUCAAGAUCAAGGAGCAAUAUAAUUUCCAAUAUGAGCAAAAGUGGCAUUUCAAUGAUUUCAUCAUAAAAGGAAUUAUAGAAGAAAGAAACUAACAAUCAACAAUAACUUUCCAAUCAUAUAUCUUGGGGAAAAUUUUGAGCAUCAAUAGUACAAAAAUAAACAAAAACCAAGUAUACAUACCAUGACUAAUAUAUAGUCUUUUUUUUCUUAAAUCAUUAACAAAAAAAAUUUAUCAUCAUUAUUUUGUUUCCAAAUUUAAUCAAAAUAGGAAAUAUGAUCAUUCGAAAUUGAGCUAUAACUGGUAGGAUUUGUCUGUUGUGUGUAAAUGGAAGAAGGAAGCAUUGGUAAUGAUGUUGAAGGUGGAAGAGUAGCAAUUGAUACAUCCUCUGAAGAAGGAAGCAUAUUAGCUUCCAUGAGUUUGUAUUUAUGUAUUUCUUCCCUUAUAGCAUUAAGUUCACCUAUUAAUGAUUGAACUUGUUGUUGCAAAGAUGAAAUUGCACCCAUGCAUCCAUAAACUGGAUCUCUUAGUCUUACAUUUGCUUCAUAAACUAAACUAUUUGCUGCAUCUGCUCUUUGAUUCUCUGGUACCUCCUAAUUAAACACAUAAUACUACAAAAGUUACUUUUUUCAUACAUAUAAAAAUUAAUCAUCAUGGCUUUGUAUUCUAGUAGAAUGCACACAAGGUUUAGAUAUAUAUAAAUAAUUUUUUAUUUAGAGGGGCUCUAUUUUCUAAUAUCUUCCUGAUUUAAAUUUGGACCUCAUGAACUGAUCAUAUGGUAUUAAUUUUAUAUAAAAAAAAAUUGAGAGGAUUAAGUUUUAUAAAUAGUAGAAAAAGAAAAUAUUAACUUGCUAUACCAAGUUAAACUCAAAGGUCCACUAAUUAGAAUAUUUUUUAAAAGGUUCAUAUUAAAAACCCACAUUAUUUAGUAAUCCAUUUAGCAACUAUGACCCUUUCCAAACCCUACGUAUGUGAAAGUUUUAGUUCAUCAAACUGACUUUAUUUUUAAUCGAUUUAAAGAUCAAUUUGUAAAAGUCCUAAAUAAUUGGUCGACAAAUCGAUCUCUAAAUCAGCCCUAAAAAUUUUGUUAUUAUCAAUUUGUAAAACUCAUCAAACCACUUAUGCUAAUGUAUAUCGAUCGACUUGAAAUAAAAUCAACAGCUAAAUCAGUUAACAAAUUGAAAUAUUUGUAAUAAUGAACUAAGGUUUUAUAUGUGUAUAUACCAAUAGCAACUUUGAGACGUUGCUAGCACCAAAGACUUUGUGGACAGAAGCAAACUUCUGAGGCUCAUGAGGAGAGAAAUAUGGAGAAAAAGGGCAUUCUUGGGCACACCUUCGUCUCAAAAGCUUGCAUGCAGCACAAGGAGUAGUUGUAUUUAGUGUUCCUGAAGGACCUAACAUUCUUCCCUUUUGAAAAGACUCAUCACCUUCCCUCUUCUUUCCUAUCUCAUCAAAAAAUCUCCCCCUAUAGAUAUUAAAGAAUAUAUGAAAAAUUAUUUUUGAGAGUACAAAAAGUAUGCUUGAAAAGUUUGGUUACCAUAUAUUAAUUAGUAGAAAUACUUAUUACAAAUUAUUUUGAAGAGUACAAAAAGUAUACUUUGAAAGAGUUUUCUUACCUUUCUCUGGACAUUCAAGCAUGCUAUCUGAAACAUGUAUAAGAGUUAAUGUAUGGAAAUAAUAGCUAGAGAAGUGAUGGAGAGUCCAAAGGGGAAUUGAAGAAAGAAAAUAUAUUUGGUUACAAAUUUGGUUUGGUGUGCUUAAAAGGCAAGGUUGUAAAGGACAAAUCAACACUCCAGCUAUAUUUUGAUUUGGAAGUAAUAUAUAGAAAAUAAUGUCACAUUGUAUAAAAGAAGAAAUAUGUUCAAUGCUAGUGGUUGAAUUGAACCUCUCUUGUUUUCGAGGAUUUCAAGAAUAAUGGUUAUAUAUAUUUUUGUUGUACGACAAACUUAGGUCUACUUGCUCACGUGUGAGUUCUUAAAUGUGUUUGACUUUUUAAAUCAACUUUGUGAUUCUAUUGGCGUGUGCAUGUGGUUCUUGCUUAUUAUUGAGGACAUGUAAAUAAAAUUGGAAGUCCCAUUUUAAACUUAUAUAUAUUUCUAACUUUAUUUAGUUUGAUAGAGGUUAAAUUAGUUUUUUUUUAGGGGAGAGGUUAAAUUAGUUAGUUAGUUACAACUCUAUUAGUUUGUUUCUGAAUUGGUUUAAUAAGCUUUGUAUGAAUAGAGCAUUUGUAUAUCAAAGGAAAUAUAUCAUAGUGAUAUAUAUGCAUCUAGUAAUAACAUGUAGGCCUAUGAAGCAGUAAUAUGUUUUUUUUAAAAGCAAGAUUUUAUUAAAUUGAAUACAAGGGUACUCCAAGUCCAUUACAAUAAGUCAAGAAAUUACAUGUUUUGAAGAUAUACAAUGGGGUUCAACCACUAAUCCGAGAAAACAAAUUUUUUAUUAUGCCCCUCCCUACAUAUGAACUAAGAUCACGAUAGACGCUUUACGAGAUUGACCACUUCUAAAGAAUUUGCAACUUUACUUUUAAAGACAACAUCAUUAUGCUCCAUCCAAUUACACCAUGCCGUUGUUAACGAAGCAGUAAUAUGUAGACACCGAUAAUACUUAAAAAAAUUAAAAGUCAUUAAAUGUUGAGACACAACAUGAUCAUUCAUAAACAUGAAAUUGCUUAGAAAUUGUAAUUCAAGCAAGCUGAAAAGGACUCUUAGUAUUAUAUACCGAUCAGUGCAAUAGGGGUUGGACACCUUUCAAGAUAAGUUGCUAAUCUUUAGCAGAAAAUGACUUUUGUUAUGUGACGGAUAUAUAUAGAAUUGAGAGAGAUAGAGAAAUGCCGAUUUGAGACAUCUCACCCAAACUUGGAUGUUAUAGAAAAUCAUUUGACAUAUAAAAAAUAUGUCAUAGUUUUGAUUUCAUUAACACUAGUUAAUUUGGCAUCAUAAUUUGUGGUCAUUAGAACGGAAAAUCUAGGUAUAAAGAAAAUAGAUAAAUCAACCCACAAAAAUAUGAAAUACCAGUGGUGGAGUGAGGAAUUUUAUAGAGUUUGGACAAAAAAUUUAUCGCAAAAUGUUACUUCCUUCUUGCGAAUAAUUUCACAUUUCUUGCAGAUAAUUUCACAUUUCCUGCGGAUCCUAAAAUGUUAUGGUAUCACCUCACCUAGGAACUUAAACCCUUGGUAAAAUCUGCAGGAAAUGCGUUUCCUGCUGAAUUUACAUAAAAAUCCGCAUGAAAAGUUAAAAGUUCUAAUAAUGGCUGGGCUUGCUACAAAGAAAAUUGGAGCUGAGUCUGGGCUAGUGUCCAGGCUAACUGGGGGUGGCUCCGCCCAUGUGAAAUACUUGUCACGGAGUUCGGUCAAUUAUAUCUACAUCUUUAUAAGUGUGUUAUGAUUUUUUUUUUAUCAUGCAAUUCGUAAGAAUAUGGUUAAAUAUUACAAUUCAAUUUAGACACUCAUCCAUGAACGAUACUGUGGGGCAAACCCACCAUAUAUUUCUUAACUAUUUUCUUUUAAGCUAACCCUUUGGUUUCUAUAAAUAAAGAACAUUAAUAAUUCGGAGUUCGCCCAAGAGAUUAUAAAUAAAAAAACAUUAAUAAUUUAAAGUUCAGCCAAAAGAUAAAUAAAGUUUGACCAAAAAUUAUUUUAGCUCGGAUUCUUCUGAAUCUUAACUAUAUCCUUCACACUAGUGACAAUUUUUCUUUGCAGCACACACUUCAACAUAGUAUGAAAGCUCUCCCUUCAAUUGCAUAGCAAUUUAUUGAAAAUACAAAAUCUAGAACCAUUCUAGCUUGAAAUCAUGUGAGACCGACACAGCAGCAAUUUAAUAUUGUACUUCAUCACAGGAAUUGAAUUAAAGGAAAAGAAUAUAGUGUCAAAGUGGGUGGUGAAAGAGAAAAAAAGAAAGGUGACAGAGAGAAAGAGUGUAUAUGCAGGAGUACUUGCUAUUGAACUCUGUGAAAGGUAUGAAUGCUUAAACUCCAAGAAAUUGAAUGGCACCAUCUCUUACUAUUUGACUUGACCCGUAUCUUGAGCCUUAUGACUCGCUUCAUUGAAUUUGAACCUAAGGUAAGGUUUAACAAAUCACUAACUAUAUCUAACUCCUAAUUUCAAUUCUUUCUCAAUAUAUAUUCAAUACUACAAAGCUCACUUACCCUUUUUCUGUAUGAGUACACCAAAUGUCACAACCCCAACACUAGACUUCAACUGCUCCACUGGCAGAAUAUCUGUGUUAAUUAUAGCAUAGUCACGUAAUUCUCUUUGACAAAUAAGUGGAUGAAGAUCAAGGAAAGAUCAAGAAGGGAUUGAGUAGGGGAUAAAAGAGAAAAAGGUUAAAUAUGUUCUUAGUCUAUGCAAAAUUAUGAGUUUUCAAAUUUAAUUCCUAUAAAAUUUUAAGGGUAAUUUUAGCCCUCCAUAAUAUUUUAGUUUGUAAGAACAGUCCCCAUUUUAAAAACUUUUUAUAAAAAAUGAAUAUUUUUAUUCCUCCAAAAUAGUCCUUAUAAAAUGCAAAUAAGGACUAAAAAUGAAUAAAAAAUUUGUAGGGACUAAAAACAUAUUUAAUCUAAGAGAAAAAAACAACAUUCAGUGGAGCAAAUAAAGUUUGCAGAAAAACCUCGUUAAAACUUAUUUGAGAAAGAUAAUAUCUCUUGCAAAAUAACACCGAUAAAAAUGAAAAAAAAAAUGAAUAUACAAAAAAAUUAUUUUGGAAAGUGGGUUUUAGUUUGUUGUAGUUGGCGAGUAUAAUCCUUCUACUUUUUUGCAAUAUUAAGAUAUAUUACUAUACUUAAUUAGGUAGUACUAUACUACAAACUCUAUACUCUCAUAUAUAUAUCGAACUCUUCUCAUGUCACGAACCGUGAAUCUGUAUCCAUAUCGCAUACCAACGCGAGUUGAAAAUUAUGUGACUAAUAGAUAAUUUAUUCAGGAAUAAAUAUUGAUUUUUUUCCCAAUCAAGUAGUAUAAUGAUUAAAAAUUCACCUAUCAAAAUAUAAAUAAAAAAUCUUGAACUCCAACCAUUGAAUACCACGAUACCCUACCAACUAAGUUAUGCUAUUGAAUUUGGUAUGUGAAAUUGUAGACUAUAUUACCUUAGCACCACAGAUUGUCAAUAUUCUAAAACAAUCUAUUGUAUUGUAUAAAAAAAUGGUCUAUUAUUUUUGUCAAAUCCAACAUUGACACUAUUCACUUACCAACAGAACGACGAACUUGAGUUACACUUAGCAUUUUGAUCAAUGGAUGUUAUUUGUUUGUUUUUUCAAUAGACAAAUAUCAAUGCCUACUUUAUUAGGAGGAAGAGGUAAAUGUUAACCACAUGAUAGAACUCUGAUCCUCCAUAAUAAUUCAUCAAUAUCGUAAGUAAUGCCGUUGAAUUACACCUUUGACACAUAUUUAUUAAUUUAUCCGAUAAACAUAAUUGCUUUUUUUUUAAUCCUCAAAACAACAAAGAACCGCCAACAUGAAUUAUUCAUUUAUCAAGAAACAUGAAAAUUUGCUCAAAAAGAAAGAAACAUGAAAUUAAAAUCUUUGAAAAAGGGCUCAUUUGUACCCCAAAAAAGUGAGAUGUUGUGUAUUGCAAUAAUUGUGGAUGUUACGUGAAUAAUGCUAACACAUUAUCUGACACUUUUGAACACUCUUUUUAAUAGUCUCACCAAAUUUAUCAAAUUUAUAUGUGACUCGGAUAGUUUUCGAAACUCAUGUGAAUUUUAACCGAUAAAUAAGAGUAUUUUAAAAAGUGUGUAUAAAGGAAUGUAAUGACAACACUCCUCCAGUUACAUAAAGCUAUAUUAGUCCAUUGCAUGAGCUACUUCAUUUACCCCAUGACAUUUGUUAUUUAGGCAUCUGGUGAUUGUUCUCGGCAUUCACCGAACGACAAUUAACUAUCAUUUGACACAUUUUAUCUUCUUAAAAAAAUAUCAUUUGACACUUUUAAGAAUGGAUAGUAGACAUUUUAAAUCGGAUGACCGAUUUGAAAAGUGUGUCAAAAGGUAGUUAAAUAUCGUUUGGUUUUUCCUAGGUGCUUAAAAAGCAAUUGCCUUACCCCUUCUACCAACAUGAGAUUGAAAUGGGCUUUUCAUCGUAGUCUUCUAAAAUAAAGCCCAUAAUAUUGCAUGACUUUAUUUUAUUUUUUUAAAACUUUUCAAUCCUAACAUGAGUUCAAAUUAAAAAAAAAAAAAAACACACAAUUUUUGUAUCAGAACUAACUUCAAGACAAAUUAUGUUGUCUAGGUGCUACAUGAUGCUAAUAUUUAAAUAGUGAGUAGGGAUUCUUAUGAAUAUUGAAAGUAAAAUUUGGAUGCAAGGUAAUAAACUGUAUGUUUUGGACUUCCUGGAUGGGGCUAUGAGGCAUUUAUAAACAACUAUAAUCCAGAUUUUGUUUAAUUUGAUAUAAAACACUCAUCAAAUCUCCAUGAAAAUAAAUGAGAAGAAGAUGAAGAUUAGAAUAUGAACUUUAAUCUAAGCAAGAAGGGAUUCCCUCCUCUUAGAAAUUCGCACAUAUACAUGGUCAAUAAUCUUAGUGGUUAAUUUAUGAUCAAACAAUUCAAAUUACACAAUAACAAAGUCAGUGUUAAACGAUUUUGUGCCUUUUUUUUAAAUUAGACGACCAAACAAACUACAAAGUCUGAGAAAAUAUCAAAAACCUCCCCCAAAAAAUUAUAAAGAUUUAAUGACAACGCAAUUACAUACUCCAAAACAUGUAAUGGGUUUUUCCACCAUUGAGAUAAGUUGCAAUUGAAUCCUUUCAAUUUAAUUUAAGCCACCACCACGGUAGAAUUUUAUCUUGAUCCAAAAUAAAAGAUAAAUUAAAUUCCUUCUUAGCAAAAACAACAUUAUUACGAGCUUUUUAAAUAGAUCAAAUGCAAGUCAACCAAAUAAUAUGAAAAGAAUCUUUAAUUUACACAUGAAAAACUUGUAAUCCUCUCAAUUGAAUGGCAUGACUUGAUACAUCAUUAACAAAAGCAGAAGAGAAGUCUAACAAAUUGUUGAUUGAUCUUCACACUUGACCGUAGAACACGCAAUCCAAGAAAAGAUGAUUGAGACUUUCCCUAGUACCACUUCCUCUUAAGCAAGAAGAAUCAUUUAUAAUGGUUAUCCCUUGUUUUACCAAAUUAUCCUUAAUAGGAAGACGAUUAUUCAAUAAUCUUUAAGCUAAUAAAGACACCUUCAGUAGAAAACUAAUUUAUAAUGAAGGAAUUACCAUCUUAAAUUAGCCUUCUCCACAACUUACUAUUUCUUUCUUCUUUGUUUUCCCAAUAGGAUAACACCCUCUAUCUCUAUUUGAACCAUUAUGUUUCAAAAAAGAACCAACAACUGUUGAUGAGCACGAGGAAGAGAAGCUUCCUUGAUUGUUGUCUCUCCUGGAAUAUGAGUACGACGAUGAAGAAGAUGAAGCCGAUGAUGACGACCCAGACGAUGUCGAUGAUGCAUGAGUAGUCUUCCUUGAACCUACCAACCUUAACAAAAUGCAUGAAAAAAUAUUGAUUUUUGAAUUUCUUUUUUUGUUAGUAUUGGAUUUUUUGGAAUAAUAUGAAGGUGGGGGUGUAAGUGGAGGAAUAGAGGUUUCAGAUAAAGGGUGCUUAGGAGUACCAGGUUGUGCCUCCCAUACAAAGGGAAUUGCAACUGAUCUUUCUCCAUAAUACAUGACCCUUGAUGAAGCGUUGGCACUAGAAGCUUCCUUUGAUUUUAGCCUUAAGAAGAAUUUAUCAUCUUGCUUUAUUCUGAAAGACUUGUCAAUUGAGAGAUGAUUGAUACCAUCAUUGAUCAUUUUUUGGGUUUAGAAAUAUUGUAUCUUGUUUUGAACUAUGAUAUAAAAUAAGCCUCAAAGGAAAAUGGAACUAUAGACAUUGAGUUAUGAGUAUACACUCUUCUGUCUGCUUAUGGUCCUCACUCCUUAGCACUGUAUUAUGGCUUUUCAUGUAUUUGGGAAAAAUAAAAGUUAAAACAUUUAUCAAUAUAAUAAAUGGAGUUUUUUUUAAAAAAAAAUAAAAAAUUACGUACUAGAUACUCCUCCGUUCCUUUUUAAGUGUCUCUUUUGGAGAUUUUUUUUUGUUUCUAUUUAACUGUCACUUUCAAAGUUCAAUGCAACAUUAAAUGAUGUUUUAUCAAUAUUACCCUUAAUUAUUUAUUGCGGAGAGAGAAAUAUAUGAAAUAAGAUAUUAAAUUAAUAAGGUCAUUAUAGUAAAAAUAUAACUUAUUGCAUCAAAAGUAGUAACAACUAUUGAUUGUCUUGAUAUGUGUAAAAUGUCAAAAUGUGACAAUUAAAAAUGAACGGAGAUAGUAGUAAUCAAGGAAUUGAGGUCAAAAGGUUAUUGAGCUUCAAUAAAAAACGACUUUUUCAAAAAAUUUAAAUUUGAUUUAUAGAUAGAACAAUUCUUAGUAGAUCUCCGAAUUAUCGGAACUCUCUUCCCCCAAAAAAUCGAAGGGUCAAUAAAAACAAAACCAAUUACCUGGUGGUAGUAGUAUAGUGCCCUCUUGUGAAACUUCACUUUUGAGAUGACAACUCCAUUUGUUUCUAAAUACAUGUUGCAAUCAAUCACGACACACAUAUCAAUACAUAACUUUGACGGUUAAUAUUUUUAUUUAUCUAUAAUAAAAGAGUAUAAAAAUUUGAUAUUUAAAAAUAUUUAUGAAGACAAAUCGUACAACAUCUAAUAUACUAACAUGUAUUUAAGAAGUAAUUUGUAUUUAUAUAUUAGUUUAAAAAUAUGGUCAAAGAAAGUUAUAAGAAUAGUGCACAUUGUCAAAUUACAACAUGUAUUUAAGAACGGAUGGAGUACAAUAUAUGAUGAGUAACAAUUUCUAGCAAUAAUUUUUUUUUUUUAUCAAAAAGAACGUUAAAAAUUAAAAUUGAUGUAUUUGAUCCAAAUUUCAAACAAAAUACAUCAACUUAUUAACUUAAAUGUAUCUUAUAAACAUGAAGAGAUGAAGUAACAAUAUGACUAAGUUUAUUAAUUAACAUGUUUAAUCAAAGAUACAUGCUAUGUUGAUUAAGGAUAGACAUACAAGUUGGCUAUAUGGGAAUUAAUUAUAGAGUAUAGACUAAAUCAAGAAACAGGUUGUUUGAUGUAGUAGGGAUUGUUUUCUGGCGCACCAAUUUCAUAGUUGCAAAAUUUAAUGCUUGGUGAUCAAACUAAAUUAAAAAUGAUGGGUCUAAUGGGUAGUUGUUCAAUUAUUUUUGGAAUAAUCUGACCGUUGAUUAAGGGACUGGGGUACUAGUUUGGUUUGUUUUGUUACAAAGAGAAAAUGUACUUGUACUAGUUUGGCUCUGAUUCGUCUAUACUAAUAAAUCAGUGGUGACCAAAAACAGUUGAGGAAAAAGGAAUUUGGUUCUAGACCAACAUUGUAUAAUAAAUGAAACAGCUUUGUGGUCCAUGAUUCCAUAAAUUAGAAUGAGAAAUUUGUAGACAUACAUAAUUGAUUUAUCAUGAAAAACUCUGCUAGUCUGUUUACAUACUUAUGACAACAUAAAUAUUUUUAAAAGAAUCUUACCAUAUGAAACAAUCUUAAAUGAAUUAGGAUGAUGAUAAUUUUGCAUAAAAUACAAUAAAUACUUAAGAAUUAUAUUGAAUGAGAUUCAUUUGGCAAACAUAAAAGUAACAAGCUCAAAGGGAAACAUGAAUUUUAUCUAAGAUAUAAAUUGUUUUAGUAUUAUUUUAAUCAUACUAGUCAUUAUUCAUAGUUGUUAUAUAAUAUAAUUUAUCUAUAUCGUUUUUAAUUAUAUAAUGUCAUGUAUUUAUCAUUGAUUUUCAAUUAUUAUCAUAAAAAUGUAUAGUAUUAAUAUUAGUUGAAAAUACCUAAUUAAUAGUAUUUUAAAUUGCCAAAUAGUUAACACCGACAAUGUUAAUUGUUAAUGUGAAGAAGAUCUUGGGGUCUAUUCCUUAAAAAAAAAUAAAAAAAAUCUUGGGGUCUAUUCUCACCUUAGUACGUGAUUAAGGAAGUGAAUAACAUCAUCAUUAAUGAACAAUAGACGCAACUAAGGUACCGUUUGAUCCGGCUUUUUUUAGCUUCUCUACAUUUUUGAGGAGAAGUUAGGUCAAACACAAUAUCAAUAAAGUACCUUCGAAAAAAAUACUUUUUUAGGAUGCAUAAAAUUGAAUGGAAUGAGCUUUAACCAAAAGUUGUUAAAUGCUACUUCAAAAAAUUACUUCUCCGUAAUUUAUUUCACAAGCACCUCUCUUCAACUCACGCAGGUAACCUUUUCUUUUAUUUUUUAAUAUUAUUUUUCAAUUUGUUUUUUUCUUCCAUUUUUUUUAACCGGUCCAUAUAAUUUUUUUUAAAGGAUGAUCAAUUUAAUCUUAUUAUCUAUUUUUGAAAGAAUUUUAUUAUCUUUUUAUCACUUAUAUAUUUAAUUUUAAUAUCGUUUAAUUAUCAAAACCUCAUAAAUAUUUUUAUUCAUGCUGUCAGUGAAUGACACCAAAUAUUUUUAUUCCCUUUCUUCAACCUCAAAAAUAUACACGCACACAUUAGCGUUUAGAGUAAUAUUUUAUGUAUGUAUGUCUGUUUUUUUGUUACGCUAAUCUGUAUAAUUUUUUUAGUGUUGCGUAAUGCGUACAAUUAUUAUUUUUAUAAAAAUUUUAUUUUAAUUAAAAGUACAAAUAUAGAUGCCUAAAAAAAUUAUACUUAUAUAUAUUUUACACAUUUAUAUUGUAGCAAACUAUGUAUAUAUUUUUCUUAUUAAAAAAACUAAACAUAAUUUUUUCAAUGACAGCAACAAUGUAACAAAUAUAAUACCAUAUAAUAUAAAUUCUUAUGUUUUUAAAUGACACCAAAAAUAUGAUAUUCUUAUAACAAAAUUUGUUAUACAUAUAAUUGGAAAAGAAAAAACAAACUAUUCUCUAGCUUAGCUCAGUUGAUAUAGACAAUGUAUAAAUAUAUGCAAGGUCGCGGGUUCAAAUCUCAGACACCACAAAAAAAAAAAAUCAAAGUUUUGUACAAUAUUUUACCAAACAAGUUUUAACUUAAAACUGAUCAAACGGUACCUGAAUGACUAAUAUAAAAGCCACGUGAACUACAAGCUGAUUGGCUAUGUGUUUCUCAUGUGUCCACAUUAUGCAUGAAUAAUAAAUAAGCCUAACCUAACUAUCUGUUUGAAAACCCUAAAUUUUGAACCAUGACCUCCUCUCCUCCCAACGUCCUAAGCUUCGAUAACUAUUUGGACUUUGAUGCCAAACAAUUUAUAUCCUCUUUCUUUUUACUGAAGAAUAUUUUAUCCUCAUUAAAUAGCAAGAAUAAAUAAUAUGAACAUAUUCACCUACUUAGGUAUCACUGAUAGAGACAUUUCACAUAGUACAUUACAUAGUGAAAGCUGAAGGGUAUUGGAGUAUUUAUUACUAACAAUUUGAAAUGUCAUAUUUAUAGCUGUACGUUUUUUUAUUUGAGUAUUGCUUCUAUACAUUCAUAGCAUUAGCUGAUUUUGAUCUCUACGUGUCGCACGGUCUUUAAUCCAUGGAUUUUAUUAUUGACUAAAUUGCAUUUUUGGGUUCCAACUUUCACAAACUAACGAUUUCGACUGCUCAACAUUUAAAAUAGCAUAUUUGGCACUAUCUUUGACCCCUUUUGCAAAAGUCUUACUCCCGCUUAAUUUUAACCAAGUAAACGCAUAUGUAGACACUAACUUAAUUAACCUAGACGGCAUAUGUAUAAUUCUUUUCUAGAAUAAAAAAUAAAAUACAAAACUCACCACUUAAUUGGACAAAAAUUAAUAAAAAAAAUGCUGGUACGUGAACCUAAUAAAAAAAAAUAGGUUUCUUUAAAAAAGAUCCCAAAAUUUCUCCCAUCUCCAUAGUUUUUUCUUCAUUCUUAAAACUUCUCACACCUGCACCAGGUCACAUUAAAUUAAAUAUGUUUUUCUUAGGGAAAGAAAGGGACUAAGUAAGUCCCAUUAACCAAUAACAAAAUCAAAAACAAAAGAAAAAGAAAAAAGACACGGACUAAAACUAGAAAUGAAAUAAAAAAUUGUCUGAUAACGAGUGCUCGAGACACUCUUUAAGUAUUUAAAAUAAAUAAUUAUUAUUUAAAAAAUCAAAUAUUUUGAUUUUUAAUGCAUUGAUUACAUGCAUUUUCAUAAACACUUACUACUUAUGAUUCUAAAUAGUACACCUGACGCACUUAUUAACAUUUCUCUAUAAAAAAUGCUAACACAAUUUAUGUAACCUAAACUUGACAAAUGCAUGCAUCUUCCAUGUUUGUCAGAUUCACACGACAUAUGAUUCACAUGAUGCAUGAUACGAAGGAUCUGUUGAAUGAGUAAGAAACAGAAAUGUCUAGCACUACACUCAUUCAAACCAAACUCAUGACAGCCUUUGAGUCAUACUCAAUGUCAAUAGCUCUAAAAUAUCGAUCAAAUGUCAACUUCAGGCCCUUGACGGUAACCCGAAAUUUUGUUGAUAAUAUAUGUAAUUAUAGGUUAAAAAAACUUAAUAGUUAUAAAUAAUGAUAUCAUAUACUACUCCACUUUCUUUGUCCCACUAUCGGUCUCAUUCAUGGCGGAGUCAGGAAAAAAUACUUGGGUGGGCCACUACAUUAUGAAACUUAUUUUUAUAGUAAAAAUGUUAAUUGGAACAAAUUUUAGUUGACAUAAAAUAUAAAGGAGAUUUGAAACGCCCCACAAAUUAGAAGGUCUCUGAUUCCGCUAACCAGUCAAGCAUAGGCGUGACAAAAAUCACGUAUGCCACCUAUGGAAUCGCCGAAAUUUAAAACCGUUGAAAAAUUGUUUAAAAUUUCAUAAAAUAUAUAGACCAAUGAUUUUUUCUUUUUUUCUUUUUUGGAUGGGCCACUGCAUCACUUUACACAUAUUUGAAUGUGCCGAAAACAAAAAACAUCACAAAAUUGUUUAAAAUCUCACAAAAUAGAUCUAUGAUCGUUAAUUUUUAAAAUUUUUCAAGUGGGUUGUGACCCACGCCCAUAAAGGGCUCCGCAUGAGACUCUCAUAUUUACAAAGCAAAAAUUUCUCCCAAAAUGAAUAUCAUUUAAAAUUAUAAUAUUAAAUUAUUGUUUUGAUUAUAUCUUCAUCAAAAAGAAAAGAAAAAAAUUAGGAAUUCGUCAAAAAAAUUGACCCCUCCGUCCCUUUUUAAGUAUUGUUAAAAAUUGGACGCACUCAUUAACACCAAAUUAGAGAAAUCUAUUUUUGCACAUUUUCUUUCUAUUAUACUCUUAUUUUAAUCCACCAAUAAAUUUCUAUUUUUUGCAUGCAUUUUCCUGUUCCAAUAAAUUUAAUGUGUUAUCUUUCUCUUAUAACAAAGUAACAAACAAUAGUUAAUUACUCUCUUUUUCUUCAAUUUUUGUUUUAUUUUUUUUUAACAUAUUUUAACUCUCCCGUAACAACAAUAAUUAGUUACUCUUUUUCUUCAAAAGAUUGUACACAUAUUUUUUAAUAACUAGCAUAUUUAUCCGGCGUUGCUCGGGUUAGACAUAUAACUUUGUAUACUCGUAAAUUUAUAGAUGCACAGACAAAUAUAAUUAACUGGAUUUAGUAAAAUUAUUAACAUAUACAGAAUAAAAUAUACAUUUUUUAAGUAUCCGGACUUGCAAAAAUUUAGAAACGACUGUGUGUUCCUAUAGACUGUUGGGUUCACGGUGUCCGCUAUAAUGGCAUGCGCAAAUUAUGAAUGGAUGUCAAUCCCUACUGCUAUAAUGACACACACCAAUUAUGAAUGUCCGCUAUAUUGGAUUUACACACAAAACAACAUAAAAGAUCAACAUAAGCAAAAAAUACCUAUUGCUAAACUAGCGUAACUGGUGAAAUAGUAAUAAUAAUAAUAAUAAAACCAAAUAGGAAUGGAUGCCACAAACUCAAUUAUUAUGAAUAAGAAUGGAGAGAAGAGCGGUACUGUUGAAUCGAAAAGAAAAAAGAAAAAAAAAACACACACAAUAGUAUAAGUGUUAGUUCAAGGACCUGAAACAGAAACAAUAGUAUAGGUGUUAGUUCAAGGACCUGAAAGAAAGAAAAAAAAAACAAUCAGUAAACUUACUCGUAUGUGUUAGUUCCAUCUUAUAUAUAUUAGAUAUAUAAAAAUAAAAAUCUAAGCAUAAUUAGAAGAAAUAAUAGUAUAGGUGUUUGUCAAACUUGAAGAAAGAAAAAGCUUAGAUCAAAAUAAGGUUUGACUUUCGAUUUUUGCUCAAAAUAUGUGAUUAUGGUGAUUAACAAAAUCUCAUUUAUUUAUAGUUAAAAAAUAAAAAAAAUAAAAAAAACGAAUCUUUUUUUUCCUCAAUGAAAAAACUAAUUGAAUAAUAUGGUGUUAAAAGAUUAGAUAGUAACUAAUUGAAACUUCUUUUCCUAAAAAAAAGAAAGAAAUAGAAAAGAAGAUUCAAUGGAUAGUAUUGAAGGUAUUAUAUAUAGUUUGUUGAGAUAUUUUGGCUACAUAAAAUAUUAGAAAUUAAAUAAAAUAUUUAGUGGAAUAGAAAAAAUAAUAAAAAUAUUGAGAAUAAACGUGGAAGUGACACGUGGAAUAAAAAAUCUUACUUUAUAUAUAUAUACUAUUGAUUGUAAAGCAAAAUAAAAAUUAUUUCAACUUCACAUUAAUCAAAAGUUAAGAAAAAUUUAACUUUAUUCCGGACUCUUUUUUUUUUUUUUUUUGGUAGAUAGACGAAAUGUCAAAGUCAUUAUAAACUCACACACACAAGUGGAGGUACCGGGGUUCGAACCCCGGUCAUGGCAUCCGGCCUAACAAUGUCGCAUUUUUUCAGUUGAGUUAGGACUUCUGAAUUAUUCCAGACUCCUUUAAUCAAAGUUAAGGUUUCAACAAAAUUAUUAUUUUUUUGUUAUCUUCAACAUUGUGCGACAUAAUUUAAAUGUUGAAUAUAACAAAAAAAAAAAAUUCUAGUCAAGAAAAUCUAUUUGAAAAAAAAGAAGAACAAAUUUUGUAUAAAAAUAACAAACUUUAGUUUUCCAAACAGAUAGUAUUCAUUAGUUUUAUUGAAAAAGAUAAGAGUAAUUGAGAAAGGGUAUAAGUGACAAAUCGUACCCUUAAAAUCUCAAAACGGUAGUUAAAUGUAAUCGUUAAAUCCGUAGUCAAACAACAUUUAAAAAGAAACGGAAGGAGUAUUGUUUUAAUAUAUAUAUAUAUAUAUAUAUAUAUAUAUAUAUAUAUAUAUAUAUAUAGUAUUUAAUUGUAUUUUUUUAAAAAAAGGUAUUGUAUUUUGUUAUUGAUGGGUUUAAUUUGACAACCUAUCGAGGGUGGGGCAGAGGAGGAAUGACGAUCCUCCUAAAAUGUAAAUGAUCCGUUUUUAUUUUUCGGGGUCCAAACCCCAGAACUUACAUAUGUUAUGUGUUGUCUAUAUCAAUUGAGUUAAGUUCAUGAGGAUUAAAUGAUCCGUUUAAUCACUCUUGAUUUGAUUUUGAUACCAUAAAAUGCAUCCACACGUAUGUUUUCGUAUAAAAAGAUUUAUGUAACAAGUGGAGUUUUUAUAAAAAUUUAGCGACGCAGUUUGUUACAUGUUUGUCUUCCACUCGUAUAUAGUUUUCAUAUACUAUUAAUUAAAAAGGAGAAAAAUAUAACAUGAUAGUGAUGCAAUGCGAUUUAGAAGCAAGAAUGCUAUAUGUUAAAGAAUUAGUUAUCAUUCAUCUUAUCGAUGAAAAUCUUCUCUAUUUCUCAAAUAAAUUAAGGGUUCGAUCUUGAAUAAAAGAAAAGAAAAUUAUAGGGUUCUAUUAUGAAGACACGUUAAAGAUAAGUUUGAUGGAUCUCACCUAAAAUGUGGCCCAUCAAAUUUCAUAUUGUUUGGUUCUCUCCCUUAAAUGUAGCAAUCUAUUUAUUUAAGAAAUGAAGAGGUUCUUGAUCCCUGAGCGAUACAAUCUUCUUUCAAGAAAAAAAGACAAAUCCACGAAUAACUCUUUAUUUUAUAAAUUAUUAAUAAUUUAUUAAUUUAAAAAAAUAAAAUAAAUGUAUGGAUACACAUUUUGAGUAGGUUUGCUUUGCUAAAAAAUAAGUAUUAGACAAAAUAACAUAAAAUAAAACAGAUCGACACAAAACAAAUAUUUAUGGUAUUGAACAAUUUUUUAUUCUUAUACGAUUAUUUUUGGCUCAAAGAAUAUUUUAGUAGUUUAGACAUACUUAAGAUAAAAAAUUGUAUUGUGAUUUAGUGAAUACAAAAAUUUCAGUUUUUUCCAUAUCUCUUGUCCUUCAAUUUGUCGGGCUGCACUUCAAUGACAUUACAACAAAAAUGUCACGAAACAUUGAACAAUAUAUAUUUGUGACACAUAAGUGCAUUCCAACUAUUUUUUUCUUUUACUCUUUUAUACAACCUUUUUAUGUUUAAUAGUACGAUCCUAAUUUAUGAUGUUUGUAAAACAAGGUUUUUAGAUCAAACAUUGUAUAACUUAAAUUCUGAUUUCCUAUCCUUGUUUUUUUAGAGACCAAACUCAUGUAGCCUUCCUUACACCGCAAAUCACGCUCCAAAUCUAGCCAAUCACAAAAACACGACAAACAAGCUCACCUUACAUCCUCCAAAUCAAUGACGUGUCAUAUUUUCAUUGGCCAAAAUUUUACAACAAACAUAUUUGACUUUUCCUUUCACCAACCAAACAGUGUAAAAGCACCCUUCAUAACCGCUUUCCUCUUUCGUUUCUCCUUUUUCUCUUUUUUGCUUUCUCCUUUUUUCGAACUCGGUCCCUCAAAAUAAUCAUCACACUCUCACACACACAUUCUAAAUAAAUGAAUGCAUUCAUAAAGAUAAAGCUCAAAUCUCCAUGCAACUUUAGGAGUAGUAGUAGUAGUAGUAGCUAUAGAUGCUUCUUCUUCUUCUCUGAAUCCAAUGGAGAAGAAGCUGAUGAUGAUGAUGGAAGAUUCAUUGGAAAAACAAGAAGAGAUGGAAAAUGGAAUAAGAAGAGUGAGUUCAAGAGCUGAAGUUGAUACGUCAAUGCCAUUUGAGUCUGUUAAGGAAGCUGUUACUCGUUUUGGUGGAAGUGGUCCUUGGUUACCUCUUUACAAGCUUGGUGAAGCUUAUGUAAGUUUCUACUUUUCACACCUCUUUUUUAUUUAUGUUAAAAAAGGUAGCAAAAACGACUUCACUGGGGAUCGAACCCAGAAUCUCUGGUUCCGUAGACCAGCGCCUUAUCCAUUGGGCCAUGAAGUCCUGUGUUGUUUGUUUUUCUAUUUUUGAGAUUUUGUAAAUGUUGUUUUUGAAGGUUCAUAAUCAUAGACUAUAGAGUGAAAAAUUGUUGUUAAAAUUCAAUUAUUUAUUUGCUAGUGUCAUUUUCUUUAUAUAAGCUAUUGGGGGGAUCUUAUUUCUCUAGAAAACAAAUUAAUAAUUGUGUGGGGCUGUGGGCUAAUAAUGUACAAAAAAAAAAAAAUGCAUGCAAAGUGUUAUCAAUAGUGAACUGCGGACAACCAACUUAGUUUGGUCGGAUGGUGUUGGUUUGGAUCAGUGGACUAGUUUGGCUUCUUAUGAAAAAAAUAGUGAAUUGCGAAAAAUUGAGGAAUGCCAAACAUUUGCUUAGUAAAAUAGAAGAUAGAGGAAGCCACAUAGUAGUUUAAAUAAGUCAGCUAGAAUCAACCUGAAUGGUGGCCGUUAUUUUUGUAAUAGCGAAUCUAGGAUAGCAUUGUAGUUUUCACAACAAAUUCAUCAAAAUCUGUUAUGUUAUAGCGAUAUAGUGUCCUUAUCGUGCAAUUUGAAAACACGACAUACAUCUAAUCGUAGUAUCUCACCAUGUAGAUAUUUCUUGAAUUAUUUUAUGAACUAACAUAACCAAGUUUCAUUUUGUGUGAUUUGAUUACAUGCAUGUGUAGACUAGUUUUAUACUGUCAGUGCAGAGUAAUUAAUCUGAUACUAUGAUUUAUUAUUUACUAUUUAAACAUAUAGCAUUGAAAAUUCGAUUUUGAGAACUGAACUUGAACACAAAGCCGCGAGAUAAGGAAAUGCAUUUGAGAUAGAGUAAGCAACCGAAUUCGACUCUAAUCUUACACCUUUCUAUUACUUGGUUCUCAAGUAAAUGAAGAUAUUAUGCAAUAAGCAAUUUUUAAUGUUUGAUCUUAUACAUUCUAUAUGACAAAGCAUAAUUUAUUUGUUCAAACACCUUUUGUAAUUCACUCUGAUGUUUUAAGAUUGUCAUUAGCAGAACAGUAUUGAAGACUUUGACAUAAAGAAAAUAGAGGAACAAGCAGCAAAGUUGGAAAAGGAUUUGAUUAUGAAAGAACUCGAAACACUUGAUGUGCUUGAAGAACUCGGAUCUGCCAAAACAAUUCUCGAGAAAUUAAAGCAGCAGCUACAAUCUGAAGCAUUGAAAUGUGCUUCAACUCAAUCGUGCGAAAAUAUUGGAGCUCUUGUUAAAAAUUCUGAAAAGAUUGUCCACCGUCAAGAGAAAAUAUUGCAAAUUUCAAGUCCAUGCCAUACUUCAUCGCCCAAUAUGUUGCUAACCGAGUUAAAAGAAGCGAAGAUGAACCUUGGUAAAACUAUAAACGAUCUUGGGACAAUACAAUCUUCUGUCGAAACUUUGAAUAAGAAGAUGAAGAAGGAGAGACUUUUUCUCGAGAGGACACGGGAGAAUCUGCAAUCAAAGUUUGCAGCUAUCUCUGCUCAAAAUGUGGCCAAAAAAGAAGCAAUUACAAAGCCACCAGAAGCUCCUGUAGAAAAGGAUUUUACUUUUGACACCCCCCAAAAGGUUGUGAAGGAUUACCAAUUGGAUGUUGAACAGUUCAAUGGAAUGGUUGGAACAAGAUCUGCAGAAGUUUCGAAGCAAGGGAUUGAGUAUGAAGAGAAUGAGUUUAAUAUUAAGACUGCUGAGAUGAGGUGGUUUGCAGCUAAAAAGAUGGAAGAAGCUGCAAUGGCAGCCGAAGCCGUUGCUCUAGCUGAAAUCAAGGCUCUAUCUGGUUGUGCUGAUAUAUCAUCGCGAUUUUCUAUGCGAGAACAUCAGAAAGUGACUUCUGCAUUAGAGGUAUACUCUACUCUAAACCCCGAAUUUCAAAUACCUGAAGAGUCUAUCUUGAAGAAGGUAAUACAUGCCAAUUUCAAAAUGGAUGAAGUAAAUGCUUCUAAACACAAUAUUCUUAAAAAAUUGGAGGAAGCAACCGAAGAAGUUCUACGCAGCAAAGAAAUUUUAACUGAAGCUUUAAACGGUAUUGAAACUGCAAACAGAAAGCAACGUGCUGCUGAAGAGGCUCUAAGGAGAUGGAUUCCUGAAAACUAUCUAAAGGGCCGAGCUAUGCAUAACUCGAUUAAGCGAAACAAGUUCAAUCAAGUUGAAAAGUGUCAAACUAUGAAGCCCGCUGUAAGAUCCUCGGUUUCAAUGAGAGAUCUACUUAGUAGAAAGCAGGUUCCUGACGAAUAUACUACGACAAAGGAGAUGGAAGAGCAUGCUGAAACAAAGGUAGCAUUGAGUCAAAUGCUUCGAGCAAUGAGGGAAAAUCAAACUCUUCCAACUGAACAUGAGAAUGACGGGGGCGACCAAAAGCAGUCCAUAGCACAUCAGAAGAAGAAGGUUGGAUUCAUUCGAAUAUCAUUCCCCUUUGGAAAGCGAAAUGAUAAAAAGACAUGAAUUCAAUUCUAAUGCUUAUGUCACAGCUCGUGCAUCAAUGUCUCGCCAUUCGUUAUUGGUUCUUAUAUUUUGUGAGCUUUUUGGUUGGUAUGUGUAAAAGUUUGUGUUGGUAUUUGAUUUUGUAAGUUAUGUUGUUCCUAACAAAGUACUCUCUAUUGAAAAUUCAAGUGCAAGUUUGGAGUUUGGUAUAGUCAAGAAUGAGUUUCAUGAAGAUAAUAUAAGAGGAAAAAUUCUUUUGCCUAAUAGUUUAAGGUAUUGGGAGGAUAUAUGGUGUCAUGCUCCUUCACUUGAGGGGGGGAGUAUAUAUUGAGGAUUUAAUGUGAGUUUACAGUCCCAUAUUGGUUAACAAUGGGUUUCAUGAAGAUAUUAUGAGAUGAAAAAUUCAUAGUUUUAAAAUUUUAAUGAACAUCUUGGUGUAUAUGCUAGUAUGAAACAUGGGAGUUUCACGUGAUUUUUUAAUUGUUCUUCACUUUUUUCAUAUGCAUUCUUUGUGAUUGAAUUUGUACUUAUGUUGUGAUGCAUUCUUUGCAAUUCAAUAAAAUGUUUUGAUAUUUCAUAUUCACAAACUGUGUCAUACAUGAAGUUGUUUUGAAUUUAUUUUGGUUUCAAAUAUAACAAGUUACAAACCUUAAGAUGUGUUUUUUUCUUAGCAAACAAAUUUUAUCUUUCACCUUAUAUUUGUACACCUUACCAGAUUUAUCAAAACCAUUAUAUGUACACCUCACUUUUUUUACACUCGAUCAAUAUUUCAUUUUCUCUUUAUCUCUCAUUUUUUUAUCACAUCACUUACUUAUCACAUCUACCAGAUCAAAUUCUCUAAAAGGUGUAUAAAAAUAAUUUUCCUUAAAUUUAUUUUGUCUCCUUCCCUUACUUCCUCCAUUUUUCUUUGACCAUCAACACACCUCCGAAAAAACAUGUAUUGAUCUUCUGCCAUAUCAUGGUUGUCAACUUUUUUCUCCUUUUCAACUUCUUCACAACCUUGAUGGACGUACAUGGUUGACAAAAUUCAAACUCUCAAUGCCAAUUUCUCUCUUCCACAUGACCAUUGUUUCCCUCAUAUCUAAUUUGUGUGCAAUCAGGGUGACUGCAUGCGGUCAACAAGUUUGAGAUCAACCAAUCAAGAUCGAAUGGUUCAUAUUUCAAACCCAAAAUUUUAUAUUAAACAAAAAUAGAAUAUGCGUUUAAAUUUUAAUUGUAAAUUUGUAUAUUUCAAAGAGAUAGCCACCAACGAGAUAAAACUGGGAGGUAAUUCCCAGAAAAAUGAAAGAAGACGACCUAGAGCCCGGCGCCCUAUAGGCCCCCAAAGAGAAGGAAAAUUGCAAUCCCCAACUUGGAGGACCCUUUUAUAUAGUCAAAGAAAGCUUCACUGGAGAAGCAAAGAGGUUAGAAACACUCAAUGGGGAAGAGCUUCCAAGGAGGUGCAAUUCGGCUAACCUACGUUUGUAUUAAAGUUGAAAAUAUUUUGCUUGUUGAAUAAGCAGGACAAUAAAGAUCAUUGGAUUGUAUCUUCCUGCAUAUGAUUUUUUUUUUUUUAAUAUAAGCAUAUAUGGAUUGCUGGAAACAAGUUAGAUUCAUUAUUGCAUGCUAUCAACGUAGUAUGCAUAUGGAUUAUUUUUAAAAAGAAUAUACCCAUUGAAUUCCUUGAUUUAUUGUCCGCCAUAAACUUUAUAAAUCUGUAUGAUCUUUUUACUUCAAACUCAUAAACUACUUUAAUGUCAAUUUAGCCUUUAUUUUUCUUAAAUUACACAUUUUUUAUGAAACAAAUACCUCUUUUUGAGAUUUAUUAUAUAGGUAAAGAAAUAUUAUUUUAAUUAAAAGUUUUGUAGAUUUAAAUGAAUUUUUUAUUCAUCUGGGAUAUAACAUAACUGCAAUUUGUUUAUUUUAAUACAUGAAAUAAUAGUUUACAAAUAAUCUAUAUUUUAAUUAUAUAUUUUUUGAUGAUUAAUUUAUUAAUAAUAUUUAAAACAAAAUCUUAUUUUAUUUUGAUCAUUUAAUUCAAAUUAUCAUAUUUCGGUGAGUGAUCGAGAUAACAAUAAUGCAACUAUUUUAAUCAAAUAUGCAUAUUUUAAAAUAUUGUAGGGCUAUCUAUUUUAUCCAUUAACAAUAUAAAAUUUAAUUUUGUACUAAAAAAGAUGUGGCCCUGCAUAAGCAUGAGCACCUUGCGAAUAAAUCUAAAAAAUUUGCUUAUCUUUGUUUACAAACACAUCCCAAUUUACAGCUCAAAAGGUGUUGCUGCCCCAAUAUUCUCACAAUAAGUCAAAUUGUUACCAUAAAGACUUGCUGCUUGAAUUCAUAUUUGAGUAUACAAUUAAACAUUUAGUUGAUCAAGGAUGAAAACAAAGUAUUUCAUCUUCGUGGUCUCUCUUUGUGCACUAUUGCUUUUCUCUGUUGUGGCAAUUAGGCCAUCAAAAGAUGAAAUACAAUGUAUAUACAUAGACAUUUUGCACGAUUUUUUUUCUUCUCUUAUUAUAUAUAAUAAUUGUGUUUUUUUAUUUGCAGAUGGUGCAACUGAAGAAUCUAAAACAAAAACUAGGGUAGAUACAUAUAGAGGUUGGGGAGGAGGUGGACAGGGUGGAAAUCCGGGAGGAGAAGAAGAACCUGGAGGAGUUCCAGGAGAAGGUGAAGUAUGAGAGGUGGGCACAACAAAAGAGGUUAGGGAGGAUGAGAAAAAUAAGGAGAAUCGGGACAAAGGUAGUGCAAAGGAGCGAUCGAAGAAGGUUGAGGAGGAGGAGGAGGAGGUGGAGGCGGUGAAAAUGGAGAGCCUAGGGGACAUGCAUGAAAACUAGACACAUGCAUGUAGGUAUUGUAUCGUAUCUCUUGCAAAUGUAAAAUAAAAGCAUGAUCUCUAUCUUCAAUAAGAUAAUCACUUUUUCCUUAAAUCAAAAUGUGUUGUUUUUGUAAUUUGAAAAUUACGACAGAGCUUUGAAACUAUUACCGGGGUGAGUCACGACCAGGUCGCUUUCUUUAAGACGUUUCGCGGCACUACCUAAGUUGUGCAAGGUAGACUAGCAACCGCGCCGCCUCCAGGAUAAAACAGCCCAGAUUCUAACUGUACGAUUAAAGGCUGCACUGCUAGAAAUCGCUCGAGAAUAACACCUCAAUAUGGUUUCGAAAAGUUUCGAAAAACCACUCUAAUAUGGUACGCAAACCACUCGAGAAACCAAAGAAGGAGGAAGAAAAGAACGGUUCGUCAACACAAACUGAGGGAGAUGAGAAAGGGAGAAAACUAGAGAAGAGGAUUCGAUUCUCGGUUUUGGAGUGAAGAAUCCCAUUCCCAAGCUCUCUAUUUAUAGAGGGGAAUUUUCCUCAUUUUCUCCACCGACCCGGCUCGCGACCCGCCAAACUCAGCCCACGUAACGGUAACCACGACGCGGAAACGUGGAGCGGAAGCUUGCGCGUGUGAAAAACGUGUGAGACUUGGUCUUCCGCGUGCGGGAAUCUCAGAGCAGCAAAUUAUUUUUCAUUUUCUGAGCACCAAAAAAAUAUAUUUCUUUAAGGCCCAGCCCAGACGGACGGCGGUGGCAUCGUCGCGCGUGUGUCUUAUAUAAUUUUUGGCUAGCGCUCACUCCGUUCACAAAAGUGGGUACCCCAAGGGCACACCCUUGGAAGUGAUUUCCCACAUAUAUAAACACUACUAGAGUGUGUGAUCUACCCAAUGUGGAACAUAAAAUUUUCAAUUCACACUUUACACUAGUUUCUACAUCCUUGUGUUUACAUUCCAAUGUCUCCACAUAACAACUAGUAUACUCCAAGUUUUUGCCAAUAUACACUAGUGUUUCAACAAAAUGUCUUUCAACCAUUAUCGUAGAUUGUACAACUUAUAUUAUCACUUUUAAAUGGAUAAUAAGUAGUGAGUACCAUAGUUUCAUGUCAUGUUAUUUUGUUCUUUAAUUAUAUAUGAUAUGUUAUAUAACUUAAUAGUGAUUAAAUUGCGAUAAAAAAUUAUAAUAAGUAAGUUCAAAUUAUUAUUUGAAUGGACAAUAAAAGAUCGGUUGAAAAACGGGACAUAUAAAGGAUAUUAUAAUUUAGGAUUAAAUAUCUUUUUGGUCCCUAUAAAUAUGUCAACUUUUCGUUUUAGUCCCUCUAAAAUUUUCCUUCAACUUUUAGUCCUCCAAAUUUUUUUGAAUAUAAUUUUGUAGAAAAACUUAUAAUAUUAUAAGGAUCUCUCCCAAAAAAAAAUUAGAAUUUUUUUACCAAUACAUGAAUUUAAUAAUGAAUUUUUAUAUUUUUAAUGGUAAAAAAUUUAUAUUUAAUUUAUAUUUUGUUAAAAAAUUCUAUUUUUUUUUUUGGACUGAUAUUUACAAAAUUCUAUACAUUUCAUUAAAAAAUACAAAAAUUUCCUUAAAAAUAGGUUUUUUUUUUUUAACAAGCAAAAAUGGAUUAUAUUAACACUGCACAUAUAGCCCUUUCAGCACAAGGUGUACCGAAAAGACUACUUAAAACGAACCAAACAGUUUACAAAAUUACAACAAAAAGUUAACCAAUGCCUAAACAGGACAAUGGAUUCGACACCCCCAUCUAAUCAUCAAACACAAAAACAACCUUAUUAGCUUUCAACCACCACAAUGAUUGAUACUUUACUUUAUCUAAUAGUUGCACUAAUGAACAAUCUUUUUGCUUAAAUAUCCUGUUAUUUCUUUCAUUCCAGAUAACCCACAUCGUCAAUAACCAAAUAAGCUGAAGAAAGGAUCUUCUUUCUUUCAAACCACCUGUGUAAAAUGUAAAAUGUGAACAAUGAUUUGAAAUAUCACAAUGAUCAACACCAUUAAAACCUAUCCAAGAUCUCAUCAACGACCAUAAAGUACCAAAGAAGUUGCAGGACAAAAAUAAAUGUCGAGCGUCUUUCAAAAAACCACACCCUGACACACAUAAACAAGCCUCUGAAUUCAAAAUCCCACGAUAUGCUAAAUUAGACUUUGUAGGGAGUCUAUCUCGAAUCAAUCUCCAAGCAAAAAUAGACACCUUAAGGGGAACCUGUUUGUGCCAAACCAAUUCUUCACAAAGACUAUCUUGAGACUCCUCUUGAUUAGUAAGCAAAGCAUAAGCGCCACGAACUGUGUACCCUUGACUAGGGUCCGGUUGCCACUGCCACACAUCAUAAGAAAGAGGCUGCAAAGAAACAUUAGCAAGUAAUAACCUACACUCCGCAAGAAGCUCCUCCUCCCACGCCCACAACCUCCGUCUCCACUGCCAUCCCCCUCCCUCCUCCCCCCAACCUAAAGAAAACAUCUCUUUAACACUUAUGGAUUUAUUUAAAGCUAAAUCAAAUAACCUUCUAAAUCGAAUCCUGAAAGGGACAUCUCCACACCACCGCUCAUGCCAAACAAGGUAUCCUCCCCAUCACCCACACACCUAACCACAAAACCCUCAAACCAACCAACACCGCCCCCACCCUCCCCUUCUCUAAUCCUACCAACCUCUUUCCACCAAAAAGAACCACUCCGGCCCCCAUCCUCCAACCUCCCAUCCCUAACACCAUAUCUAACAACCAACACCCUAUACCACAACCCUCCACGAUCAACAAGUAAUCUCCAACAUCACUUCCCUAACAACGCCUCAUUAAACUCUCUCAACUGCCUAACUCCUAAACCACCAUACUCAUUUCUCAGACAAACUCUGCCAACCCACCCAAGAUAUUUUUCUAUAAUCCUCAUCCCCCCCAAAUUUUUUUUAGAUAAAAUAGAAUCUAUGGAAGAGAUUGCACCUGUUGGAGCCUUGAAGAAGGAAAGAGCAUAGACAGGUAGCGCGGUCAAGACAGACUUUAAAAGAAUCAAGCGACCUCCAAAAGAAAGAAACCGACUUUGCCAACUAGACAGUCUAGAUUUUAUACGGUUAACCACAGGUUCCCAAAAAGACAGACGACGCGGGUUCCCACCUAUCGGCAAUCCCAAAUAAGUAAAGGGCAAAGUACCAACCUUACAAUUCAACAACGACGCUGCUUCCGUUAACCAAGAGUCAGAAACAUUUACACCAACCAACAAACUUUUAUGGAAAUUUAUUUUUAACCCAGACGCCACUUCAAAAAGAAUUAAAACCGCCCACAACGCUCUAACAUUCGCCCAACUUUUCUCACCUAAAAGUAACGUGUCAUCUGCAAACUGAAGAUGUGAAACCACCACCUCAUUAUCAUUCCCAACACUAUAACCUCUAAAAAAAUUAGCAUCGACCAUAGCCUUCAUCAUAACAUGCAGCCCCUCUGCAGCCAGUAAAAACAAAAAAGGGGAAAGGGGGUCUCCCUGACGCAAACCUCUACCCAAAGAAAACUCAUCUGUGGGACUACCAUUAACCAAAACGGAAGCUGUAGCCGUUGUAACACACUCUUUGAUCCAUUUUCUCCAUAAUGUCGGAAAACCCAUUUUAGCCAUCACCGCAUCUAAAUAACCCCAAUCAACAGAAUCAUACGCUUUCUCAAAAUCCACCUUAAACAUCAACAAUUCCUUCUUAUUUUUACGAGCCUCAUCCACAACCUCAUUCGCAAUCAGAAUGCCAUCUAAAAUUUGUCUAUUCUUAACAAACGCAGUCUGAACAUCAGAAAUGACACUACCAAUGACCUGCCUCAACCUAUUAGCCAACAACUUAGCCAGAAUCUUAUACAAACUACCAACCAAUGAUAUAGGACGAAAAUCACUUAAAGAUUGAGGAGAAUCUACCUUAGGAAUAAGAGCUAUAAAAGUAGAAUUGAUACCUUUGAUUAACUUACCAUUCCUAUGAAAUUCCCCAACGAAACGCAUCACCUCAUCUUUCACAUCAAGCCAGAAAUCCUUGAAAAAACCCAAAUUUAUUCCAUCCGGACCUGGACUCUUGAAACUGUCACAAUCCCAAAUAGCUGCUUUCACCUCCUCGACAGAAAAAGGCUUAAUAAGACCGCCCCCUUCAACAAAAGACAACCCCCGAAACUGUAAACCUUCCACCGACGGCCUCUGCACUCUAACCGCCUGAAAGUGACUCGCAAAAUGAGAAAACGCAGCUUGACGAACUGGUUGCACACCUUCUACCACAACUCCAUUCACGUUGAUUGACACCAAAGAAUUUCUACGCUUCCGACUACCCAAAAUUGAGUGAAAAAACUGCGAAUUAGCAUCACCUUCUCGAAGCCACUUAAGUCUUGACUGCUGCCAACAUAUACUAGUAUUAAUACGUGACAAAGAGUGUAAAUUUGACGAAAUACGACGUAACUCCCCUAUCUCUUCUUCAACCAGAUCCUCCUCUUCUCCCCUUCCAUCUAUAACCUAGGUGGAGCAAACAAUAACAUAGGUGGAGUUGAUAUCUCUAUAACCAUGCCAAUAUCUAAAAUCUAGAUAUGAAAACCAACAAAAAUCAUAUAUAUAUAUAUAUAUAUAUAUAUAUAUAUAUAUAUAUAAGGGGCAUAUCACAUGAGAAUGAGUAUCUUAUGUGAGAAUGGUGAGAAUAAAUUACAACCGUCAGAUUAAAAGUAAUGGGUAAGAUUAAAAUAUCACUUAAGUGACUCAUGUGCCAAACAUGUGACCAAUUCUCUCCCCCUUUUCCAUCGUUCACGCGCUUAUAUUUGUACACUUAAUAACUUAUCAUUUCUUGUAAAACUUAAUAACUAAUGGUAGUUACUAACUUAUAUAUAUAAUCAAUCUUUUUUUCUUUUUCUUAUGUUUAUCUUGUCUCGUGAUCAGUAUAAAUACUUUUUCACCUAUUGAAAAUGAUUAAUUAUGAAAUUUAAAUCAUUUUAUACCACUUAACAUCAAUCUAAACUUUUUCAUUUUCUCCUUCUCUAUUUUUAACUAAAUUUCAAGUUCACGUGUUGGCAAGAACAAUGUAUUGUUUAUAUGCAGGGAUCGAAGUUUGAAUCUCAAACAUCCCACUUAUUCAUUUUAAAAGAUGAAUUCUAACCGCCAGACCUCGACAAAAAAAGAAAAAACUAAGUUCAAUUUUUCUCUCUUCUCCUAACAAUUUAGUUACCUAUUAUUCAUUUGCCUCAUUUUUCGUUUCUCUCUUUUCUCAAUAAUAUUUAUCGGUUUUCUUCAAAAAAAAAAAUUAUCGGUAUUUUAUAAAUAUUAAAAAUCUGUCUAUAAAUUAUCAAUUUUUUAUACAAUCUUAACAAUAUUAAAAAUACAUUAUUUUCUUAAAAAACAUUAUAAUUUUAACUUGAGUUUUGAAGAUUUAAUUUCAAUUAUUAUUUCAGAGUUUUUUUUUUUGAAGAAAAAAUAAAAUUAAUCAUAUUUCAGAGUUAAAAUUAUAACCAUUAGUCACUUUAAUUAAUCAUAUUUAUAGGUUAAUUAGUAGUCUGAUCUUCCAAUCUCGAUACAAAAAAGGUGGGGAAAAAUGUAAAACAUCAGUAGAAAAUUAUAGAGAUUAGUUUAUACUAACUUUUUUCUCUCGCACGAUCUCUAAUACAAUAGCAACAGCAAAAAGGACAAAAAAAAAAAAAAUUCACCUUUGAAUCAACAAAGAAACCUUCAAAGGUGAAGAAUAAACCUCAAACACAUUCGAAUCACUCACAAAGGAACUAAUUUUCAUAAUCCUUGACCUCGUUGAACCAAACAACCUUUUCGAAUCACAACAAUAAAAGGAAGAAAACUAUAAUAGAAAAGAAAAAAAGAAUAUGAUGAGGAAUAUAUUGAAGGUGAUGGAAAUACAAGAGGGGGGAGGGGGUUUGAAUAGUUUUUCUUCAUUUUAAAAAUAUUUUCGAGAUUAACGAUUAUUUCUUUAAAACUUAUCAUCAAAAGGUUUCUUUGAUUGAAAAGUAAAUUUAAGAGAUUCUUUAUCAAAGUAUUUAACUUCAUUAAGAUGAGUAAACCAAAGUGAAGUUAAACCAUAAAGAACUUGAUAUAAAACAAAAAUAGAAAUAAAACGCACACAUAGCGAUUUAUUUCAAGUAAUAUGCUUUACCCUACCUAUAGUGAUUUUACGUUAAAACCCACAAUGUGGCACUGCACUACUAUUCAACUAUUUGUAAUUUUUAGGUAAAAUGUCGAAAUUGUUAGGCCGGAUGUCAUGACCGGGGUUCGAAUCCCGGUACCUCCACUUAUGUGUGUGAGUUUAUAAUGGCUUUGCCAUUUUCGUCUAUCUACCAAAAAAAAAAAAAAAAAAAAUUGAAGCUCUCUUAUCUCAAAUGCCAUAAUUCUAUAGAAUUGAUGUAUUUUUUUUUUUCUUCUAUUGUUUUCUCACUUUUUUCCUAAUUUUUUAGCAACAUAUUUCUUUUCUCUCACAUAUAAAAUAUUAUCUUAUUUAUUAGCUUUUAAAUACAAACUCAAACUCAUGAACUACAUUCACGUCAGUUUGUUAUUUCUUAAAUUAAAACAUUUCGAUGAAACAAUCACCUCUUUUCAAAUGAGAGAGAUAGCAUAUAUGCACUUUCUUAAUUUAAUCUUAUAUUGAUAUUUCGAAAUUUCAUAGAACUAUAUGUGUAUUAUUUUUAACUACGCAAUUUUUAUUUUUAUUUUAAACAUAUACUAGAACCAAAGUGACCUAUGAGAAAGCACAAAUACCUUUCUAGUAAUCUUUUUUUUUUUCCUUUCUUACGUCACUAAACAAGCACACCCCAAUUUACCUCUCAAUAGGUGUUGAUGGCUCAUUCUCACCAUUAGCCAAAUUGUUACUAUACAAUAUAUUGAAUCUAAUCAAGCUCUUUUUGUUCUUCAUAUAUUUAUCUUGUCCCAUAAUCAUUAUAAAUAGCUUCUUAUUAAAUUCAUAAUGAACUACAAUUAAACUCUUAGUUAAUUAAGGAUGAAAACUAAGCCUUGUACAUUUGUGUUCUUUCUUUGUGAAAUAAUUAUAAUCUCUGUUGUGGCAAUUAAGUCGUCCAUAGAUGAGAAACAAUGUAUAUUUAUAUAUCUGUAUAUAAAUUGUUCGCAAAAUUACAUUCUUCUUUAACUAUAAAUUACUAAAUGUGUAUGUGUUAAUUUGCAGCUGGUGCAACUAAAGAAUACAAAACAAAAAUUGAGGUAGAUAUGGAUAAAUAUUGGGGAAGGAAUGGAGGGGGUGGAUACAGGGGAGGAGAACAUUAUGAUGUAGAUAUGGGAGGUUGGUUAGGAAGAGGAACACCUAGAAGACGAGGAAAUGGAGGACCUGGAGGAGAAGGUGGAGGAGGAGGAAACAAAGGAGGUUCAAAAGGAAGUGAAAAUAAAGAACCUGGAGGAGGAGGAGGAGGAGGUGGUGGUUCAAAAGGAAGUGAAAAUAAAGAACCUAGAGAAGGAGGAGGAGGAGGAGUAGUUCCCGAAGGACCUGGAGGAAAAGGUCGGGGAGAAACAAAAGGACCUGGAGGAGAAGGCGGAGGGAUCGAAAAUGGCGAUCAUGUGGAACAUCCAUGAAAACCAGAUAGAUGAAUGUGUGUUUUGUAUCACAUGCACUAUAGAAAGAAAAGCUUGGACUCUACUACUCUAUGACUAGUUUAUAAUUGGGUGAACAUCUUUCCCUGAAAUUGAAUACAUUUCACUAAUAUCUUUAUAUUGUACCAUUUAUAUUAGCACAUUUGAAUGAAAAAGUACCACGGUAUUAUGUCAUUAUUUUCUUCAAUUUUGUGGUUUAAUUUCAAUCGUUAUUCUUUUCAUGUUAUAUAAUUGUAUAGUGAUUAAAUUACUAUGAAAUGAUAAUGAGUAUGUUGAGGCUGUUUUUCAUUAGAAAAUAAA
rnacentral:lncRNA from 1 species